rnacentral:lncRNA from 1 species
GAGCAUUGCCCGCCUGGCUGGAUAGGUGUGUAUCAAUGGUGCUCGCAACUGGUAUAAACCGGAAAAAAAUCGUUCAUGAAUAACUCAACCUGAAUCAUGGAUUGCUCUCCAUAGUCUGAGCGAUAGCAGUACCAUACCCAUGCAUAUGUGCAUGCUAUAUCAAGAAAAUCAGCAAUUCCAAUAAGAUACUAAACCUAUCCUAUGGUUCGUAUCUAGAUGUUUCCCCUACUAAAAAUUCACAUCGACUUGUCAUCAGGAGCUUCCUUGCUGCAAAAUACACACAAUAAAAUAAAAAUUAAACUAGUUCGGUUCUAUCUGAAUCAAUUGAUGCCCGCACGUGGUGGAUAGCCCUGGGACUCGACACUGAAAUCAAUAGAUGGGUACCUUCACAAUCGGCAGUGGAAUCAGACUGGACAUCGCCGGAUGGUUUCCUGCAAACUAGGUCCUGCUGGAGGGCCGUAAAAUGAGGUCUCGGCCGCCGUGCCGAAUGCAGAUGAGAGCCGGGCCAUCGGUCCUGCAGAAGAGGCGUCUGACGGGAGUCUGGCCGCCGGGCCGAACGAAGAGGGUAGCCGGGGGUUGGCGCGGAAGGCAGAGGAGGCGUCGGUUGCCGCGAGUUGGAGUUGGAGGUCGAGCGGCGGUAGGCGCGGGUGGUGCCGCGCGCAGCGCAGGAUGCGGAAGAGCGCCUUGGGGGAGGAGGCGUGUGCGGAGGGGAGCCCCGGGACUGGGAGGAGGCUCGGCGGCGAGAGGUGGAGCGACAGGAAGGGGGCGAGGGGGGUGGAGGCGAGCGCGGUGGAGAAGAGGUACGUGGAAGAGAUCGACGGAUGGGCUUCUGUUGGGCUCCCUUUAUCCAUUAUUACACCAACUCGUCGUCUACAUGAAGGCCUCUUCGGUUACCAAUCCCACGAUUUCUUUUAAAACAAAUGCUGAUGUGGUGAGCUGCAUAAAGAUAAAAAAACAGUAAUUGAUGAGGUAGCAAGGCUGCUGAGGUGGAUAGGCUGCAUGUUAAGAGAAAUAUGAUAGUGGGGAUGAACUAUUUAGGUAUUAUAGAUACCAGUCUUUUAAUAAAAAACCAAAAAAAGCUGCAUCAUCAAGGAAUCAAAGAUCUAACCUGACUGGGCAUGCAAAUGCCCAAUUACCAAAUAGUUUAAUAACCCUUUUUAAUUUAUUAAUGGUUUACAUAUAAUAUUAUGUGAGGUCAAAUUUUUGGAAAAUCCAAUUAAAUAUUUCGGGUUUUGUCGCAAAUGCACCGAUUAACCGGCGACCCGACUGGCAAAAACCUGAACCAACAACCUCAUUUGCCGGUUUGGUUUUUUAAACUAUGGUGUUAAGUCAAUCUUUAGAUGGACAAACUUUAGAAAAUUACAAAAUUAACCAUGAAGUAAAAAAGAAAUGGAGAGAGUUAAAAAAACGGAGAGGCAAAAAAAAAAGAAGAAGAACGAGUGGAGCCGGUUGGCUGAGCGUGGGGCUGGAAUAUAUAGGCAUCCGACCAUCGUUUGUUUGUUAUAGAAACCCUAGCUUAAGCGGCGGCGGCCGCGAGUAUACCACACGCGAGCCUGGUUAGCAAUCUGAAUAGAGAAAAAGAGAGAGAGAGAGAGAGAGAGAGAGAGAGAGAGAGAGAGAGAGAUUGAUGGCGCGCGGCGGCGGCGGUGGAGUCGAGUUUCGGCCGCCUCCUGAGAUGGCGAUGGAAGAGAUGGAUCGGCAGCCUGUCGUUGUUUCCGAAGCAAGAAUCCUGAGGAUGGAGAUUGCGUCCCUGGUGAACUUGCUCAUCGAGAAACAAUCUGACGUUCUUUCCUACGAUCCCGAGAUCAUGAGGAAGAUCACGUCCCUGAGGAGCGAGAUCGCGUGCCAGAAGCUGGCCAGGGAGCGCAAAGCCUUGGUUACGGAGGUCAAACGCACAGUGCCGCGGAGGCGCAAAAAGUUUUAUGCAGUGCGGAGGGUCGCUGAGAAGGAGAUCAUGGCCGAUCAGGAGAGCGUGGAUCUGCCUAACUCCGAUACGCAUAGUGUGACCUCCCAAGUCAGUUGCAUCCCCGAGCAGUUGCCCGAGCCCUGCGACCAGAAGGAGAUCGACUCGGAGAAUAACAAAUCAGCUUCCAGAUUCAAAUCCAACUUCGAGCAUGUAUAUUCACCCUACGGUAUUGAGGACGAGGGAGUGCGCCUAAACCGCCAAUUCAGUCAUAUAUUGCAGCAGGCGGAUGCCUUGUGUGACGAGAUGGCAUCUAUAGCAUCUAUUCUGAGGAAAAUCAGUGUCCCCAUCAUCUCCUAUUACGAUGUCUCCGAUCUGUGUAACACAGCGCAGAGUUUAUCGAGGAUCUCCAAUAGUAUAUUGUAUAAUAGCAUGAAUGCUGAUAAACAGAUGGCGGUCCAAUAUGCUGAGGACCAGAGGACCAAGGAGGAGAUGACCGAUCAGAUGGGCAAAGGCAAAUCCAGCACCCACUGUCUUGAGAAGCAGAGGACUGAGGAAGAGGUGGAUGUAUCUAUAACAGAUUUGACUGACCAUACCGCUGAUGAUGGCCAGUUGACAGAUGAUGAGGGUGACCAUUUUGUGGGAGCAGAUUUGAUAAGUUGCCUUUCCAACCAGAUGACUGCAUACAUGGAUGAUGGCCAAUCAAGCGCCGAGACGCAUGAGUCGAGGAUGAUGGAUAAAGGCAAAUCAAUUAGUGAAGGCAAGUCAAGCAUGGAGACACAUGCAUCGAGGAUGUUGGAUAUGAUGGUGCUGGUUUCGGAUGAUAAGAGUGAGUCGGAUGGUAUGACCAACUUGUGCAAAUAUUACAAGAUGCUCGAAUUUGAGGAUGAGAAGGUGUUGGGCAAGAUGACUGCUGAGAAUUUAAGGAUGUAUUACAAAUUUCGUACGGAGCUAUUAAAGAUGGAAGCCAGCUUACGCGAGUUCCGGGAGCAGAAUGAAAAGGAUGACCUGAGGUGGGAGCAGGAUAAAAAGGACGCACUGAGCUGUUGCAGAACAGACCCGACCCCGUUCUCACUUCAGGACGCGGUAGGGGAGGAGGGGGAGGAGGAGGGGGAGGAGGAGGAGGUGACAGAAUUCACAGAAUCAGACAAAGAGGAGAUGGAGAUGGAGGACAGGUUGUUUUCUGGAAAACGUGAAGUCUGGGAAUCCGCAUGGGGAUGCUGUGGUGAAUUUGAAGACAGUAGUAAGUAAACAUGAACAUCCAUCGAAUCAUUCUCCUCUUAUUUGGCAACCAGAUUCUUCCCUUCCUUUUUUCCUUGUACAAGUAAUUCAUGUUAGAACAUGUCUAACACUUGGAUUAAUUUGGUGUCGCAGCCGCAGUGAGUCCUAUGCACUUUACACAUUGCACGCCGGGACUGAUCCCGUACGCCGCUCGCUCUGUGAGCACCUUGCAGAUCUACUCCUUGAAGAUUGUUGGAACAGAUGGAAAGUUGAAGUUACCACUCCAUGUGUAUGGUGUUGUUGCUGCCCGAGACACCGUGGACUACAACCGCAACAUUCUCUUCUUUAGGCGAAGGGAAGACUGUCAAAAACUCACUCCAGAGGUAUGUACCGUAUUCCAAAUUUCUCUCUGUUUUCCAUUUUUGUUCUUGCAUGUGUCCUUGUUCAUUCCAUUCAGCGACAAUGAUGACUAUGAUCCCUGCAGGAUCCAUUUUUGCACUUGACUGGCCCGUCCCGUGCCAUCGUGGCUGUGGACCAUGUUGACUUCGAAGUCCAACUGAAAGUAAAGGGUGCAACAAGGUCCAGCGACAGAGCAUUGAUCAGUCGUUGCUGCACUUAUUCUGGUGGUUAUCAUGAAGGUUUAGAUACCGCUCUCAUCAGCAACUGCUUUUGCACGGUAGAGUUAAGCUUGGAGCGACUCGCAAAGACAGUCCAGGCUACCACCUUAAGUGUCCGUGUUGUUGAAGGGGGACCGUGGCCUUUUGAAUAUGGUGGUCGGAUUGUGUGCUCCUCACCACCACAGGAAGUUAUGGACUCCCUGGCCAGGCAAGUUGUGUUGGUUGAUUCUCGUUCUUCUGAUGGUGGAGAAAUGCCAAUGGGCACAGAUGGCUACCUUGAUCUGUCAAGGCAUGUUGUUUCUGUAGAACUGGAAGAAAGCCUGCAAUUUGUUAUACAAGCCUACUCGCAGUCUGGUGAUGCUAUUGCUAGACAAGGUCGUGUCAAGUUCAGGGCCGAAUAUUGCAAUGUAAGUCGAGGUAUAUGUGAGAUUGGUGACUCUAAGGUGGAGAUUACUGUUGCUUGGUCCAAACUUGUUACCAAAAGGAUGGAUAUCCUCUUAGAAGGGCAUGUUUGAUGGUUCUUGUGCGUUGGAGGUUAUGGACUACAGAACCCGUUACCCAAAUUUAUCUGUUUGUCCCUUGCAUGUGGUUUGUGAAACUGCAUAACUAUUUUUGUAUUGAUAUGUCCAACUAUUUGUGUAUCUGACUAUCUGUGUCCACUUCAACUUCUUAUUAUGCUAUGUGAAGUACUAAUUCUGUUUCGAUAAUCAGCAUUAAUCCUUUGCAGAAAGCCUAGAUUUUGUGAGCCAGCCGCAAGUAAAAUGGUCUGCAUCGUCAAAUCUAUGGUUAGAGCAACUCCAAGAAAUCCCGUAUCUGUAAAAUAACAGAAAAACAUCUCCAACAAAUCAUGUAUCUGUAAAAUAACAAAAAAAUCUCCAAUAAAUCCCGUAAACAUGUAAUAAAUUUCCAGGGUCACGACGCCAUCGCCGCCUGUGCUGCGCCGCACCGCCUUGUCACGCCACCGCCGUCGCCUCGCCGCCCCCAUGACCACGACGUGUCUCGCCGGCGGCCAACGACUACCUCGCGCCUCCCUUGCUGGAGGCUGUCGUGCGUGUCACUGACUGGGGAGCCCUAGGCCAUUAUCUAGUUCUGUUUUAUGAAAAUUAAAAAUGAAAACCUAUUUUAGGGGAAGAAGUUUAUGGAAUCUGACAAAGUAGCUCUCAUGAAACUUCCCUUAAAAUUUACGAACAUCCUGUAAAACUAGUUCGGGAAGUUUCUUAGAGGAACCGAGCUGCUCUAAGAGCAACUUCAAUAGAUCCCCUGUUCACAAAAAAGCUACAUUUAGGGGAAGUUUGGGCAAAAACAAACGUCCACAACAAAAUCUGUAAACCCGGAAUAUAUUUAGGAUCCUAUAAACUCGACCGGCCCCAAGUUCCCUCUUGUUUAGAAAGAUGACCUUCCCCUAAAACGUUGGUGGGCUAAAAAAACCUGGCACUUCACCGUGCAUUCCCCCAUGCCGUCACCGCUCCGCCUCAGCACCCGCCCGCCACCAUUGCCGCCUUGCCGCCCUCGCGAUGUUGCUGCCACCUCACGUCACUACCACCGCGCCACCACCGACUUUCGGGCCCUAGGCCAUCAGAUGCGUCAAAGUUCCGGCCUGUUGGUCCCAAUCGAUUCAUUGUUGAGGCAUUUUGCCUUGGAGACAAGGAACACAUAAGGAUGCAGGCCUUGGCUAUUCCACAACUAGGUAGUCUUGUUGUGCCCAUAUGAUGUGGAUAAAAAAUGCUCCACUUAUGGACCGCACUUACGAAAACUCUCCUACGGACAGACUUGGCAGAGUCUAAUUUAUCAGUAACCCCUGGAUUUCAGGUGCGGGGCCCUCCUGUCCCUAAUCUAAUAAUGCCACUUCCAUCUGUAGAAAAAUGACUGUAAGUGUAACAUUGCUCAUGACGGAUUUAGCAGAGAUGAGGACAUUGAUUUUGUUCAUAUGCCUAUAUGGCUACAAAUCCAUAAGUUGCCAUAUUUUUAAUGCAAGAAGAACAUUGUGGAGAAACUUUUUUUGAAGCGGAGGCAAAAGCUUUGGCUCAUGUCAUUAAUAAAGAAGAAGAGAAUUGUCUUGUUAAUUAACGCAAAACCGAACAAAAACGGCACAAACACCCUCUCCGGCAGUAACACGACAACCUCGAGGGAAUACCAGCCAACCUGGCUACCAACACAAGGCGCACACACACCACCAAAGAGAGAGCCGCAAUCAAGGUUGUCCACCAGGGUCAUCGUCAUCACUCCUCCUCGAGCCGGCGACUCUGACUUCACUGAAGAAAGCCUGGUCGCAGUGGCUUCGCAAACCCACGCCGGCACAAGCCAAACAGUUGACUCUUCGCGUAGAGGACUGUCAGCUCUGAUUCUGAUGACGAGAUCUGAAGAAGAUAUAUGCAAAGCUCGCGCCGAUGAAGAUCUUCAUGACAGGACCGCCCAAUGCAGGUCAUCCUUGCCACACAAUACAUGGCAGCUCCAACUUCCAGCAACGGAAGACCAACACAAAGACCCGUCGGACAUGCUGGAACAAGCGCCGACUACCAAGUUCUUGCCGCGACCAAACCAUCACUCUUCAUCACCAUCGUUGUUGCGCAAGACAUCACACGGGAUCCACGCAUCUCCGGUUGGCCACCUACCAGCCGCGACACCGUGUGCGUCCAACCCACCAAGAAACGUGGAUGGGAGCAAGAUUUUCAAGGCGACGCCCCAAAGGAGGAAGACGACGUGAGAACAACGCCUGUCGCUUGACUGGACCGGUCUAGGAUUUCCCUCGAAAAGCUUACCUAAGGAUGGGAGAGGUCGAAGAAGACUCCGUGGCGACGCCUCCAAGGAGGAGAGCGACGCCACAGGUGUCGCCGCCGUUGUCCGGCAAGAGUCAGGCAAGCUUUCACUUAGAGCCUUCUAGACCACCAUCCCCAUUCCAUUGACGCGAGUCGGCCACUGGCCUGGACACUACGGACACGACGACCGCUGAACGAAAUAUGCCCUAGAGGCAAUAAUAAAGUUGUUAUUUAUAUUUCCUUAUAUCAUGAUAAAUGUUUAUUAUUCAUGCUAGAAUUGUAUUAACCGGAAACUUAGUACAUGUGUGAAUACAUAGACAAACAGAGUAUCCCUAGUAUGCCUCUACUAGACUAGCUCGUUAAUCAAAGAUGGUUAAGUUUCCUAACCAUAACAUGUGUUGUCAUUUGAUGAACGGGAUCACAUCAUUAGAGAAUGAUGUGAUGGACAAGAUCCAUCCAUUAGCUUAUCACUAUGAUCGUUUAGUUUAUUGCUAUUGCUUUUUCUUCAUGACUUAUACAUGUUCCUAUGACUAUGAGAUUAUGCAACUCCCAAAUACCGGAGGAAUACUUAAUGUGCUAUCAAACGUCACAACGUAACUGGGUGAUUAUAAAGAUGCUCUACAGGUGUCUCCGAUGGUGUUUGUUGAGUUGGCAUAGAUCGUGAUUAGGAUUUGUCACUCCGAGUGUCGGAGAGGUAUCUCUGGGCCCUCUCGGUAAUGCUCAUCACCAUAAGCCUUGCAAGCAAUGUGACUAAUGAGUUAGUUGUGGGAUGAUGCAUUACGGAACGAGUAAAGAGACUUGUCGGUAAUGAGAUUGAACUAGGUAUGAUGAUACCGAUGAUCGAAUCUCGGGCAAGUAACAUACCGAUGACAAAGGGAACAACGUAUGUUGUUAUGCGGUUUGACCGAUAAAGAUCUUCAUAGAAUAUCUAGGAGCCAAUAUGAGCAUCCAGGUUCCACUAUUGGUUAUUGACCGGAGAUAUGUCUCGGUCAUGUCUACAUAGUUCUCGAACCCGUAGGGCCGCACGCUUAAUGUUCGAUGGCGAUUUAUAUUAUGAGUUAUGUGAUUUGAUGUACCGAAGUUUGUUCGGAGUCCCGGAUGAGAUCACAGACAUGACGAGGAGUCUCAAAAUGGUCGAGACAUAAAUAUUCAUAUAUUGGAAGGUUACAUUCAAACACCGGAAUGGUUCGGGUCGUUUCGAAUGAGUUUUGGAGUACCUGGGGUUACCGAACCCCCCGGGAAGUUAUUGGGCCUCAUGGGCUGAUAAUCCCCAAGUGCAGGAAAUCAUCGUAGCAAUUUUCAAAGGUGGAAGUGAUAAGUAUGGAGUGUCGAACCCACAAGGAGCUAAAGGUAAGAUCAAUAUUCUCUCAAGUCCUAUCUGCCACUGAUACGACUCUACGUACACCGAACAUUUGCUUGCAACUAGAUACGAGAAAUAAAACUAUGUUGUGGGUAUGAAGAGGAUAACUUUGCAUAAUAUCGGAGAGCUAACAUAUAAAAGUAGGUGAUGUUAUCAUAAAGUUAGAAUGUAUUACUAAAUAUUAUACAUAGCGAGUGUGGAAUAAUGAUGGGUUGGUGUGCAGAAUUAUCCUAGGCAAUUGUUAACAAGACCGGUAGUCGUCAUUGCAAUUUCAUAUGAGGGAGAGGCAUAAGCCAACAUAUUUUCUCUUCUUGGAUCAUAUGCACUUAUGAUUGGAACUCUAGCAAGCAUCCGCAACUACUAAAGAUCAUUAAGGUAAAACCCAACCAUAGCAUUAAACCAUCAAGUCCCCUUUAUCCCAUAUGCCACAACCCCCUUACUCGGGUUUAUGCUUCUGACACUCAAGCAACCCACUAUAAGCGAAUCAUGAACAUAUUGCAACACCCUACAGCGGGAAUCCCUCACGCUUGCGCGACACAGAGGGCACAAUAGGACAGCACCAAAAUAAAACAUACAACUCGUACCAAUCUAGAUCAUCAAUCAACCCAAAGAUAAAAGAUAUCUACUCAAAACAUCAUAGGAUGGCAACUCAUCAUUGGAUCAUAAUAUGUGGCAUAAAGCACCAUGUUCAAGUAGGGAUUACAGCGGGGUGCGGGAGAGUGGACUGCGUAAAAGAGAUGAGGAUGGUGAUGAUGAUGGUGAUGUUGAUGAAGAAUCAACCUAAAAUCACUCUCUACUAAAAAAUGGCAUCUAUUCUCGUGAGCGCAAAGUUUCUGUUUUUUACAGCAAGAUUGCAAAGACUUCACCCAUGUCUUCCCAAAGGUUCUACUUGGCACAAACACUAAUUAAAACAUAAAACCACAUAUAACCAGAGGCUAGAUAAAUUAUUUAUUACUAAACAGUAACAAAAGGCAAGAAACAAAAAUAAAAUUGGGUUGCCUCCCAACAAGCGCUAUCGUUUAACGCCCCUAGCUAGGCAUGAUGAUUUCAAUGAUGCUCACAUAAAAGAUAAGAAUUGAAACAUAAAGAGAGCAUCAUGAAGAAUAUGACUAGCACAUUUAAAGCUAACCCACUUCCUAUGCUUAGGGAUUUUGUGAGCACACAAAUUAAGGGAACAAGAAUCAACUAGCAUAGGAAGGCAAAGCAAGUAUAACUUCGAAACUUUAAGCACAUAGAGAGGAAACUUGAUAUUAUUGCAACUCCUACAAGCAUAUAUUCCUACCUUAUAAUAAUUUUCAGUAGCAUCAUGAAUGAGUUUAACAAUACAACCAUCACAUAAAGCAUUCUUUUCAUGAUCUACAAGCAUAGAAAUUUUUCUACUCUCCUCAUAAGCAAAAUUCUUCUCAUUCGGAAUAGUGGGAUCACUAAUUCCUAAAGUUGACACUAUUCCAAACCCACUUUAGAUGAUAGUAUUAUUCAUACUCCAAAAGAUAUAAGUGAAGUUCAUGGAGCAUUCUACAAUUAAUAUAGACUAACCAAUAUCUAAGCUCAAAAUAUGUAAGUGAAGCACACGAAGCAUUCUAUAAAACCAUACUCGAAAGAUUUAAGUAAAGCACAAAGAGCAAUUCUAUAAGAUCAUACUUAAAAGAUAUAAGUGAAGCACAUGAAGUAUUCUAUAAAUCAAUGAAGGGCUAACUCAUACUAGCAUGGUUUUUAAAGAAAAAAACACAAAGGACACAAAUCAUGUGAACAAAACAAAAACCGAGGUAUACCGAUAAUUGUUGAAGAAGAAAGAUGGGAUGCCAACCGGGGCAUCCCCAAGCUUAGAUGCUUGAGUAUCCUUUGAAAUAUUGCCUUGGGCAUACCCAAGCUUGAACUCUUGCCUCUCUUUAUUCUUCUCAUAUUGAUAGCUCCUCGAUCUUCGAACACUUCAUCCACACAAAACUUUAACAAAAACUUUGUGAGAUCCUUUAGUGUAAUAAAGCAAACUACCACUUUAAGGUACUGUAAUGAACUCAUUCUUUAUUUAUAUUGGUGUUAAACCUAAUGUAUUCCAUAGAUUCAUCAAAAUAACAAAACCACAUGCAAAAAAUAGAAUCUGUCAAAAACAGGACAGUCUUUAGUAAUCUGGAAGUUUAGUAAACUUCUGUAACUCCAAAAAAUUAUGAAAUAAAUAUGAAAAUUUGAAAAAUUUGUACAGAAGUAAUGUGCAAAAAGUUUCAGAACCAUUUGACCUUCCAGUAAAAAAUGUAAAAUCACGCGCUACAGCCAAAGUUUCUGUUUUUGUUCUGCACAUAGUAAACAAGCAAUCUAAUCAUCCUAAAACCAAAGCUUGGCACAUUAUUUUUGUAAUACAAUGGAUAUAUACAAGGGGAUAAUUAUUUACAGAGAAACUUCCAUGAAAAAUUCUACAUUGUUUCCGUGAGCAUGAACACAAGUGCUCAAGGUCGACCCUCACUUCUUCAAUGCAUAACUUUCCAAUCACUUCGCUUUUUGAAAAACUUUUUUUUAGGCAUGAGAGGCAAGUAAAUUUUUUUGUAUUUACAAUCUUUUAAUUUUUUUGUAUGCUUCACCCACAACUAAACAGAAACAAAAAGGAAAAACAAAAUCUACUUAGUGAAGAAAGCAAACAAGCACACACGAGAAUAUCAACCCCAUGCUAUUGCUCCCCGACAACAGCGCUAGAAAAGAGCUUGAUAAUCCCCAAGUGCAGGGAAUCAUCGUAGAAAUUUCCAAAGGUGGAAGUGAUAAGUAUGGAGUGUCGAACCCACAAGGAGCUAAAGGUAAGAUCAAUAUUCUCUCAAGUCCUAUCUGCCACUGAUACGACUCUACGUACACCGAACUUUUGCUUCCAACUAGAUACGAGAAAUAAAACUACGUUGUGGGUAUGAAGAGGAUAACUUUGCAUGAUAUCAGAGAGCUAAAAUAUAAAAGUAGGUGAUGUUAUCAUAAAGUUAGAAUAUAUUACUAAAUACUAUAAAUAGCGAGUGUGGAAUAAUGAUGGGUCGGUGUGCGGAAUUAUCCUAGGCAAUUGUUAACAAGACCAGUAUUCGUCAUUGCAAUUUCAUAUGAGGGAGAGGCAUAAGCUAACAUACUUUCUCUUCUUGGAUCAUAUGCACUUAUGAUUGGAACUCUAGCAAGCAUCCGCAACUACUAGAGAUCAUUAAGGUAAAAUCCAACCAUAGCAUUAAAGCAUCAAGUCCCCUUUAUCCCAUAUGCCACAACCCCCUUACUCGGGUUUAUGCUUAUAUCACUCAAGCAACCCACUAUAAGUGAAUCAUGAACAUAUUGCAACACCCUACAGCGGGAAUCCCUCACGCUUGCACGACACGGAGGGCACAAUAGGACAGCACCAAAAUAAAACAUACAACUCAUACCAAUCUAGAUCAUCAAUCAACCCAAAGAUAAAAGAUAUCUACUCAAAACAUCAUAGGAUGGCAACACAUCAUUGGAUCAUAAUAUGUGGCAUAAAGCACCAUGUUCAAGCAGGGAUUACAACGGGGUGCGGGAGAGUGGACCGUGUAAAAGAGAUGAGGAUGGUGAUGAUGAUGGUGAUGUUGAUGAAGAUGAUCACCGCGGCGAUGAUUCCCCUCCUGAUGGCACUCCGGCGCCACCGAGAGAGAGGAGGAGAGGUCCUCCCCCUUGUGCUUCCUCUUCCAUGGCCUCCCCCUGGAUGGGGAGAGGUUCUCCCUCUAGUCCUUGGCCUUCAUGAAGAUGAUGGCCCCUUCGAGAUCCUUCCCCAUGGCCUCCGGUGAUGAUGGCCCCCUCCGGCAGGGUGCCAGAGAGGGCCUAGAUUGAUUUCUCGUGGCUACAGAGGCUUGCGGCGGUGGAACUUCCGAUCUAGGUUAUUUCCCGAAGGUUUCUGUAUUUAUAGGAGAGGUUGGUGUUGAUUUCACGUUAGGGGGUUCUCCUGGCUAUCCACGAGGCAGGGGGCGCGCCCCCCACCCUCGUGGGCAGCCCGGGACUCUUCUGGCCCAACUCUUUCACUCCGGGGGCUUCUUUUGGUCCAUAAAAAAUCAUCAAAAGUUGGCACGUCAAUUGGACUCCUUUUGGUAUUCCUUUUUCUGUAAAACUCAAAAACAAGGAGAAACCUAAAACUGGCACUGGGCUCUAUAUUAAUAGGUUAGUCCCAAAAAUCAUAUAAAAUAGCAUAUAAAUGCAUAUAAAACAUCUACGAUGGAUAAUAUAAUAGCAUGAAUACUUGAUAAAUUAUAGAUACGUCGGAGACGUAUCAUCGGCCUAGUGGUGGAAGAAAGGAGGCAGGCCAGGGAGUGGCGCAUGCCCCCCCUAGCCCAAUCCGAAUUGGACUAGGGUUGGGGGGGGGCCCUCCUUUCCUUCUCUUCUCCUCCUCCUCCCCCCUUGUCCUUGUGGGAAUAUGAAAGGGGGGCGGGCGAAUCCUACUUGGAGUAGGACCCCCCCUUGGGCGCGCCACACCUUGGCCGGCCUCCUCCUCCCUCCCCCCUUUAUAUGCGUGGGAAGGGGGCACCCCAAAGGCACACAAAAGUUUCUCUUAGCCGUGUGCGGAGCCCCCCUCCACAGAAACACACCUCGGUCAUAUCAUCGUAGUGCUUAGGCGAAUCCCUGCGCCGGUAACUUCACCAUCACCGUCGCCAUGCCGUCGUGCUGACGGAACUCUCCCUCGGCCUCAACUGGAUCAAGAGUACGAGGGACGUCAUCGAGCUGAACGUGUGCUGAACACGGAGGUGCCGUACGUUCGGUGCUAAGAUUGGUCGGAUCGUGAAGACGUACGACUACAUCAACCGCAUUGAUAAACGCUUCCGCUUUCGGUCUACGAGGGUACGUGGACACACUCUCCCCGCUUGUUGCUAUGCUUCUCCUAGAUAGAUCUUGCGUGAUCAUAGGAAUUUUUUUGAAUACUACGUUUCCCAACAACCGCACCAUCACCACGUCGAGGCCACCGCCUACCUCGUUGUCGACCAACACCGAUGAGCCAGAUCUGGUGACCACAUCUAACCAUGACGUAGAGCUUCAAGACGCCUCCGUCUGGAGGAUCAACUGCCACCAAAACUUGGAGGGGAGGCCGCCACCCACCCCAUCGCACCGGAGGAAAGACCGCUAACUUAAGCCUGCAUUGCUUUCCACCGUCGCCGCCCCGACGCGCACGAAAGAAAAAGCUUCCCAUCGUGUGGAGAAACUUCUGAAAGGUGCAGAUGAGAUCAUGGAUAUGCGUUUGAAUGGAAAUAUUAGGGGAUACUAUAUUCUCUUAAGGGUGAAACAUGAUAUACGUAUGCCCUUGACCAAAUAUGUAAGCAUUGUCAGAGGUAAAGAACGACAGCUAUAUCUUGUUCGCUCUGAGAAGCUCGUGAGGUACUGUAAGAUUUGCGGCCUAGUAGGUCAUGGGUUCAAGGAGUGUGGGCUCGGAAUCCAUGCAGAGAAAAAUAUAAAGUUUGGUGAUUGGAUUUAUGCAGAUGCUCCUAACAAUCCUAGGGCAUACAAUGAUGGUAGGCCAAAGGGCAUGCAUGUUGGUACACGGGCUAAGGAUUAUAUCAGUAAUCAAUAAAGGAGGGGCCGAACCUUGAAAUAAUGGAUACAACUUCGAGCCUAGUGAAAAUUCUAGGUAGUAGUGUGGCAACGGAAAAGGACUCUAUAAAGCAUUUGAAUAUGGAUGUGGUGGAGGCGAACACAAGAGCCUUUUGUGCACCAAAAGUCAUGCUAUAACUGAUGGGAGUGGGAAGGAUUUGAAAGAGAACAAUUCUCCAACUAGCAGUAAAAGCAGUAAAAGGGUGAAAGUUACCAAGGAAAGUGGAAAUGAUGAGAUAUAGGCGGCCUCCCUUGGAGAGAACCGCCGGAUGCAACGAAUAUCAUGUUGUGGAACUACGUGUGCGCGCGUGGGGGAGAGGGGGGGUGUGCAGUUUGUGAGGUAUUGGCCCUCUCUAAAGCCAAUAACCCCAAGCUUGUCUUUCUUUGUGAAACUAGACAAGCUUUAGAUAAAGUUGAGAAGUUAAGAUGGAGACUAGGUGUGAAAGGUUUCCAUGUAGUGAGUAGUGAUGAAAGAAGUGGAGGUUUGGCACUUUUCUCGGAUGAGUCUUUAUUAGUGACUGUACUUGAUGCAUGCAACAUGUACAUUGAUGUUAAUAUUUUGGAUGGUGGAUCUGGUAUUUCUUGGAGGGGGACCUUUGUGUAUGGGGAACCAAGAGUUGAAAACAUAUAGCAUAUGCGCACUACUGCGGGAUGCUGCUAACGCGACACUACAAUCAGAGACCCAUCGACAAAAUUGUGUGUGAUGCAUUAUUAAUCACAAAAGGUGGUGCAAAAAACCCAUAAAAAAUGAUACAAACUAUUUGUGAUGGCGGGGACAUCAAACACGAUUCAGAUUAGAUUUACGUGUGCGAUACAUGGCAUACAGUUCAUCUAUACAAACUGUUUGCGAUAAGCAUAACAAUAGAAGCGGUCAGCCAAAUGAAGGUGUGUGCGAUAUAUGGCAUACAGUUUACUCGGAUAAACUAUUUGUGAUUAGGAAACACAGCAAAAUUGGUCAGGCAGAUUAAGGUGUGUGCGAUAGACGACAUACAGUUCACUCGGAUGAACUAUUUCUGAUGAGCCAAGACAACAGAAACAGUUCAACUUAACAAGAUGUGUGUGAUACUGAUAACCCACAAGUAUAGGGGAUCAAUUGUAGCCUUUCUCGAUAAGUAAGAGUGUCAAACCCAACGAGGAGCUAAAGGUAGGAUUUAUAUUCUCUCAAGUUCUAUCAACCCCCAAUACAACUCUAUGAACACUUAAUGUUCGCUUUACCUAGAAAAAUAAUAAAACUAAAAGUACUUUGUAGGUGUAGUGGGAUAGGUUUGCAAGAAUAAAACUAGAUGUACUUAGCAAGAAUAAAACUAUGAGAAAAUUGCAAGAUAAUAAAGUUAGUUGUUUAGUAGAGAGAUUUUUGUCACAAGAAAGUUAUUUGUCCCUAGGAAAUCGAUAACUAGAUUGGUAAUAAUUAUUGCAAUUUUAUACGAGGGAGAGGCAUGAGCUAACAUACUGUUGUAGGGUGGAACCCUAGAUGGAGAUCUUUCAUGAAUUGGAGGGGAAAUCCCCAAGAACAAGAAGAACACGAAGAACACAAGAGAGGGAAAACACUCAAAUUGACUAGAUCCAAUCACACAUAUGCUAGAUCCAAGAACACACAAGAGGUCACAAUGAUUCAAGGACAAGAAAAGAAAGAUACAAGGUAACUAUUUCAUCCCAAUACUAUGAGGAGAGAGGUCUUGAUGAUCCUAUGAUGGGGAUCUUUCCCUAGAUGGGGGGCUUGAAUCCACUAGGGAUCAUCUCCAUAGGAGGUCUUGAUCUCCAUGGGAGAGGUCUCUCUCUCACAAGAGGAGGUACAAGGAGCAAAGUUCACUAAAUCAUGUCAUAUCCUUUUCUAUCAUUCUAAUGAACUAGGGGGGAGUUUAUAUAGUCUAGGGAUGAAUUGUGAGGGAGACGGGGAUACAAGGGUCCAAAACACAAAAGUGCACGCAGGCACGCGGAGUGGUCCGGGCACCCGGAGCAAGAUCGGCCGGGCACCCGGACCGGCCAGGGCCUCUUCUCGGGAGGUGGUAGCAGGGGGCCGGGCACCCAGGGGUUGACAGCCCGGGCACCCGGGGUGGCUGGUGGCGUCCAUGCGAGGGGGUCGGGCGCCCGGGGCCCAAGGUGCGGGCACCCGGGUCGGCGGCCUGUGGCCUGGAGGGAGGGGGCAGGCACCCGGGGCCUCAAGGCCGGGCACCCAGGGGUGGCCUGGGCCGCGGCUAGGCCAAGUGAGGCCAGGCACCCGGGGCCAGCUGGGAGCAGCGCCAUGGAGGGGCCGAGCCUCCGGGGCCAAAGUGCCUGAGCACCCGGAGUGUCCAGUGCCUCUUCUCCUUCAUCCUUCUCGCUCCUUUCCUCCUUCUUCUCGUCCGUAGGUGCUCGGGUCUUUGUGCUAGCCUCUCCAUGAUCAACACCUUUAUACCUAAUCAGGCAUAACACUUCCGUUUGAGGUAGGACCCAACUCUCUAAUGAAUUUGAGUGGAGCUCGAAGAGGAAGGAGCUGACCUCGUUCUCGAUGCUGCGUGCACGUGCUCUUGUCCUAGGUCCUCUCCGUGCUAGUGGUGGUGGUGUGACUUCCAUGGGGAUGGUCGAGGGAUGCUCCGCAUCACAUACUUUCUCUACUUGGAUCAUAUGCACUUAUGAUUGGAACUCUAGCAAGCAUCUGCAACUACUAAAGAUCAUAAGGUAAAACCCAACCAUAGCAUUAAAGUAUCAAGUCCUCUUUACUCCCAUACACAACAACCCACUUACUGAAGGAAAUAUGCCCUAGAGGCAAUAAUAAAGUUGUUAUUUAUAUUUCCUUAUAUCAUGAUAAAUGUUUAUUAUUCAUGCUAGAACUGUAUUUACCGAAAACUUAGUACAUGUGUGAAUCAUAGACAAACGGAGUGUCCCUAGUAUGCCUCUACUAGACUACCUCGUUAAUCAAAGAUGGUUAAGUUUCCUAGCCAUAGACAUGUGUUGUCAUUUGAUGAACGGGAUCACAUCAUUAGAGAAUGAUGUGAUGGACAAGACCCACCCGUUAGCUUAGCACUAUGAUCGUUUAGUUUAUUGCUAUUGCUUUCUUCAUGACUUAUACAUGUUCCUAUGACUAUGAGAUUAUGCAACUCCUGAAUACCGGAGGAACACUUAGUGUGCUAUCAAAUGUCACAACGUAACUGGGUGAUUAUAAAGAUGCUUUAUAGGUGUCUCCGAUGGUGUUUGUUGAGUUGGCAUAGAUCGAGAUUAGGAUUUGUCACUCUGAUUGUCGGAGAGGUAUCUCUGGGCCCUCUAGGUAAUGCACAUCACUAUAAGCCUUGCAAGCAAUGUGACUAAUGAAUUAGUUGCAGGAUGAUGCAUUACGGAACGAGUAAAGAGACUUGCCGAUAACGAGAUUGAACUAGGUAUGAUGAUACCGACGAUCGAAUAUCGGGCAAGUAACAUACCGAUGACAAAGGGAACAACAUAUGUUGUUAUGCGGUUUGACCGAGAAAGAUUUUCGAAGAAUAUGUAGGAGCCAAUAUGAGAAUCUAGGUUCCGCUAUUGGUUAUUGACCAGAGAUGUGUCUCGGUCAUGUCUACAUAGUUCUCGAACCUGUAGGGUCCGCACGCUUAACGUCCGAUGACGAUUCGUAUUAUGAGUUUAUGUGAUUUGAUGUACCGAAGGUUGUUCUGAGUCCCGGAUGAGAUCAUGGACAUGACGAGAGUCUCGAAAUGGUCGAGACAUAAAGAUUCAUAUAUUGGAAGGCUACAUUCGGACACCGGAAUGGUUUGGGUCGUUUCGGAUAAGUUUCGGAGUACCGGGGGUUACGGGAACCCCCCGAGAAGUUAUUGGGCCUCAUGGGCCUAGUGGUCGAAGAGAGGAGGCAGGACAAGGUGUGGCGUGUGCCCCCUAGCCCAAACCGAGUUGUACUAGGGCUAGGGGGGGUGCCCCCCUUCCUUCUCUUCUCCCUCUCCUUCCCCCCUUCUCCUUGUGGAAGUAGGAGGGGGGGGGGCAAAUCCUACUUGGAGUAGGACUCCCCCCCUUGGGCGCACCUCCUCCUGGCCGGCCUCCUCCUCCCUCCCUCCUUUAUAUACAUCUGGAGGGGGCACCCAAAGGCACAACAGACAAUCUCUUAGCCGUGUGUGGUGCCCCCACUCCACAGUUUUAUACCUCGGUCAUAUCGUCAUAGUGCUUAGGCAAAGUCCUAUGCCGGUAACUUCAUCAUCACUGUCACCAUGCCGUUGUGCUGACGGAACUCUCCCACGGCCUCAGCUGGAUCAAGAGUUCGAGGGACCUCACCGAGCUAAACGUGUGCAGAUCACGGAGGUGCCAUGCGUUCGGUACUUGGAUCGGUUGGAUUCCGAAGACGUUCGACUACAUCAACUGCAUUACUAAACGCUUCCAUUUUCGGUCUACGAGGGUACGUGGACACACUCUCCCCGCUCGUUGCUAUGCUUCUCCUAGAUAGAUCUUGUGUGAUCGUAGGAAAUUUUGUGAAAUACUACGUUCCCCAACAGUGGCAUCCGAGCCAGGUCUAUGCGUAGAUGUUAUAUGCAUGAGUAGAACACAAAGAGUUGUGGGCGAUAAUAGUCAUACUGCUUACCAGCAUGUCAUACUUUGAUUCGGCAGUAUUGUUGGAUGAAGCGGCCUAGACCAACAUUACAUGACCACGUUCAUGAGACUGGUUCUACCGCCGUGCUUCACACACAGGUGGCUAGUGGGUGUCUGUUUCUCCAACUUUAGUUGAAUCGAGUGUGACUAUGCCCGAUCCUUGUUGAAGGUUAAAACAACACACUUGACGAAAAAUCAUUGUGGUUUUGAUGCGUAGGUAAGAACAGUUCUUCCUAGAAGCCCGUAGUAGCCACGUAAAAAUUGCAACGACAAAGUAGAGGACGUACUAACUUGUUUUUGCAGGGCUUGUUGUGAUGUGAUAUGGUCAAGACGUGAUGACAUAUAAAUUGUUGUAUGAGAUGAUCAUGUUUUGUAACAGUUAUCGGCAACUGACAGGAGCCAUAUGGUUGUCGCUUUAUUGUAUGAAAUGCAAUCGCCAUGUAAUUGCUUUACUUUAUCACUAAGUGGUAGUGAUAGUCAUAGAAGCAAUAAUUGGCGAGACGACAACGAUGCUUCGAUGGAGAUGUCAAGCCGGUGACGAUGGUGAUCAUGACGGUGCUUUGGAGAUGGAUAUCAAAGUCACAAGAUGAUGAUGGCCAUAUCAUAUCACUUAUUUGAUUGCAUGUGAUGUUUAUCCUUUAUGCAUCUUAUUUUGCUUAGUACGGCGGUAGCAUUAUAAGAUGAUCUCUCACUAAAAUUUCAAGGUACAAGUGUUCUCCCUGAGUAUGCACCAUCGCGACAGUUCUACGUUCACAUACAACGGGUGCAAGCCAGUUUUGCACACGCAGAAUACUCGGGUUAAACUUGAUGAGCCUAGCAUAUGCAGAUAUGGCCUCGGAACACUGAGACCGAAAGGUCGAGCAUGAAUCAUAUAGUAGAUAUGAUCAACAUAGUGAUGUUCACCAUUGAAAACUACUCCAUCUCAUGUGAUGAUCGGACAUGGUUUAGUUGAUAUGGAUCACAUGAUCACUUAGAUGAUUAGAGGGAUGUCUAUCUAAGUGGGAGUUCUUAAGUAAUAUGAUUAAUUGAACUUUAAUUUAUCAUGAACUUAGUACCUGAUAGUAUUUUGCAUGUCUAUGUUGUUGUAGAUAAAUGGCACGUGCUACUGUUCCGUUUAAUUUUAAUGCAUUUCUAGAGAAAGCUAAGUUGAAAGAUGAUGCUAGCAACUACACGGACUGGGUCCGUAACUUGAGGAUUAUCCUCAUUGCUGCACAGAAGAAUUAUAUCCUAGAAGCAUCGCUAGGUGCAAGACCCGGUGCAGGAGCAACACCGGACGUUGUGAACGCUUGGCAGAGCAAAGCUGAUGACUACUCGAUAGUUCAGUGUGCCAUGCUUUACGGCUUAGAUCGGGACUUCAACGAUGUUUUGAACGUCAUGGAGCAUAUGAGAUGUUCUAGGAGUUGAAGUUAAUAUUUCAAGUAAAUGCCCGGAUUGAAAGAUAUGAAGUGUCCAAUGAAGUUCUACAACUGCAAAAUGGAGGAGAAUGGUUCUGUCAGUGAGCAUAUACUCAGAAUGUCUGGGUACCACAAUCACUUGACUCAACUGGGAGUUAAUCUUCCGGUUGAUAGUGUCAUUGAAAGAGUUCUUCAAUCACUGCCACCAAGCUACAAAAUCUUCAUGAUGAACUAUAAUAUGCAAGGGAUGCAUAAGACAAUUCCUCAGCUCUUCGCGAUGCUAAAGGCUACGGAGGUAGAAAUCAAGAAGGAGCAUCAAUUGUUGAUGGUUAACAAGACCAGUAGUUUCAAGAAAAAGGGCAAAGGGAAGAAGGGGAACUUCAAGAAGAACGACAAGCAAGUUGCUGCUCAAGUGAAGAAGCCGAAGUCUGGACCUAAGCCUGAGAUUGAGUGCUUCUACUGCAAAGGGACUGGUCACUGGAAGCGGAACUGUCCCAAGUAUUUGGCGGAUAAGAAGGAAGGCAAAGUGAAAGGUAUAUUUGAUAUACAUGUUAUUGAUGUGUACCUUACUAAUGCUCGUAGUAGCGCCUGGGUAUUUGAUACUGGUUCUAUUGUUCACAUUUGCAACUCGAAACAGGGGCUACGGAUUAAGCGAAGACUGGCUAAGGACGAGGUGACGAUGCGCGUGGGAAAUGGUUCCAAAGUUGAUGUGAUGCCGUCGGCACGCUAACUCUACAUCUACCUUCGGCAUUAGUUUUAGACCUAAAUAAUUGUUAUUUGGUGCCAGCGUUAAGCAUGCACAUUAUAUCUGGAUCUUGUUUGAUGUGAGAUGGUUAUUCAUUUAAAUUAGAGAAUAAUGGUUGUUCUAUUUAUAUGAGUAAUAUCUUUUAUGGUCAUGCACCCUUGAUGAGUGGUCUAUUCUUGUUCAAUCUCGAUAGUAGUGAUACACAUAUUCAUAGUAUUGAAGCCAAAAGAUAUAAGUUUAAUAAUGAUAGUGCAACUUAUUUGUGGCACUGCCGUUUAGGUCAUAUUGGUGUAAAACGCAUGAAGAAACUCCAUGCUGAUGGGCUUUUGGAAUCACUUGAUUAUGAAUCACUUGAUGCUUGCGAACCAUGCUUCAUGGGCAAGAUGACUAAGACUACGUUCUCCAGAACAAUGGAGCGAGCAACAGACUUAUUGGAAACAAUGCAUACUGAUGUAUGCGGUCCGAUGAGUAUCGAUGCUCGUGGCGGGUAUCGUUAUUUCCCGACCUUCACAGAUGAUUUGAGCAGAUAUGGGUAUAUCUACUUGAUGAAACAUAAGUCUGAAACAUUUGAAAAGUUCAAAGAAUUUCAGAGUGAAGUGAAAAUCAUCGUAACAGGAAAAUAAAGUUUCUACGAUCUGAUCGUGGAGGUGAAUAUUUGAGUUACAAGUUUGGUCUUCAUUUGAAACAAUGCGGAAUAGUUUCGCAACUCAAGCUACCCGAACACCACAGCGUAAUGGUGUGCCGAACAUCCUAACCGCACUUUAUUAGAUAUGGUGCGAUCUAUGAUGUCUCUUACUAAUAGGGAACCAUCUAAUUGUGGUUUGGCAAGAAACCCAAGUUGUUGUUUCUUAAAGUUUGGGGCUGCGAUGCUUAUGUGAAAAAACUUCAACCUAAUAAGCUCGAACCCAAAUCGGAGAAAUGUGUCUUCAUAGGAUACCCAAAGGAAACUGUUAGGUACACCUUCUAUCACAGAUCCGAAGGCAAGAUAUUCGUUGCUAAGAAUGGAUCCUUUCUAGAGAAGGAGUUUCUCUCGAAAGAAGUGAGUGGGAGGAAAGUAGAACUUGAUGAGGUAAUUGUACCUGCUCCCUUAUUGGAAAGUAGUUCAUCACAGAAAUCAGUUCUAGUGAUUCCUACAACAAUUAGUGAGGAAGCUAAUGAUUAUGAUCAUGUAACUUUUGAUCAAGUUACUACCGAACCUCGUAGGUCAAGCAGAGUAAGAUCCGCACCAGAGUGGUAUGAUAAUCCUGUUCUGGAAGUCAUGUUACUUGACCAUGACGAACCUACGAACUAUGAGGAAGCGAUGAUGAGCCCAGAUUCCGCGAAAUUGCUUGAGGCCAUGAAAUCUGAGAUGGGAUCCAUGUAUGAAAACAACGUGUGGACUUUGGUUGACUUGCCCGAUGAUCGGCAAACCAUAGAGAAUAAAUGGAUCUUCAAGAAGAAGACAGGCGCUAACGGUAAUGCUACUGUCUACAAAGCUCGAAUUGUUGCAAAAGGUUUUCGACAAGUUCAAGGAGUUGACUACGAUGAGACCUUCUCACCCGUAGCGAUGCUUAAGUCCGUCCGAAUCAUGUUAGCAAUUUCCGCAUUUUAUGAUUAUGAAAUUUUGCAAAUGGAUGUCAAAACUGCAUUCCUUAAUGGAUAUCUUAAAGAAGAGUUGUAUAUGAUGCAACCAGUAGGUUUUGUCAAUCCAAAAGGUGCUAACAAAGUGUGCAAGCUCCAGCGAUCCAUUUAUGGACUGGUGCAAGCUUCUCGGAGUUGGAAUAUAUGCUUUGAUAGUGUUAUCAAAGCAUAUGGUUUUAUACAAACUUUUGGAGAAGCCUGUAUUUACAAAAAAGUGAGUGGGAGCUCUAUAGCAUUUCUGAUAUUAUAUGUGGAUGACAUAUUGUUGAUUGGAAAUGAUACUGAAUUUUUGGAUAGCAUAAAAGGAUACUUGAAUAAGAAUUUUUCAAUGAAAGACCUCGGUGAAGCUGCUUAUAUAUUGGGCAUCAAGAUCUAUAGAGAUAGAUCAAGACACUUAAUUGGACUUUCACAAAGCACAUACCUUGAUAAAGUUUUGAAGAAGUUCAAAAUGGAUCAAGCAAAUAAAGGGUUCUUGCCUGUGUACAAGGUGUGAAGUUGAGUCAGACUCAAUGCCCGACCACUGCAGAAGAUAGAGAUAAAAUGGAAGUCAUUCCCUAUGCUUCAACCAUAGGUUCUAUCAUGUAUGCAAUGUUGUGUACCAGACCUGAUGUGUGCCUUGCUAUUAGUUUAGCAAGGAGGUACCAAAGUAAUCCAGGAGUGGAUCACUGAACAGCGGUCAAGAACAUCCUGAAAUACCUGAAAAGGACUAAGGAUAUAUUUCUUGUUUAUGGAGGUGACAAAGAGAUCAUCGUAAAUGGUUACGUCGAUGUGAGCUUUGACACUGAUCCAGAUGACUCUAAGUCACAAACCGGAUACGUAUUUAUAAUGAAUGGAGGAGCUAUAAGUUGGUGCAGUUCCAAGCAGAGCGUCGUGGUGGGAUCUACGUGUGAAGCGGAGUACAUAGCUACUUCAGAAGCAGCACAUGAAGGAGUCUGGAUGAAGGAGUUCAUAUCCGAUCUAUAUGUCAUACCUAGUGCAUCAGGUCCAAUGAAAAUCUUUUGUGACAAUACUGGUGCAAUUGCCUUGCCAAAGGAAUCCAGAUUUCACAAGAGAACCAAGCACAUCAAGAGAUGCUUCAAUUCCAUCCGCUAUCAAGUAAAAGAGGGAGACAUAGAGAUUUGCAAGAUACAUACGGAUCUGAAUGUUGCAGACCCGUUGACUAAGCCCCUUUCACGAGCAAAACAUGAUCACCACCAAGACUCCAUGGGUGUUAGAAUCAUUACUGUGUAAUCUAGAUUAUUGACUCUAGUGCAAGUGGGAGACUCAAGGAAAUAUGCCCUAGAGGCAAUUAUAAAGUUGUUAUUUUUAUAUUUCCUUAUAUCAUGAUAAAUGUUUAUUAUUCAUGCUAGAAUUGUAUUAGCCGGAAACUUAGUACAUGUGUGAAUACAUAGACAAACAGAGUGUCCCUAGUAUGCCUCUACUAGACUAGCUCGUUAAUCAAAGAUGGUUACGUUUCCUAGCCAUAGACAUGUCUUGUCAUUUGAUGAACGGGAUCACAUCAUUAGAGAAUGAUGUGAUGGACAAGACCCAUCCGUUAGCUUAGCACUAUGAUCGUUUAGUUUAUUGCUAUUGCUUUCUUCAUGACUUAUACAUGUUCCUAUGACUAUGAGAUUAUGCAACUCCCGAAUACCAGAGGAACACUUAGUGUGCUAUCAAACGUCACAACGUAACUGGGUGAUUAUAAAGAUGCUCUACAGGUGUCUCCGAUGGUGUUUGUUGAGUUGGCAUAGAUCGAGAUUAGGAUUUGUGACUCCGAUUGUCGGAGAGGUAUCUCUGGGCCCUCUCGGUAAUGCACAUCACUAUAAGCCUUGCAAGCAAUGUGACUAAUGAAUUAGUUGCAGGAUGAUGCAUUACGAAACGAGUAAAGAGGCUUGCCGGUAACGAGAUUGAACUAGGUAUGAUGAUACCAACGAUCGAAUCUCGGGCAAGUAACAUACCGAUGACAAAGGGAACAACAUAUGUUGUUAUGCGGUUUGACCGAGAAAGAUUUUCGAAGAAUAUGUAGGAGCCAAUAUGAGAAUCUAGGUUCCGCUAUUGGUUAUUGACCAGAGAUGUGUCUCGGUCAUGUCUACAUAGUUCUCGAACCUGUAGGGUCCGCACGCUUAACGUUCGAUGAUGAUUCGUAUUAUGAGUUUAUGUGAUUUGAUGUACCGAAGGUUGUUCGGAGUCCCGGAUGAGAUCACGGACAUGACGAGGAGUCUCGAAAUGGUUGAUACAUAAAUAUUCAUAUAUUGGAAGGCUAGAUUUGGACACCAGAAUGGUUCGGGUCAUUUUGGAUAAGUUUCAGAGUACCAGGGGUUACCGGAACCCCCCGGGAAGUUAUUGGGCCUCAUGGGCCUAGUGGUGGAAGAGAGGAGGCAGGCCAAGGUGUGGCGCAUGCCCCCCUAGCCCAAACCUAAUUGGACUAGGGCUAGAGGGGCCGCCUCCCCCCUUUCCUUCUCUUCUCCCUCUCCUUCCCCUUCUCCUUGUGGAAGUAGGAAAGGGGUGGGGGCGAAUCCUCUUGGAGUAGGACUCCCUCCCUUGGGCGCGCCUCCUCCUGGCCGACCUCCUCCUCCCUCCCUCCUUUAUAUACAUGGGGAGGGGGCACCCAAAGGCACAACAGACAAUCUCUUAGCCAUGUGCGGUGCCCCCCUCCAAAGUUUUACACCUCGGUCAUAUCGUCGUAGUGCUUAGGCAAAGCCCUGCGCCGGUAACUUCAUCAUCACCAUCACCAGGCCGUCGUGCUAACAAAACUCUCCCAGCUGGAUCAAGAGUUCGAGGGACGCACCGAGCGGAACGUGUGCAGAUCGCGGAGGUGCCGUGCGUUCGGUACUUGGAUCGGUUGGAUCAUGAAGACGUUCGACUACAUCAACCGCGUUACUAAAUGCUUCCGCUUUUGGUCUACGAGGGUACGUGGACACACUCUCCCCGCUCGUUGCUAUGCUUCUCCUAGAUAGAUCUUGCGUGAUCGUAGGAAUUUUUUUGAAAUACUAAGUUCCCCAACACUUACUCGGGUGUAAGCUUCACUCUGGCCACCCACCAUAAGUGAAUCAUUAACUAUUGCAACACCAUACAACGGGAAUUCCUCACGCUUGUGCGACACGGAGAGCACCAUAGGACAUCACCAAAUAAAACACACAACUCAAACCAAUCACGAUCAUCAAUUAACCCAUAGGACAAAAUGGAUCUACUCAAACAUCAUAGGAUAGCCACAUAUCAUUGGAUAAUACUAUAUAGCGUUGAGCACCAUAUUUAAGUAGAGAUUACAGCAGGGAGAAGAUGUGUUACACCGCUGCAUAGAGGGGAAGAAAGUUGGUGUUGACGGUAGCGAGGUUGUUGGCGUAGAUCGCCGUCACGAUCCUUGCCCCGGCGGCACUUCGGUGCCACCAGGAGAGAGGGGGAGAGAGCCCCCUCCUUCUUCUUCCUCCUUGAUCCCCCCCUCUAGAUGGGAGGAGAGUUCCCCUCUGGUCCUUGACCUCCAUGGCGGUAGGGGGGCGGGAUCCCCUCUGAGAUUGGAUCUAUCUCUCUAUUUCUCUUCUGUUUCGCGACCCUAAUUAUGGCCUUUCACUGUUUCUUAAAUACCUAGAGAUCCGUAACUCUGAUUGGGCUAAUAUUUUAACAUUAUUUUUUUCCAUAUAUAAGCUUCCUUUCGGCCGAAGGACACCUCCAACCAACCUACGGGUGGCCACAAGCUCGCCAGGCGUGCCCUGGGUAGGAGGGUCAGCCCCUUAAGCUUGUGGGACCCUAGGGCAUCAUCUCGGGUUGUGAUGUAGGGUAGAACCCUAGAUGCCCGAUCUUUCUCGAAAUGGAGGGGAUCCCACGAAGAACACGAGGGGAAAUUUGUCGUCUGUGAGCCGACAACAAAGCAACCAUAUAGGCCAGCCCAGUGCCCCCCAGGUUGCACAGGUGGCUGCCACAUGGCAGCUUUGCCAUUUGAUGGCUGAUGGCAAAGCUCUUUGACGUCUGCCAGCUGACGGCAAAGAGCCUGUAUAGCCUUGUUUUUCUGUUUUUUCUUAAAUUCAUUAAAUUUCACAGAAUUUUAUAUAUAUAUAUAUACACACACACACAUUUGAAAAUACUUUCAACAAGCAUACCAACACAUGAAUCGUGAAGAGAGGAAGAAACACGAGGGGAAGAACGAGAGAAAUCACUCAAACCAACAAGAUUUGAUUACCCAUGUGCUAGAUCCUCGAAACACAAAGAGAUACACGAUCCAAAUCAAACAAAGGGGAUACAAGAGGUAACUAGUUCAUCUCCAUGAGGAGGUCUUGAAGGGGUCCACCCGUGAGGGGGUCUUGAAUCCAAGCAUGGAUCUUCUCUGAAGAGGUCGCGGUCUCUCCGAUGUAGUAGAACCAAGUGGAUGAGCUAAGCUCUGUCUCUAAAAUGAGCUAAUCCUUGGCUAACCCUCAAAUGGUGGAGGUGCAGGAGUAUAUAUAGUCUAGGGUCACGAAGGGGUAAGUGAGGGGCGAAGGGGUACAUGGGCCUCGGGCCCAUUACACUAUGCGCAGACAGGCGUCGGACGUCCGACGGGUGUCGGUCGUCCGGUCGCUCGCAGGCGACCAGUCGUCCGGAGGAGGCCGGACUUCCGAUGUUUCGGCUCGGUUGAGGUGGCACCGGAUUUCCGAACGAUGUUGGUCAUCCGGUGGCUGAUGGUUGUCGGACGUCCGACCACUAUAGCUUUCGUCGGAUCGUCCAUCUGGCUGGUGGGGACUCCAGGCGUCGGACGUUCGGUAGUGUCCGGUAGUACGGUGGUUGUCGGAUGUCCGAUAGCUGUAGCUUCCUGGCAGCUCCUUCUCUUGCUCCUCACGCUUGGUGUACUCGCCAUCUUGUCCACGAUCUUCCUCUUGGUUCCUAGUCAUGCAUAGUACAUAUGUUUGAGGUAGUAGCUAUGUCUCACAUGUGGAAAGUGAUAGUUCAGAGAGGAGCGAGUUAACCUUGUGUCCAAUGGCGUAUACUUGAGGUCUCAUCUUAUGUCCUCUUGGGGCUUGGGGUGUAAACAUAGUGUACAUGGGGAUGAUCGUAGGAUGCUCUGCAUCAUUGGGUGUAGCGGCAUCAUCACUGUCGCCUAUGAUGAGAAGGAAGCGGUCUGCUCUCUUGAGCACGCCUACCGGGCCGCAACGGUCGAAAACUCCGAUGGCGAGCGUGACGUCGCGCCUCCUGAGGCUACCUCCCACGAAGAAGAAGUAGCUCCUCCCUAAGAGCCAUCCUGACACAAAGAAGCCCGUCGAUGGCGCCUCAGACUCCGCGCCUGCCGCCGGGUGAUACGUCCAUUUUGCAUCAUGCUUUUAUAUCAAUAUUUAUUGCAUUAUGGUCUAUUAUUACACAUUAUAUCUCAACACUUAUGGCUAUUCUCUCUUAUUUUACAAGGUUUACCAUGAAGAGGGGGAAUGCCAACAGCUGGAAUUCUGGAUGGAAAAGGAGCAAACGUUGGAAACCUAUUCUGCACAACUCCAAAAGACCUGAAACUCCACGAAACAACCUUUUGGAUUUAAUAAGAAUUUAUGAGUGAAAGAAAUAGGCCAGGGGGCCCACACCCUGUCCAGGAGACAGGAGGGCGUGCCCCCUAUCUCCUGGGCCCCCUGGUGGGCCUCCGGUGUCUAUCUUCUGCUAUAUCAUCACUUUUCCCCUGGAAAAAAUCGUGGGCAAGCUUACGGGACAAAACUCCGCCGCCACGAGGCGGAACCUUGGCGGAAUCAAUCUAGGGCUCUGGCGGAGCUGUUCUGCUGGGGACACUUCCCUCCGGGAGGGGGAAAUCAUCACCAACGUCAUCACCAACGAUCCUCUCAUCAAGAGGGGGUCAAUCUCAUCAACAUAUUCACCAGCACCAUCCCCUCUCAAAACCCUAGUUCAUCUCUUGUAUCCAAUCUUGUAUCAAAACCACAAAUUGGUACCUAUGGGUUGCUAGUAGUGUUGAUUACUCCUUGUAGUUGAUGCUAUUUGGUUUACUUGGUGGAAGAUCAUAUGUUCAGAUCCUUUAUGCAUAUUAUUUCUCCUGUGAUUAUGAACAUUAAUAUGCUUUGUGAGUAGUUACGUUUGUUCCCGAGGACAUGGGUGAAGUCUUGCUAUUAGUAGUCAUGUGAAUUUGGUAUUCGUUCGAUAUUUUGAUGAGAUGUAUGUUGUCUUUCCUCUAGUGGUGUUAUGUGAACGUCGACUACAUGACACUUCACCAUUAUUUGGGCCUAGAGGAAGGCAUGGGGAAGUAAUAAGUAGAUGAUGGGUUGCUAGAGUGACAGAAGCUUAAACCCUAGUUUAUGCGUUGCUUCGUUAGGGGUUGAUAUGGACCCAUAUGUUUAAUGCUGUGGUUAGGUUUACCUUAAUACUCCUUUUUGUAGUUGCGGAUGCUUGCAAUAGGGGUUAAUCAUAAGUGGGAUGCUUGUCCAUGUUAGGGCAGUACCCAAGUGCCGGUCCACCCACAUAUCAAAUUAUCAAAGUACCGAACGCGAAUCAUAUGAACGUGAUGAAAACUAGCUCGACGAUAAUUCCCAAUGUGUCCUCGGGAGCUCCUUCUUCAUUAUUAGAAUUUGUCCAGGCUUAUCCUUUGCUACCUAAUGGAUUGGUCCACCUUGCUGCACUUUAUUUACUUUAUUUACUAUUUGCUCAUUACUAUUUGUCUUAUCGCAAAACUAUCUAUCACUUACUAUUUCAGUGCUUGCAGAGAAAACCUUAUCGAAAACCGCUUAUCAUUUCCUUCUACUCCUCGUUGGGUUCGACACUCUUACUUAUCGAAAGGACUAUGAUAGAUCCCCUAUACUUGUGGGUCAUCAAGACUCUUUUCUGGCGCCAUUGCCGGGGAGCGUAGCGCUCUUGGUGAGUGAAACUUGGUAAGGAAACAUUAUAUAGUGUGUUGAAAUUUUCUGUUACUUGUCACAAUGGAAACUAAUCCUUUGAGGGGCUUGCUUGGGGUAUCUUCACCCCAACCAGAAGAGCAAAGAGAUGCUCCUCAACCUACUGAACUUUAUGAAAAUAUUCACUUUGAGAUUCCUUCGGGUAUGAUAGAAAAACUGCUAGCUAAUCCUUUUGCAGGAGACGGAACAUUGCAUCCCGAUUUACACCUUAUCUUUGUGGAUGAAGUUUAUGGAUUAUUUAAGCUUGCAGGUAUUCCCGAUGAUGUUGUCAAAAGGAAGGUCUUCCCUUUAUCUUUGAAGGGAGAUGCAAUGACAUGGUAUAGGCUAUGUGAUGAUACGAGAUCUUGGAAUUAUAAGCGAUUGAAGUUGGAAUUUCACCAGAAGUUCUAUCCUAUGCAUCUUGUUCAUCAUGAUCGUGAUUACAUAUAUAAUUGUUGGCCUCGCGAAGGAGAAAGCAUCGCUCAAGCUUGGGGGAGGCUUAAGUCAAUGUUAUAUUCAUCCCCAAUCAUGAUCUCUCUCAGGAAAUGAUUAUUCAGAACUUUUAUGCUCGGCUUUCUCUUGAUAAUCGCAACUUGAUCGAUACUUCCUGUGCUGGUUCCUAUAUGCUGAAGACUAUUGAUUUAAAAUGGGACUUAUUGGAAAGAAUUAAACGCGACUCUGAAGAUUGGGGUUCCGACGAUGGUAAGGAGUCAGGUAUGACACCUAAGUUCGAUUGUGUUAAAUCUUUUAUGGAUACCAAUGCUUUCCGUGGAUUUAUCUCUAAGUAUGGACUUGACUCUGAGAUAGUAGCUACUUUUUGUGAAACUUUUGCUACUCACAUUGAUCUCCCUAAAGAGAAGUGGUUUAAAUAUAAACCUCCUGUUGAAGUGAAAGUAGUUGCACCUAUUACAGUCGAAGAAAAGACCAUUACAUAUAGUGAUCCUAUUAUUCCUACUGCUUAUGUUGAAAAACCUCCUUUUCCUGUUAGGAUAAAAGAUCAUGUUAAAGCUUCGACUGUUGUUCGUAAGAGUAAUACUAGGACUUAUACACCUCCUGAGCAAAUUAAUGUUGAACCCGGUAUUGCUAUGAUUAAAGAUCUCUUGGAUGAGGACUUAGAUGUGCAUGUUAUCUCUUUCUUGGGUGAAACUGCUAAUAUUGCUAGACCCGAUACUAAGACACGUAGACCUGUUGUAGGCACACCUGUUAUUUAUGUUAAAAUAGGAGAUCAUUGUUAUCAUGGCUUAUAUGAUAUGGGUGCUAGUGCUAGUGUAAUACCUUAUGAUCUUUAUAAAGAAAUUAUGCACGAUAUUGCACCUGUUGAAUUAGAAGACAUUGAUGUUACUAUUAAGCUUGCUAAUAGGGACACCAUUAAACCUAUUGGGAUUGUUAGAGAUGUUGAAGUCUCGUGUGGGAAGAUUAAAUACCCUGCUAAUUUUCUUGUUCUUGCUUCCCCACAAGAUGAUUUUUGUCCCAUUAUUUUUGGUAGACCCUUCUUGAAUACUGCUAGUGCUAAGAUUAAUUGUAAAAGGAAGGUCGUCACUGUUGGCAUAGAUGGUAUGUCUCAUGAGUUCAAUUUUGCUAAGUUUAGUAGACAACCUCGUGAAAGGGAACCACCACUACAAAAAAACACACUUCCGUGAUGAUACGUGUUUGUCACAGUAGGUCGCGUUUUUUGUCAUGCAUGUACAUCCAUGACAAAUUUAUGACAGAAUCGAGAUAGUCAUACCUGUGUUGUCGUAGAAGUGUUCGAUGACAUUACCAAAAUUAUCAUUACGGAAGUGUCCACUUCCAUGACGAUAAAUCGCGCGUCACAGAAGUGCUUUCGUCAAGGGUGACCGACAUGUGGCAUCCACCACAACGGAACGCCGUUAAGCUAUCGGGUCGGGUUUUGGAUCCGAUAACCCGUUAACAGCCCCGACCAAUGGGGAUUUUCCACGUGUAAAAUCAUCAUUGGCUGGAGGAAACACGUGUCGGCUCAUUGUUGGGACACAUGUCAUCCACUCAUUGGACAGAAGGCGCCUAUGAUACGUCGACACGUGGCACGGCCCAACAGAGGCCCAUUCCUGUGAAAAGGCCGGCCCGUUUAACUUGGUCAAAAGGUGACGGCCCAGCCCAUGGAAAGCCUGUUAAUGGCCUGUUCGCAUAUAGCCCAUUUACAGCCCGCUAUCCCAAGGCCCGUUGCGCCCUAUCCGAAUUAGGCCCAGUAGCGUCAUCUGGGCCAUCCAAUAUGAUUCCAGCCCGUUUUCACUUCUGGCCCAUGUAUGGCCCAUGACAUCUUUUGGCCCAUAUGAGGCCCUAUGUAACUCUUGGCCUAUUAACGGCCCGUGGUGAAACUAGCCCGCAAUGAACAGUGUAUUACUUUAGACCCAUUAACGGCCCGUGGUGAAACUGGCCCGUAAUGAACAGUGUAUCGCUUUAUACCCAUUAAGGGCCCGUUAUUCAGUUGGGCCGUUUACAGCCCAUGUUAUCUUUCGACCUUCUUAGAGCCCAUUUAUUCUUGGGCUUAUUUGCAGCAUUCGGUUACUUAAGGCCCGUUACUGUCAUUUUCUGCUUGUGGGCCAAAUUCAGCCCGUCAUUACAGUCGCCCCGUUUGUGGUUCGUUAGUCUGUUGGGCCAUUUUCAUAGCAUCACCAAAUACGGCCUAUUAACAGCCCGUUAUGGUCAGCCAAUAAAACAUAUGAUUUCCAUUAUAGGCCCGUCUACGGCCCAUUAAAGGCCAGUACAAGACCCAUAAAUGAGUCGGCGGCCCAUGGAUCCUACGUGAUGUAGAAGGCCCAUGGAUCCUGCGAGACGUAGAAGGCCCAUGGACACUGCGAGACGUAGAAGGCCCAUGGACACUGCGAGAUGUAGAAGGCCCAUGGAUCCUAUGAGACGUAGAAGGCCCAUGGAUCCUACGAGACGUAGAAGGCCCAUGGUCGGGCGAGUUGGCCCCCGUUUGAACGAUAUAGCAUAUUCAAAGAAUUAUCCUACUCAAUACUAUCACCUCUAAAAAGUAUACACUAUACAACAAAGAGAUCAAGGCAUAGAAAGGUAGAAUAAUCCUACACUAUACAAUAAAGAAAUUACAGCCAAUUACACCCACUGGGCAUUAUGGUACGACACAGGUGAUAAUAAAGCAUACACAAAUAGCAAAUUACACACUGGGCAAAUAUGGCUCAUACAUCAUGGACGUGCAUCAACUUAACUCCAUUUGAACUAUAAUCUCUUCAGAAAAUAGGAUUGGCCGGAUUCAGAUAGCACAAAUUUCAGUCUGCAAAAUCUCCAAUUCCUUCCUUGUUACAUCGGUGUCUUGUUUCAUUUUUUGACUCCUGCAUCUAAUACCUGCAUGUCCAGUCUCAACUUGUUGAUUAUACAUUGACAAUCAUGUAAACGUUGUCUUGCCACCUCUAGUUGAUGCUCGAGAACAUCAGCACAUUCCAAUUUCAAUCCAUAAUCAUUCGGUAACAGCCAUGCCGCACUGCUCGCAGACUUUUGUGUUGAUGUCACUUCAUCCUGAAAUGUUUCUGUAAGUACACAUGACUAGGGCAAAAAUAUAAUUACAACAGUGAAGCGAACAAGACACUAUUUUGUACUACAUGGCAAAACAGGACUAACAAUAAUGUUACAUGUCACUUUCACAAAAAAAAUGUUACACGUCAUGAAGCAUAAGCAGGUGAUAUUUUAAAAAUUAUAAAAAAGAUAGUCUGUGCAGCCUGCAUACAGAAAUCCCUCUUAGCUCACCAGAGGAGCAUGAUGUUGGGGCCCAAUCAAAAACAUAGACAAGUUACAAAUUUAGACAAAACAUUGCGUAUAAGUAAGCAAGCAGUUGGCCAUUUGUACCUCAAUUAAAGUCUUAGGGAGCAUAAUGAACAGCAGAGGGUUUCAUACAAACAUACUACAACAGGCAAAACUAUGCAAUCAUUAGCAUAGUAUAAACUAGAUUGUGAGCCUCAUGCAAUAAUAGUUGGCUAAUAGACUUCAAAGCUUCAGGCACACUUCGGCAGAGUAAUUAAAUGGUAAGGCCUUUAAUCAUGUCAACUAAUAGUGAUACAAGUACCGAACAUCAGGCACAAUUAUUUGGGCAUCUCAUUAAGUGAGGACAAAUAAAGCAAUUGAAAAUAGAAAAUUAACUAUGCCUGAAACAAACAAGGAAUUGAACUGUUGAGUUGCAUACAGUGACUUACCUUAGUAGGUUGAAGAGGCUCAGCGCAGCUCCUACUUCUCUUGCAAGGCUCCUUCCUAACAUCUUGUACUUGGAAAUCCUCAAUCUUAUCUUCAUUGCACCCCCUCUGCAAGGUGACACAAACUAGUUACUCGUCUCCUUGGAAGAUAAAUAUGCAUACUUUCCAGUCUGUGAACACAAAAGGAUGAGAUUAUAACAAAACAACACCACAUAAUGAAACAUGCCGCAUCUCUUGCACUUGCAAACAAUGAAAUGAGCAUUUACUAUGUCUGCACUAUGUAAAAACUAGGCAUACCUUUGAACUGGAUCUCCAGGUACUCUUGGAGAGCCUACUGUAGUGUACAGCCAAACCUUUAUUCACCUAUGAGUUAGACAAGGCCCCACUACAGCAGCCCUUAGUGUUUAAAUCGUUGACAAGCUCUGUUAGAGUGUUAGGUCAAGAACAACAAGUAAUCAAAGCAAACAUUCCUAGUAUGGCUGGCUGAUGCAAACAAGCAAUUGAAUAGAUGUGUGAGCAAAUCUUACAUAUCAAGAAAAGAAGCAAAGAAGGAGGCUUAAAGACCAUCACUUGACUGACCAGAUUUAAGGGGCAUUUAAACAUCAUAUGCAACGUAUGAACUAACAUAAACAUUGCAUAUUCCAGAUUCUACAAUGGAAUGCACAUGUAUUAGGUUAUGCCAUGUAUGAUGAUGCCUAAAUGUACAUAUAGCAUGCAUGAGUGAUUCAUGAUUGCAUGCACAAUUGAAUUGCAGGUUAAGGGCCAGUUCGAUUCCGCCUUUUCAGGGUAUAUUGUCAAAAUAAGCCAUAAAAGAUGUAAAGAAGUCAUUUUUGAGUUAUGGGCUUGGGCUUAACUAAUUUCGCUUUGGAGGGGGGUGAUUCGGGUAGAACCUCACUAAAAAUUGAAGGGAAGGGGAAUAGUGAAAUGACUCUGUUGUCUGCCUAUAUUACACUCAAAAUGCAACUGCUGACGCUAGUGUCACACCUGACCCUCAAGUAAAAACAAACACGCAAGCAUUCAUUGCCUUGCUCGCUUGCAUCUCCUCUCCCCUUUCCCUCUACCUCGAUCCCUUGCCUGCAGCACUAGGGUUCCUCCAGCCAACCGUCGCCACUGGUCCCAUCUGGCCUGGUCCUCGACGAUGCUAUGUCCAGCUAGGCUACAUGGCCGGCAGGUAGGGGCAAAUCUCCCUGGCUGCUCCUCCCUCUGGCGCCACCCCUCAUUCUCAUGGUCUCUAGCAGCUGCUCCACUUUGGUUCGUCCAACGUACUACUCCAGUGGGCGCUGCACAACUACGGCUGAUGCCACACUGUGGCAGAAGGCACCUUGUUACCCCUCCCCUCCUCCCAGGCCAUGGUGUUGAGGUGCUGUUGAAGGAUGAGCAUAUCCAACAAGGUGAGGAUAUCCUCUGAUUUUUUGCCAAAUUUUCAUUCUGAUCCUCUACACGAUGAAUUGCUAUGAGCUGCUUCUGCUGCUGCUAUAUGAUGCAUUGCUAUGAGCUGCUCCUGCUACUGCUAUAUGAUGAAUUGCUAUGAGCUGCUGAUGUUGUAUGAUGAGUUGCUAUGAGCUGCUGCUGCUGCUAUAUGAUGAAUUGCUAUGAGCUGCUGCUGCUGCUAUAUGAUGAGUUGCUACAAGCUGCUCCUGCUACUGCUAUAUGAUGAAUUGCUAUGAGCUGCUCCUGCUGCUGCUAUAUGAUGAGUUGCUAUGAGCUGCUGCUGGUAUAUNNNNNNNNNNNNNNNNNNNNNNNNNNNNNNNNNNNNNNNNNNNNNNNNNNNNNNNNNNNNNNNNNNNNNNNNNNNNNNNNNNNNNNNNNNNNNNNNNNNNNNNNNNNNNNNNNNNNNNNNNNNNNNNNNNNNNNNNNNNNNNNNNNNNNNNNNNNNNNNNNNNNNNNNNNNNNNNNNNNNNNNNNNNNNNNNNNNNNNNNNNNNNNNNNNNNNNNNNNNNNNNNNNNNNNNNNNNNNNNNNNNNNNNNNNNNNNNNNNNNNNNNNNNNNNNNNNNNNNNNNNNNNNNNNNNNNNNNNNNNNNNNNNUGCUGGUAUAUGAUGAAUUGCAGACUGCUGCUGCUGUAUGAUGAGUUGCUAUGAGCUGCUGCUGCUAUAUGAUGAGUUGCUACAAGCUGCUGCUGCUGCUGCUAUAUGAUGAAUUGCUAUGAGUUGCUCCUGCUGCUGCUAUAUGAUGAAUUGCUAUGAGCUGCUGCUGGUAUAUGAUGAAUUGCAGACUGCUGCUGUUGUAUGAUGAGUUGCUAUGAGCUGCUGUUGCUGCUGCUAUAUGAUGCUUUCAGGUGGUGCUGCUAUAUGAUAACAACCAGCCACUUGGACCAUCGAAUUUCAACAAAUAAUUGUUCUUCAUUUAAAUGUGGGUCCUGCGUUCUUCGUUUAAAUUAGGCAAUGGGAUCUCUAUGGAAAACAUUGACCGAAGUAGAUUGUGCCAAGUAGAUGGUAUCUUUGUAUUUGCAUUUUGAGCAAAUAGUGAUGGUCUGUUUUCCUAUCAUAUUAAUUACUGUACUGGGUUCAAUUUGUGAUGUUUGCAAGUCAAAUUAAUUUCCAUAUGUGCAGCAAAAUGAAAUAUAUAUAUAUAAUGCAAUCUAGACUUUCCACUGAUCAUACCAAAGAUAAGCUGAAAACGCAAUGAAAAGAACUGGUUGGUGUAUUACAUGGAGCUUAUAUUCACAUGUGCUUAUUUUCUUAGGAUAACUCGUAAUAACUGUCCCUAAGAAACUUGGCUAAUAGAACUGGCAUACAAAUAACAUGUCACGAUGAUUGCAAUGGAGGAGUGACGUACCAUAGAACACUGUAUAGGCUCACCGCUGCCUCUCCUUUUUUUGCGAUGUUCCAUGAAAUUGCCACAUACAUCUUGUACUUUUUCAUUGUGUAACCCUAUCUGCAAGUUGACACGGCUAAUUUCAGACAUCUCUACAUGAUACUACAUUGCAUAUCCCUUGCGCAUAUUUAAACCACCAAUUAACGAUUGUGUGCGUACCAUAAACUAGCCAUGACUCUGUAUGCUGGACUGGCAAGCACUCUAAGGGAGCCUAAUAUAGGGCACUGGAAUUCCUACAUGCCACCUACGUUUUGUGUAAUGUACUGCCCCUGUUCCUAAAUAUAUGUCUUUGUAGAGAUUCCAGUAUGGACCACAUAUCGAUGUAUAUAGAUACAUUUUCGAGUGUAGAUUCACUCAUUUUGCUCCGUAUGUAGCCUAUAGUGGAAUCUCUAGAAAGACUUAUAUUUAGGAACGGAGGUAUGAGGUAGUAUCAUGUAUGACAUCUACAUAUCUAAUUUAGCAGCGAGUAGUAGAAAUCAUUGUCUGCACAAAGGGAUUACUGGUCGAAAAUCCUAGCAAAGCACGCUGGCAGGCACAGAACAAUACAAGAGAGAGAGAGACACGCUUACAAGAUCAUAGCAAUGCCUCAGUCUAGGAUCUUGGUUGGCCAAGCUGUUAGAUCCAGAAGAAACAUUGUCCUUGUAGUUUCUGCCAGCUGCAUAACAGGUAACAGCGACCGGUUAGUAUAUUUGAAGUACAUUGGGCAGGUGAUGCUGGACGGGUUUAAAGGUGACAAGUACCUAGGCCGUGGCGGGUGCUUGGCAUCUCUCCAGACGGUGGGAAUCCGGUUAGAAACGUCGAGGGUGAUGACGCUGCGCUGGCUGUCGGGGUCCGGUAAGGAGAUCUAGAACCGUCGAGUAGGUUGUUUGUGGAGCGGCUCCGGUAGGGUGGACUACGGUGUGGGCGAAGCGGAUCUAUAGCCAUGGACGAGGGCGUAGGUGAAGCUGCUCCGGUGGUAGGGUUAAGGAUGGUGUCGACGACGCGGAUCUGCGGCCGUGGACGGGGUGUUAGAAGCUGCUCCGGUGGUUGGGUUAAGGAUGGUGUCGACGAUGCGGAUCUGCGGCCGUGGACGGGGCGUCAGAAGCUGCUCCGGUGGUUGGGUUAAGGGUGGUGUCGAUGAUGCGGAUCUGCGGCCGUGGACGGGGCGUCAGAAGCUGCUCCGGUAGGUUAGAUGAGGGUGCGAGGAAGCGGAUCUGAGGCCGUGGACUUGUGAGUUGGCAAAGCGGCCCCGGUAGGGUUGAGAAUGGUAUAGGCGAAGCUACUCCGGUAGGGUUGACGCUGGUGUCGGCGAAGCAGCUCCGGUAGGGUUGAGGAAGGUGUCGGCGAAGCGCCUCCGGUAGGGUUGAGGAAGGUGUCGGCGAAGAGGAUCAGAGGCCGUCGACGGGGGCGUCGGUGGGGCGGCUCCGGGGGGUGUGGACGAAGCGUCUCCGGUGGGGAGUACGAAUGAGCCGCUGCAGAUGCGCAACGGUUGACGAGAGUACCGGCGAAGCAGAUCUGGUGCCGUGGACAAGGCCGACACUGAAUGGGCUGUGGUAUAGUGGUGGAUGAGCAGUCUACUUGUUUCUAGGGGAGGUGGGAGGGGUAGAUUCGGCCGCAGAAGCAGAUCCGGCAAGGUGGACGUCGCUGGAAGUGAAUGGGCUAUGGUACGCCGGUGGAUGAGCAGUCUAGGGUUUCAAGAGGGGAGGGGAGAAAGGGCGAUGAAGUACGGACGGCGUGAUGUAAGAUGCUCUGGUGCUGUGGAGUUAGUCGUUUUUGCGGGAGGGGGGGAGAGGAAAUGGGGUUGGCGUGUAGUGGGGGGAACUGGAAGUUACCAAAGCAGCCCCGACCUAUCAUGUAGAUGAGGGUGGUAUUGUAACUGUUGGUCUCCGUGCACCAAGGACAAAAUGGGGAUUUCACAUGCUAAAGACUAAGGUGGCGGAAAUUUUAGAAGGAGGCGGGAGAUUUUGCCGCCCGCGGGAUCGUUCGUAUCCAGUUUCAACUAAUUUUGGCCCGUGCUAGCGGGAAGGUCAUGCUAGACUGUUUACACGGGGCACACGUCAGCAGUUAAUAACUGGUGUGAAGUCCACCCCCCAAAAAAAGACAAUAACUCGGGAUGAUGCGCCGAUAACUUGGACGUUCACACGGGUGCGGCCAAUCUUACGGGUGUAGUGGCGCGUUCACAGGAAAAGGGAUCAAACGCUCAGCCUAUGUAUUUAUCGUGUAAAUAGAUAAUUUAGUGCCAUUGGUUAUUUACUUUAAACAUAAUGCAUUGACGUGUUAGUGUAGAGGCGCACAAAAAGAAAUGGAUAUUGUAGUUAGCUACUUAAAAGUGUUACCUCAUAUGAUUACAUAGCCUCCAUUUCAUAAAUUGCGUAACUGUUGAAUUCAUAUAUGAAUAUUACAUAUAUAUUACUUCAAAAUAGAAACUUAAAUCAUCCAAGACUAAUGAAUUUGAAUGCAAGAGUAACAAUGGUGCAUGUGCAUGAUAGCUACAUUGGUUGUUUGAAGAAACAUCACUGUAACUUUGGCAUGCACAACUGACAAAGGUUUAUUUAAAUAGAAAAAAAUGUGAUAUGUGAGUGUCCAAUCUUUAUAGCGUUGAAUCGAUAUUGUACCUUUGGCCAUGAUACGAAGUAGAUAUUGACUUAUGUUCAAGCGAUGCAAGUCCACGGUCGCUAGAUAGUGAUACGUGAAUGAAUUGUGCAAUCUCUCACACACGCAUACAUAUCUCAUUUCUUUGUGGGCAUUGGAAUCACACACGCGCACUUCAUGUAUUUAUCUCCCUCCGUCAGGGUUAAAUUCGUCUUUCUACCCUAUCCUACAAGUCUCUCACACAGAAACACACACGCUCUCUAUGUCUAACACGCCCACCCCUUUAAUUCCGCCCACCCACAACCACUAAUGUCUCAAAGUAUAAUAAUGUCUCUCACACAUAUGCUAUCUACCUAUCCCUUAAUAUAGCUAGAUAUGUGUCACACAAACUCCUUCUCCCUACUAGCAAGAUGCCCAUGUGUGUUGCUCGGAACAACAAGAUGCAUUUGUAUGAGAAGUUCAUCUUGUGGGGGAAAAGGAUGAACGAGGGAAUGCCUUAUUUGCAAAUGCGGAGAGGGGUGUGGGUAUCUUUUUGCAAAAUUGCCAUAUUUUCCUUCAUGUCCGUUGGAUAUAAAUCGGAUGGCCUAUAUUGCAGGAUGGCAGGAACACCAUUAUCACCAACUCAGUUUUUUAUAAGAGUAGAGAUAUGUGAGUGUCACUGCCCCCUCCCCCCCCCCACACACACUUCCCAACACCGAAGGAGUAGGGUGACACCUCGAUCUUGAUACUAAUCUAUCAACUGGCUUCUCUCUCAAACAUACACACACACACUACCCGGCACCGAAGGAGUAGGGUGACACCUCAAUCUUGAUACUAAUCUAUCGACUGGAUUCUCUCUCAAACACACACACACACACACUACCCGGCACUGAAGGAGUAGGGUGGCACAUCGAUCUUGAUAAUAAUCUAUCGACUCCUCUUUCAAACACACACACACACACACACACACACUCUCGCUAGUUGUGCCUCUGUGCCUAGCGCGCACACUCUUGAUACGUCUUUCUCUCCCUCACCCCCCCUAACAAUGACAGCAGAAGGGUGACAACUCGAUCUGAUCAUAAUCUGCCAAUUGGUUUCUCUCUCAAACAUUGUGUCUCGGUGCCUCGCUCAGUAGCCCCCUCGAUAUGUAGACUUCUUGCGCGCGCACAACUGUAGUGACGAUGACGCUGAACCCAGUGUGCCUUGUUUUUACCGGCCUCAUUUGAUAGUUUUCACCAUGUUUUCUGUUAAUUAACAAGGCAACCUUUUCUUUGUUACUACUCCCUCCAUUCCAAAAUAGAUGACUCAACUUUGUACUAACUUUAGUAUAAAGUUGGGUCAUCUAUUUUGGAACGGAGUGAGUACUAGUGAAUCUGAAAUCAUUUGGGGCAGACAUAAAACAUAUCACUUCAACCCAAUUAUCACAGCAACCACUUUAAAAGAAAUUAGCUAGCUGCCUGUGCGUUGCACGGAACAUCAAGAUGCAUUUGUAUGAGUAGUUUAUCUUGUGAGAGAAAAGGCCGAACGAGGGAAGGCCUUAUUUGCGAACAUGGAGAGACGUGUGGGUAUAUUUUUGCAAAAUUGCCAUAGUUUCUUUCCUAUCUGUUAGAUAUAAAUCCGAUGGCCUAUAUUGCAGGAUGGCACGCACACCAUCAUCACCAACUCUGUUUUCUACUCCGUCCGUCCGAAAAUACUUGUCAUCAAAAUGGAUAAAAAUAGAUGUAUCUAAAACUAAAAUACGUCUAGAUACAUUUCCUUUUAUCCAUUUUGAUGACAAGUAUUUCCGGACGGAGGGAGUAUUUGUAUUUUUAGAGAUUUCAACAAGUGACUAUGACCGGACCUUACCAACAUACUCAAAAAAGUAGUCCAUAAUUUUGAUGUUACCCUCUUUUUUUGACGGUGCAAUGCCAUCUGGAUACCUCAUAAAUAAAUCAAGGACAAAUCUGACCCCUUCCUGAAAAGACAUACGUAGCAAAAUGAGUGAAUCUACACUCUAAAAUAUGUCUACAUACACAUCCGUAUGUGGUAGUCCAUUUGAAAUCUAAAAAAGAUAAAUAUUUAGGAACGAAUGGAGUAUAUAUAAGAGUAGACAUGGAGAUAUAUCUCCAGCAUGGUCUACAACAAAAAUGUGCUGGGCUGGUUAGCGCCGGAUGCUCGCAAUGCGAUGACAUGAGUUUGAAUUCCGUCUUUUAACUUUAGAUUUGUAUAUUAUAUAUUACUCUACUUAUUUAAUAUAUACUUCUUUCGGUACUGUACUGACAGUGGAACCCACAGAGUGCUUAGAAUAUUAAGGAUGGACUUGUUUCUUUUUAACUUUCUGUACGAAGCUGUAGCCACCCAGCAAGUCACAUGUACACUGUACAUGCAAUUAACUUUUUAUAGAGGGACAAUCAUACAGGCAAUUAACUCAAAUGGAUUGGAUGUCACUCUAUUAUUUCCAGCAUAAAGAGCAUCUCCAACGGCAACCGGCAAAUUUCCUCCCGCUUCCUUCCGCGGAGGACGACAUAAAACGCCAGCGACAUACAUUUUUAAAACUCUAACCAACCAGAUGAAAUUCAUGCAAACACGGAAUGAUUUCAUAUAAGCAUGAAGGAUUUCGUAUAAAAAGCCGGAUCUUCAUAUAAACAUGAUGGAUUUCAUUACAUUUACAUGAACUAAGAGGUGCCAAUCCGGCUCUCUUGUAUAAUUAAUACUCCCUCUGUCCGGAAAUACUUGUCCUAGAAAUUGAUAUAUCUAGACUUAUUUUAGUUCUAAAUGGCCACCCGCGGAUCCCUUUGUCUUCCUCAUGUCCGUUAGACACUUGCGGGGUCGACGAAGGUCCUCGGAAGAGACGAAGCAGCAAAGAAACCACCUGAAUCCGCGGUCGUCGCCUUGGCGGUGGCCUUCAUGGGUCCCAAGUGGCGGCAGCCUCCCGUGUUCUACUUCUCCUCGAUGAUGGCGGCAGACAGGGAGAAGCUGGCCACCGACUGGUCGCUCUCCACGCACCCGGCUUUUGUCUCUGCCUGCAUGGCGCUGCUGCAGGCACGGGAGGCGCGCCCACAGACACGGGAGGCGCGGCCACCGUAGACACUGGUGGCGCGGUACGACGCGACAGCGAUGGCGCCCGUACCGGCGUGCUCGCCGCCGUGCCGGCGUGGAGCAACUCGCCACUCCUCAUCGAGCUGAACUGGAGCGGCGAGUUGCUGAACCACGCGCCUGCUUGGGGCGGCAACUGGCUCCGUCGGGCCAAGCGAGGUUGGUGAAGCACCGAGCGGCCUCGGCCGUAUCCGGAGGGCUCGGCGGGCCACCCAGCCGGGUAAUAUGCCGGAGAACGGCUCAUCGGAAGCCAUCGGAAGGGUGGAUAAAAUGGUGAAGGAGGAGAUGGGGGAGCGGCGGAGGGGUGCGAUUCUUGCCCGUUGUCUGUCUGGCCUCAUGUAAAUAGAGGGCGGAUGGUAGGAGCUUGGCCGGCGCCUGGCCUCGUUUAAACUGAGGGCGGACGAGAGGAGCUCGGCCGGUGUUGCGUUUAAUUCCGGCCCUCUCAUGAACGGAAGUGUGGCCGGAGUAGGACUCUCGGUUUGCAUGCGGGUUUAACGGAGAGGUUUAAUGGAGGCGCCGGGCGUGCAGCGGGCGACACGGUACUAUUCGAUUUGACCACAUUAAUGAGACGUCAAAUCACAAAGGCCCUCGCCUCUCGUGAAACCGACCGAGAUAGACUGCCCCACCCUCUAGCCUUUUAAAAAAUGUAUAUACUCCACUUUUGUACAGUAGUAGUAUCGAUGGAUUGCGCCAUGGAGCAAAACUUGAAAUUAAAAAAAAGGUGGUACAUAUAGAGAGCGCUCGUGAACUAUGUGUCAUACAUGGCAAUAAAUAAAGUACUACAUGAUACUUAUAUGAUACAUCGCAGGAGUACUAAGUAUUAUUAAUACAGUUUUGCUAGAACUCAUCUAGAUGAGAUAUAAUUUGGUCUCAUUCAUCUUUUAUAGCCAUUGGAUGUGAUGCUAUAAGAUGCGUGUGUGCUGACGUGGGUUGUAUUUGUUCUUGUGCAACGAACUGACCACUGCAUGUCAUGUUUGAUAAUUUCAAGUCAUUAAAAGCAUACAAGCCCCACAUCUCUUCUUGGUUGAUUCCUUUAUUUAUGUCAAAAAAUAAGAAACAACGUGAGAGUUAAUGCACCACGCCUAUGUGUUAGACUAGCCACAAUGGUGAGUAACAUACACUAGUAACAUACACAUAUCCCUAGACUAUGUUACUACCUUCAUAGUGGGUACUACCUCCGUCCUGGUUUAUAGGUCCCUUUUAUAGUUUGUGCCAAAUUUUGACUAAAGAUUUAACUAACAAAAUAUUAAUGCAUGUCAAGAAAAAUUAUCUAAUUGGAUUCGUCUUUGAACAUAGUUUUGAAAAAUAUAAUGUUUGGUGACAUGCAUGAACAUUUUCUUAGUUUAGUCUAUGGUCAAAAUUUGGCACGAAAUACAAUGGGGACCAAUAAACUCGGACAGAGGUAGUAGUAACAUAAGUGUGGUAACAUGCAAAGCUUCAUUUAUUAGGUUAUAGACUCAUAUUGCAUUGGGACAUGUGAUGUUACAGUAACUAGCUAAGUUAUUAUAACUACCUCUCUCCUCAUUAACUCACUGCCAGAGUUGGACUCGAUGUUACUGCUGAAGUUACUCCCACGGUGGCUAGUCUUACUAGUAUUUGGUUUUCGUAAGAUGACUUAUAAUACUCAGGCUGGUCGUAAUGAUAGUAUCAUAGCUAGUAUCAUGCAUGCCAACUAGGCAAUUUUGAUGAGGUGUCGUAGCAUUAAAUGAAGAAAGAGAGGGUGUAGUAUCAUAUCAUGAUACCGUAUCAUAUUAAAUGUUAUGCUACUUUGUGUCAUGCAUGGAAAUAAAUAUAGUACUACAUGAUACUAAUAUAUGAUACUAUGCAUUAGGGAGGUAGUAUCAUACACUAGUAUCAUAUGCAUGAUACUAGUAUAUGAUACUCCCCAUUACAACCAGCCUCACCUAGAUGGAAGGAGUAUUCGAUUUGACAGCGGGUGGCGCAGUUCCCGAUACGCCUUUAAUGCAGACGAGGGAGGGAGUAGCGGUUCCCGAUAUGUUGAACGACCAAUGCAUCCUCCUUCAAUUAAUGCAUGAGGGAAGUAAUGGGAGGAGGUCCGGGAAAAGAGGCUGCACGAUGUGAAUGCAACGGAGUUUGCCCUCAUUGCCCUCAUAUAAAGGCGCCCCUCCUCCAUUCCAAUGCAUCUGCCACAUCGUACGCACCUAAGCACUUGCCUAAGCACCUACACUAAGCGCAAAAGAGCUCGCUCCAGACCCAUGGCGGCGAUGCGUGUGAGCGGCCAGCGGCUGUGCCAGAUGGUCCACGACGCCGGCCUGCGGCAUGGCACCGAGGAUUGUCUCCAGACGGUGUUGAAGACCGGCUGGUGGAUGGCCGCCGUCGACGCCAACUACGACUCUCGGUUGGACCAGAUGAUCGUUGCCACCAGCAACAAGUUCACCGUCCUCAAGAAGCUCGCGGACGACAUCGCCGUACUCCUCCAGCCCGCGCGCCCGGGCUCCUCAUUGCCUGCCACCCUAAUCGGCCUCCAUGGUCGGAACCUCUUUCAAGCACUGGUGGCCCUGCGACUGCCCGCCGACGCCACAAAGAAUGUCCACCUGGAGGUCGCGCUCGCCGCGAGGCACCUCGCUCUGCAAGAAUUCGUCGACCUACACAUCCACGCGUAUGAGCAAAUCAUGUACAUAGGUAUCUACAAGGCCAGUGAGGACGCUACGACGUUGGCCUUCCUCAACCGGCUGGAAGCCUUGGAUGCCUUUGUUGAGAAGCUCCUCGACCUCGCCACAAAAGCCGCCGCUCCUUAGCCGCCAUAUGGUGGCCCAGCACACUACGUUGAGGAGGAGGAGGUCGUACGUUCGUGGAUCCAUCUUUCUUCUUGCCUUCUGUAACCACCACUGCGAUUGCAUCAUCGUGGCCUUAAUUCUUAUUGUGCUGUUGCAUUCUCGUUCCAGUCAAUACCGACAUGUGCGAUCCCUUUGCUUAAUUAUAUGCAUCACUGUAGCUAGUACUCCAUCCAUCAAUUUAUAAGUUGUGCUUACCUUUUCCAUCAACUUCGUGCAACGCGCGGGCAUCUUGCUAGAAACACUAGAAUAUGUCUAUAUAAUCCGUAUGUGAUAGUCCAUUUGAAAUCUCAAAAAAGACAAAUAUUUAGGUACGGAGGGAGUAAUAUAUUAGGAGUAUAUCAAAACAAUAGUGAUUUCUUUCAAGUUUGUGAACAAAUACUAGUAUUCUACUACUUUGGAUCCGUCGCAACGCACGGGCACAUUGCUAGUAAAAGGAAAAGGCCUACAACGUUUGCGUCGCACCCCCACAUGCCCGGGAAUCGGGAGUACAACACGACCCGUCUGGCACGACACAUAGCUUAGGGAAGGCGUGUUGCCUACAACCUAGCAUUUUCACUUUCAUGUGGGACCGCCCGUUGAGCAAACCGACACCUCGCCCGCCGCCGGGUUGGAAAACAGAAACAAGGGGAAGAUCUAGCUGUAGCACGGAAGCCAAGAAAUUUUGUGUCAGACGGGGCUCGUUGAUAGAGUAGGAGCAUUCCGUAUUAGUACCACUCCUACCAAGUUUGUACUCCUAAUACUAUUAUAUUACUAGUACUACCACUAUACAACUAGUAGAUACGUGCACGGCACAACAUCGUAGGAACAAAAAAGGGAAGAUCUUGUUUUGGGUGAUUUAUCUUUUUUUCAAUCAACGCAGUAUGAAUAAUAUGAUGUGAGGGGCACCCAUGAAGCUUAUGUGGCUUUGUUGCAUGGCUACGGAAGGUUAGAGAAAAAUAAAUAGAUAAUGUGUUUAGAGUGCACUCCACUAAAUAGAUAUACUUUGGAUCCAUUGCAACAGACCGGCACAUCUAUAUCUAUACCCCCUAUAUAGUGUGUGAAAAACUUUGGAAGUUGGUCGUUGGAUGAAGCCAAUCCGACGGUACAAAGAUGGCAAAUCCGAGCACUACUGGCCAUUGGAUAUCAUCCACCAGAUUCUGCCACAUGUAUAAUCUAGAAGACUCCAUGGUCGAACUUAAUUCAUGACUAACUUUGCCACAACUAAGCUCAGGCAAAGUUAUUAAUAAGUUCUUCAAAAUGAGAGCCACAAGUUGGCAAGCCUAAGGGAAUCUUGUGACAUUUUUUGUGUGUAUGUCAUGUGGGGCCAGUGUGGCUUGCCUAAGGUGUGGCUUGAAUCAAACACUCACCUAAGUUAAUCAAACUUGCCUAACCUUACAUUCCACGAAAUUUUGCCACAAGUUGGCAAUCCUAAGGGAAUCUUGCCACAUUUUUUUGUGUGUAUGUCAUGUGGGGCCAGUGUGGCUUGCCUAAGGUGUGGCUUGAACCAAACACUCACCUAAGUUAAUCAAACUUGCCUAACCUUACAUUCCACCAAAUUUUGCCACAUGUUAGAAUCCAGAAAACUCCACAUGUAGAAGCAUAAUGCACGAACCACCAGAAUCUCAUGCGUGCAAUGCACGUGUACCUUCCUACUAGUACUAGUAGUAGUAAGAAAAAAUUCCAGUUUUGGCACGAGCUCGUACUGCGGGAGCACCACAAGGCCUACCGCAGGAGUUACAUUUUCCUCUCGAGGCCCACAGGACCGAACUUCAGUGGCUUAGUGCCCGGCCUAUGAGUCAAUGACAUGUGGGCCUUAAAUGAGGCUGGCCCACAUGUCAUUCUCAUGGUGGUGGCGUGGUUCGCGACUCACUCGUUUGAGAUGAACCGGCCGGUGGUGGCGUGUCCUUGGCGAGGGUACCACAGCUGGGCGUCGGGGCAUUACGAGGCAUAGAUGGCCACACCGACGGGUACUACCUGUAGUACAUAAGUACUCCAGCUGAGGAUUGAUGCCCGGGAUGAAAUGUGUCACAGCCGCUGGAUGAAAAUUUGAUGGUGUGGGAGUACGGAUCGGAGCACAGCAGCGGAGCAGGCAAACCGCGUCCAAUCGGGUGUGUAUAUGGUAGAAAGUUGAUGGUCGCCGCAGUUCAGCUGGCCGCCAUGUCAUGCACACAAAGGCAGAGGAGCGGUGGGGCCGAGAGGGAUGAGGGGCACGAACAAUGCUACCAUUCUGUCACUGACAUGUGGGACCCAUAAGCGUGGGUCCCACCUGUCAGCGAAGGAAAGGCAGGGCAAGGCAGUGAUAGCCACGUCAGAGGAUCCAUGUCCACAUCGGGGGACGUCGUGCCGUGGGUUGGAGUGGCGUCGUGGGAAUCGCGUGUGGGUGUGGCAGUGGUAGAAACAAGAAACGUGAUGGUCGACGUGGUUCAACUUCCCUGGACAAGCUGUCAUGUCUGCUGACACAUGUAUAUCAAAACUAGAGUGUUUAUAUUUCAAGCAUGUGAACAAGUAUUAUUCUACUAGUUUGGAUCCAUUGCAAUGCACGGGCCAACACAUUGGUAGUAGUAGUGUCCAUCUCUAUCUCUAGAGGCCCUCCCUUGUUCAUCCUUUUCUCUCACAAGAUAAACUACUCAUACAAAUGCAUCUUGAUGUUCCAUGGAACGCACGAGGAUGUUUCCUUGCGGGUCUCUCCAACACGGCGUGGUCGUAGUUGCAAGUUGACGCCCCUUGAGAUGCCGACGUCGAGGGGCACUCGGAUUUCCUCCGAUGAGUAGGUAAGAUGAGUUUGAUCACAUAGUAAAUGCAUUCUAAAGACUACUUCCGUGUCCAUUUCCUAAUUCUCCCCCUACCCACUGUUUCACAGGCUAGGCUCGGUGCGAGUGGAGAUUGGCUUGCAUAUGUAUGGGAGGGUACCAACAUCAAUUUGCACAACAUUUACAACGGUGACACCGUUCCCGUAGAACCUUUGUCAAACAUUGGGAUCAGCCAUGCAACGGGCCACCGCAUGAAUUGGUACGAUGGAACCACGAUGAGAUUGAAUAAAAGAUAGCACGAACCUUGCACAUGGUGGUCAAAGGCAGACCAUGCUGUCUGCGGCCGAUUUGUUGCCGUACGAGUAGGAAGACAUUGUGCUCCUUUCUAACCGCAUCUUCGCGGUGACAAACCAGGGGACUUAUUUUGUAUGGGACACAUCCUAUGAUAUACUCCCUCUCUCCCAGUUUAUUUUUUUGAAUCUUUUCGUUUUAUAAGUUUCAAAUUCAAAUUUAGAGCUCCCCAUCACAUGUUGAGAUUACAAUGUCCAUUAAAUUGUUGCGUGCAUGUAUAGUAAAGAAACAAAUCUCGAGUUUGGCACGAGUUCGUGCUGCGGGAGCACCACAAGCCCUGGCGCAGGAGUUACAUUUCCCUCUCAGGGCUGUCGGGACUGAGCUUCAGCGCCUUACUACACCUACCUUUGAGUUAAUAACAUGUGGAACCGAUAGGUGACUGGUCCACAUGUAAUGCUCCCGAAGGCAGAGGGGCAGUGGGGCCAAGAGGGGUGAGCCACAGGUCGGGGGACAUGUGGUUUCAUGGAUUCGAGCGGCGUCGUGGGAAUCGCGGGUGGUUGUGGUAGAAACUUGAUGCUCGCCGCAUUUUAGGUGGCCCACAUGUCAUGCACACAAAGGCAGAGGGGCGGUGCAGCCGAGAGGGGUGAGGCCCACGUCGGGGGGCGUGGUGCCGUGGGUUGGAGAGGCGUCGUGGGAAUCGCGAGAUGAAACGUGAUGGUCGCCGUAGUUGAACUUCCAUGGACAAGCUGUCAUGUCUACGGACACAUGCACUGUAUACUGAUCACUGGAAGGAGUAGCAGAGAAAGCUAUAUAUGCGGAUAAAUAGUUCCUUAUAGUCAAGCGGACCCACGCUACUACUCUGUUCCAAAGACAUGCACACCAUCGAAAUAGUCCAUCUAUAUCAAUAUACACCGAGAGGGAAUAAUUUUUUUACAAGAGAGGAAAUAGUUCAUCCAUCCAUAAUGCCCUCCUGCUGGUGCAGCGUUUUCUUCUUCUUCUUCUUCUUCUUCUUCUUCUUCUUCUUCUUCUUCUUCUUCUUCUUCUUCUUCUUCUUCUUCUUCUUCUUCUUCUUCUUCUUCUUCUUCUUCUUCUUCUUCUUCUUCUUGUUCUCAUUAUCUGUGGGAGACGGCUUCGCAACAAGCUCUUUGGACCUUGCAGCUAUCUCGAAACUCACAUGGGCAUCGAGGGCAGCAUAUUUUAUCCACUCGUACGUCAAGGGAUAAUUCUCCCAUCUAGACGACCUUAAUGCCACCGUCUCGUCACCCUUCUAAAGAUUUGUACCGAGCACAAAAUUUGCUACGUCGAAUAGGGAUGGUGUCUGUUUAGCACAAUCUUCUACAGGAAUUUUGAUUCUGGUUUGUAGGUCAGCAAUGCUUUUCAAAUCAAGGUUGUAUGGCUCUAGCUUCUGUUUGUCCCCUUCGAUGGCUGCCCCACAGAAGUAUACGUCCUCCCGAGACAAGAAAUCGUGAAGCUCACCUGGUAUGGAGGGCGAGUGUAUGAUGUGGUACACCAAAACAUCAUCUUCGAGGCACAGCUGAAGGACGACGGCGCGCUGGAUCUUCCCAGGGGCACGCUCCAUGUACUCUGCGUCGAGACCGAUGACCCUCGUCUCUACCUUUUUGAGGGAGUUGGAUACAUUGUUGAUCCACUGCCGAACAACCCUUGGGUGGACGGUGACGGUGGCAAUGAUGCGCAUCGAGCCUUCGACGAGGACAUGUUGGACGCUAAAAACCUGCAUCUCGAUCUCUUUUGCCAUUUGGAACCGCUGGAACGGAGGGCUAUGGUUUGGAGAAUUAGGAUUAGAUGGCUAGUCUAACUAAAGUAGUAGAUGAUUAUUUAAAGAGGUUAGAACAAUGAGAACGUAGUGGGGUUUGGAUGCAAAUGAAGACAAAGGGGAGGUGAAGAAGCCGAGGCGAAUCGGUUCCCGAUGGAGAAGUAAAUGGGAGAAGUGGCGUGCAGGCAGUUGAUUAGACGGCUAGGUAGACUAAACGAAAAGGCUAUGCGGGUAGACUGAGGAGUCAUACCUGUUCGUGUACGUGCCCAUCCUUCCUUAUAGGUGGGACCUAUGCAAACAGAUAAAAAAAUGUGUCGUAGCUUUUUUUUUUGAGCCCGUGAGUGGGAGACACGACAUUCUGUGGUUAAGGAAUACUCCCUCCGUUUAGGUGAGUAUAAGUCACCUUAUGAAAAUCAGGUUUUCCCAAAACCUUUAGGCGUGGAGCAUUAACUUCCUGCUCGAUCCCCUCCCAGCCUCGUUAGCCAGCGUUCUCUUCCUCUGCUGCCGCGUUCUACCUUUCCAUUUUUUCCUCUUCUCAAGUGUGGAACGAUCUGCAUGCCGUCCUUGAUGCACCAGAACGACCACUCCAUGCAUCGCGAUAGGGCGUUGAUUGGGCAUGCAUGAGAAUUUGGUUCUGCUCGCAAUAUGGAUGAUACCUGAACGAUGAAGUGAACAGGCAUGCUAGCACGGGAGACCUAUUUCCGCUAUACAAUACUGGAGUACUCAUGUUCCUACUAGUAGUAGUAGUAGUAGUACAACUGUGGUACACUUGAUGGUCAAAAUACUAUUCAUCCGGUCCUCACAGUGAAGUGACAACACCCUGCGCCUUACACUAGUCCAGGCGAGGCGGCGUGUUCGGGUUACCAAAGUCAGCCUCACCCUGUGCACUGUGCAGUCUGUCACCGCUGAUGUACAGCACAUUGGCGCCUCGCCUCGUCUCCCUCUCCGCUCCCAUAGCACCACUCCAUCUCCAUCUCCUUCUCCGUCUCUGUCUCCAUCUUACUGUGCCCCCGUGUACCGUCGCCUCACUCGCCUCCCCCAGUACCACUAUUCCCUUGCUAGCCGCUCCAGCACCGACAUCCUUCUCCCCCGUAAACAAAGCCCCCUUCCAAACUCCACCAUGGCCGAACGCGAACCGUGCAACAUCCAUAUGAGCCGCGAUUGGAGCAAUCUCCCCAGUGACAUCCUCGACCUCUGUUGUUCGUGUAUGGAUAUGUUGACCGCCCUGCGGCUGGCUGCAUGCUCGAGGGACACGCACACGACCAUCGUCGAAGCGAGGCCUAAGCUUUUCAAGACACCCUGCUUGCUGCUAUCUGGUCUUGCGAGAUUGGCUCACCAUGAUACAGAGGCGUGCACGAUGCCCCUCGACUUCAAUCCGAUCUCCAUUAGCCGAAACUUCUUUGCAGGUAUGUAGUGUGUCGCCGUACAUCAUUUCCAUCGACAUCGAUCCGAUCACCAUCGCCCGAAACUUCUUGGCAGGUAUGUACUGGGUCGGCAUGAACUCCCACUGGAUGGCUGCCUUCAGAGAAGACGGUAAAAAGUUGGUGCUCGUGAACUUCCAGACCUCCCAUGAGAUUAUCCUUCCUCCAUUGGAUUAUAUAGAGUAUUACCAUCGCGGUCCAAGUCAUCUAGAUUACUACGUCAGUUGGAUGGACCUUGUUUUGCAGAAGAUUGUAAUCUGCCAAGUACCCACACGAGAUGCGAAUUAUGCAGACUUCAAGCUAAUUGCCUUGUUCGACCGUGGACUCGCCUAUCUUUACGCCGGUGCCUUUUUUAGCUGGAGACAACUCGGCUCGCAAUGGAUCAUCGUCAAAGCUGAUACACACUUAUGUGAUGCUAUUGAACACAAUGGCAUCAUCUACGCGAUCGACAAAGUAGAUGGCACCACGUAUUGCUGGGACGACGCGUGUAAGUUGUUUCCGUCUCAUGUUAAUGAUGACGCCAUGACAUUGUUUGAACUUUUUUGAUGAUUGGCAUAUCCCUGUUUGAGCAGAAUUUGAGUAGAACUAUGGCAAUAUAUUAGAGACGCCGUAAAUCAGCUAUAUUUGGAAUGAGUUAAUUGAUGCUAUUGUGACCAUGUCAUUACAGCCAAUUUGUACCCUGAAUAAUGAAACGGUUAGGAAUAUAUGGAUAUUAUCCUUAUUUUACAGUAAUCUAUAUACUAGUACUAAAUAUGAGUGUGCAUCAAUGGCCAUGUUAGUAUCCUCAUUUUCAUGAUGUAGAAACAUGCACCACACUAUUGGUUUCAUCUAACCAUACAUUAGGGAAGUAAAUAUGCAUAUGGAGAACUCUAUAUUUGGAAGUAGUGAAAUCCUGCAAUGCUUACCAUGUGUACAUACCUAUAUUCGCCCUUCAGCAAUCAAUGACUAGAAUAAUAUCCUCACAAAUUUUUUGCCCACAGAACACGAGUAUAUAACAAUGCAUGGUCUGUUAGUUACCUUGAAGAAUUUGUUUGUGAGGACAGAACAUGAUUACAUAACAUGCAUGACAUGGUAGUUUCCUAUGAAGAAUCGAUUGAGAGAUAACAUGAGUAUAACCAUGCAUGGCACUUCUAUAUUUUCGAACCCAGUAUACAUUUCCCUGUAUUUUCCUCCCAGUUCCAAUAGGGACAUAUCAAUGCGGUUUCUUGCAUUAUCCUACUACUCUGAACAAUGCUGAUCUUACAUUAACAAUGCUUGUCCUUUUUGAUAUGAUGCAGUGUCCCUACAGUUACUGCCCCUUGUAAUUACACCACCUUUGCCAAAAACAGGGAAGCACAACUGGUUCCUCGCUCGAUCAGACGACGGCAAAAGACUGAUGAUCAUUCGGACACAUGAGCCGGAAAAGUUAUAUUGCAAAAAAAACAUUGUAUACAAGCAUCAUGUAAUACGUGAGUAUCCGGACAGUGGUUGUUAUGUCUAUGAGCAGGAUACCAGCUUGUUGGGGCCUUUAGGAUUUUUUAGUUGGAGGCGAGUAAAUAGCCUUGGUUCACACUCUCUGUUUCUCGGACUCAAUUAUCCGAUUAACCAGGAGAUCACCGUUGGCAAGGACCUUGAUGGCAGAGAGGCUCUGUUUGCUAUGGAAAACUGUGUCUACACGGCGAGCCCUAGGAGUUCGGGAGCAUACUCCCCUGAUUGUCAACGAUACAGCCUGCAGCCAAAAGAAGGUGAGAAUGACAAAGGCAUCCGGAUUAACUUUGAUCCUUGGAUGUCUCAAUUACGACAGGCAGUGAUGUGGUUCAAGCCUUCAGGUUGAUAGGUAAUUGGGAUGUUGCAUCGAAAGGGUGGAGUACUGGUGUCUCCGGAUCACUGGUCGCUGAAGCGGGGCUGCAAAUUAUGAUGGUGUUGGAUCAUCUCUUCGAAUGACUUUGUUGUCUUUGCUGCUGGUUCUGGAUGGGUAGUUCUUUCUUUUGUUAUGCAUAUUCCUUGUCAUUUGGUAAUCCUCGUCUAUGUCACUCUUUCUAUGUAAUAGUUGCUUCUGUUUAGAAUGUCAUUCUCAUCUAGAUCAUGAGAGUCUGAGCGCUGCAGAUGGGUACUUUUGGUGGUGUAGCAAGACUUCUUAAGAACUAUCAUGUCUUGCUGUUUAUGUCAGUAGUAGUCACUAGUCAGUGUUUGAAUGUUGUAUAUAUCGUUGUUUCGAACGGUUUAUUGUCUCGAACUAUUGGUGGGCUAAAUGAGGGCAUCACCAUUCUCCAGUGUUCAGAGUAUAUCUCCUUUUUUCAAGUUAUAUAAUUUGAGCUCACUGUCUUUUCGAUGAUGUACACUUGUUUGGGCCAGUGAGGUUGCGUUGAAUAUGGGCCGAGUAGUAACGCAAUGCCAAACAGGUCAAUUAUGACUCUCGGGCCCGGCUCUCAAAAGAUCCUGAAAAAAGGCCGGGCUCUCCAAAAAAGAAAGAAUAAGGACUCUUAGGCCGACGUGUGGGCGCCACCGGUGUUUUCGUGCCCUUGCGCGCCGAGAGCAUAUUGGCGCGUGCUCGAAAUUCAUGCUAGCUUUUCAUCCCCAGUCUACCGCCCCUCCCCCACCUCUGGAAUCUCGAUUCCUACUCCGGUUCCCCCAAGUCCCCCUCAUGUACUCCCUGUACUCAAGCGCACUAUCAUGUCGCCGGUCAACACGGAUCUCCGAGCCGGAGAUCCUGAGGUCCGUCCUGCCUUCGGUCACUGCGUGCUGUUGCUCAACAGUGGCAUGGCAGCGCUUGACGACCAGUUUGUCGGCAAAGUGCUGAUGGUAACCAUCAACAGCGACCGGCCUCCCGUCUUGCCGGAUGACCUUGUCAAAGCUCUUGGCAUUGCCCACAGCAUCCAAAUAAGUGACUUGCUCGUCGAAGUCUGUCUGCCACCGGCUGAUUUCUUCGUCAGGUUCCGAACAACUUUCAACUACAGUCGUGUGUUCGAAUCUUCCCGGCGUUUGUUCUGCGAUGGCGCGCUGGUGAGCUUUGAUCGGUGGCACCCAGGAUGGGGCUCGGUGCCCUCUGAGCUUGAGUUUUUAACAAAGCUUACCUUCCACGGCAUGCCUCGACGUGCUUGGAACAACGAGUCCAUGAACGAGCUUAUCAACGACCUUGGAGGUGAGCUCGUAAGUAUGUUUGUUCCUCCAGACAGCUGGGCUCUGACGGUUAUGGCAUGGAUGAAGAAGCCGUCCACCAUACCGAAGGUGAUUGGUGUUGAGAUACCGGUGCAGGAACUGGGGUUGUACUAUUUGUCGCCACCAAGGCCGCCGCGGACCACGUUAGGGACGUACCUUUAUCGAGUGUUCGUGCAUGUCGAAGAAGUGGUCAAUCCAUCAAUCGAAGUCCUGCCGCCCCCGCUGGUGCCAGGGUCCGUCGACGACGUCCAUUACAGGAGUCAACGUCAGACUUUCCCCGUGUUGCUCGGAACGAUGGAUGGCACAGGGCCUACUCCAUCACGCGGCGGAGGCCACUGCUUCUUUGGGAGAAGAGGCAGGGCUGGCUGCCUGGAUGUGCUCUAAUUUGAGGUAACAACUGAAUCUUGUCACAUAGUACUAGUUAAAUCCGAGCUAUGGGUCUGAAGCACUGAUAUGCCAGUACAUUUGAUUGUGACCUGUUCUAAUUUUGUACCUGAACUUUUUUAGAAAGGGCUAUACGUCAACUUAAUGUGCUAGCAGAACUUAUUGUGUUGUCUGUUUGUUUUCUUUGCACAACAUUCAAGAUAUUUCCCCGUCAUUUAUAAAGACGAUGAACCGUUAUGUACGACUUCGUUGGUUUCAACAUAGCCCUUCCCUUAGCGAUCCACUGCUUCCAUCCUAAUUGUGCCGCCUGCGUGAAAUUUUUGUAUGUAAGUUCAGUGUGCUAUGAUGUUCUAUAUGAUUGUGUCAACUAUAUAAGUUUUUACUGAGCAUCAGCAAUGCAUAUGGCUGAAAGAUGUAUUUACGAGCAUCGAUCGAUGGGUCUCUCUCUCUCUCUCUCACACACACACACACACACACACACACACACGCACGCACACACACAUGCGCGCACACGCACAAGUGGGACCCGUUGAAUUAUUUAUUUGCUUGUGACAACUUUUAAUUAGGUUCCAUUGUAAUCUAACUUUUUUCUUAAGUUAUUAGUUGAGCUCAGUGACUUCAAAAAGUUGUACAGAAGCCUUGUUAGGGCCUUUCCGGCGUCCCUGAAUGUGGCUGAGUAACCAUGUUAGGUUGUACUAUACUACACAUGCCUUUUUUUCAACAUCAGCAAUGCAACUGGGCCAACAGUUGUACACAAUAUCCGGGUCAACUUGUUAUCCGACCUGCUGGGCUGCAAAGUUUCCUAGGAGGUAUGCAUUAGGCUUAACAAGAAAAUGGACUUCAAGAAAUAAUAAAUGGGAUGUAAUUAUAAUAACUAGGCAAUUACUAUGCACCAAACACGUAAUUAGUUUGAAAAAUAUAUUAUUUUUGGAAUUUGGAAAUUUUAAUUUCAUUACUUGUUGCGCGCAAUAUUUCAUUGGAUUUUAACGUGAUACAACUUUAUUUUGAAAUUAUAUUUAACCUGACUAGAAAUUUCGGAUAAAAUUAUUUCGGAUCCCAUCAAAAUGUGGGAAUUUUUUUUGAAUUCUAUUUUGAGCGGUUGUUUGAAAUUAUUAAUCAUUGUCCUACCUAGAAGUUGGGCUAUACUUUUAACAAACCCGUAAAUGGGUUGUAGUAAAUUCCAUUAAAAUUGAAAAUGGGUUGUACAUUCUUACAAAUCCCAAAUGGGCUAUAUGUUCUCUGCCAAAUCCGAGCUGUGGGCCUACUAAUUUGACGCGUACCAAGGGCUUUGUCAACUUAGUCAAUAUAAACGAUUCUAGGUGCAGUGAUCGUACGAUGUCCAUCCAACGGCCAUAGUGCUUCUUUAACCUCUGGUCUUCUUGCUCCAGCCACCCAAAGCAGCGCCGGUCCUUGAUACGUCUCCAUCGUAUCUACUUUUCCAAACACUUUUGCCCUUGUUUUGGACUCUAACUUGUAUGAUUUGAAUGGAACUAACCCGGACUGACGCUGUUUUCAGCAGAAUUGCCAUGGUGUUGUUUUUUGUGCAGAAAAUAGAAGUUCUCGGAAUGUCCUGAAACUCCACGGAACACCUUAGAAAAAAUAAAGAAAAAUCCUCGCAAAAGAUGAAGACCAGGGGGCCCACACCCUGCUCACGAGGGUGGGGGGCGCCCCCCCCCUGGUGGCCCUCCGACGCCAACUCCAACUCCAUAUAUUGGCUUUCGGGGAGAAAAAAACAGAGAGAAGAAAGCAUUGCGUUUUACGAUACGGAGCCGCCGCCAAGCCCUAAUCUCUCUUGGGAGGGCUGAUCUGGAAUCCGUUUGGGGCUCCGGAGAGGGGGAUUCAUCGCCGUCGUCAUCAUCAACCAUCCUCCAUCACCAAUGCGUGAGUAAUUGCAUCGUAGGCUUGCUGGACGGUGAUGGGUUGGAUGAGAUUUAUCAUGUAAUCGAGUUAGUUUUGUUAGGGUUUGAUCCCUAGUAUCCAUUAUGUUCUGAGAUUGAUGUUGCUAUGACUUUGCUAUGCUUAAUGCUUGUCACUAGGGCCCGAGUGCCAUGAUUUCAGAUCUGAACCUAUUAUGUUUUCAUGAAUAUAUGUGUGUUCUUGAUCAUAUCUUGCAAGUCUAUAGUCACCUACUAUGUGUUAUGAUCCGGCAACCCCGAAGUGACAAUAAUCGGGACCACUCCCGGUGAUGACCAUAGUUUGAGGAGUUCAUGUAUUCACUAUGUGCUAAUGCUUUGUUCCGGUUCUCUAUUAAAAGGAGGCCUUAAUAUCACUUAGUUUCCAAUAGGACCCCGCUGCCACGGGAGGGUAGGACAAAAGAUGUCAUGCAAGUUCUUUUCCAUAAGCACGUAUGACUAUAUACGGAAUACAUGCCUACAUUACAUUGAUGAACUGGAGCUAGUUCUGUGUCACCCUAUGUUAUGACUAUUACAUGACGAACCGCAUCCGGCAUAAUUAUCCAUCACUAAUCCGGUGCCUACGAGUUUUCCAUAUACUGAUUCUCGCUUAUUUACUUUUCCGUUGCUACUGUUACAAUCACUACAAAAUACCAAAAACAUUACUUUUGUUGUCUUUACUUUUGUUACCAUUACCACCACUAUCAUAUUACUUUGCUACUAAACACUUUGCUGCAGAUAUCAAGUUUCCAGGUGUGGUUGAAUUGACAACUCAGCUGCUAAUACUUGAGAAUAUUCUUUGGCUCCCCUUGUGUCGAAUCAAUAAAUUUGGGUUGAAUACUCUACCCUCGAAAACUUUUGCGAUCCCCUAUACUUGUGGGUUAUCAAGACCUUUUUCUGGCGCCGUUGCCGGGGAGCAUAGAUCUAUUCUUUGAGUCACUUGGGAUUUAUAUCUGCUGGACACUAUGAAGAACUUGAAAGAUGAUCGAACUACUAUUUUGCCCUCAACUACGAGGGGAGGUAAGGGACUGCCAUCUAGCCUUGCACUAGAUUCUCCUUCUGUUAUGAGUAAUUUGCGACACCUAAACCUACUACUGCUAUUGAUUCUAAUAUGUCGCAUGUUAUUGAUGAUGCCACUUCUGCUAUGCAUGAUACUUAUGAUGAAACUACUUCUAUGCUUGAUACAACUGUGCCACUUGGUGAAUUUCUUGAUGAGCAAAUUGCUAGGUCUAGAGAAAGAGAAAUUAUUGAACCUGAACACGAUGAUGCUAGUGAUGAUGAACCUAUGCCUGCUAUUCCUGAGGGUUAUCUUUUUGAUGUUGAAUCUUCAGCAGCUAUUCUUGCUUGCCAGGAUAGACGUGAACUUAAGAGGUUGCUAGUUAAAUGGAGUAAAGAAUCUUUUAGAGAUAGAAUGAGACCCGACCCUGCUUUUGCUACUUCACCUAUCUGUGUGCCUGAUCAGGAUUAUUAUGAUUUUUCUGUUGAUCCAGAUAUAGUUACUUUGGUUGAAUCUGAUCCCUUUUAUGGCUAUGAAUCUGAAACUAUUGUGGCACAUCAUACUAAGUUAAAUGAUAUAGCUUCCCUAUUUACUAAUAAUGAGAGAUCGCGCUACCUUUAUUUACUCAAAAUAUUUCCGUUCUCAUUAAAGGGUGAUGCUAAGAUAUGGUAUAAUUCUCUUGAUCCUGGUUGUGUGCAAAGUCCCCAGGAUAUGAUUUAUUACUUCUCUGCUAAAUAUUUCUCUGCUCAUAAGAAACAAGCUGCUUUGAGGGAAAUAUACAACUUUGUGCAAAUUGAAGAAGAGAGUCUCCCACAAGCUUGGGGGAGGCUUCUCAAGUUACUUAAUUCUUUGCCUGAUCAUCCUCUUAAGAAACCUGAAAUAUUUGAUAUCUUUUAUAAUGGACUAACUGAUGCUUCCAAAGAUUACCUGGAUAGUUGUGCUGGUUCUCUUUUCAGGGAAAGAACACCGGAUGACGUUGAAAUUCUAUUGAAUAAUAUGUUGGCAAAUGAAAAUAAUUGGGCACCUCCCGAGCUACCUCCUGAGCCAGUUCCUGAGCCAAUUACUGAGCCUAUUCCUAAACCAACUCCGAAGAAGAGAGGUGUUCUAUUUCUCAGUCCCGAAGAUAUGCAAGAGGCAAAGAAAUCUAUGAAAGAAAAAGGUAUUAAAGCUGAAGAUGUUAAGAAUUUACCUCCUAUUGAAGAAAUACAUGGUCUUAAUUUACCGCCUGUUGAAGAAGUAUAUGAUCUCAAUUACUUAUUUAAUGAAGAACCUCCCGAUAUCCCGACACAGGUAGUAAAGGUAAAUUCUCUCUAUAGAUAUGAUAAAGCUGAAGUCCCUCCUACUAAAAUUGCUAGUCAGAGCUUGGAUGAGUUUGAUGACUUUAUGUUUAAGAAAGAUGACUUUAAUGCUUAUUUUGGUAGACAAUUAAAACAGAAUACCUUUAUGAUUAAACGCUUGGGUGAUUAUAUGGCUGAUAUUAAAGGUGAACUUAAACUUGUUAGCAAACAUGCUUCUAUGGUUACCACUCAAGUAGAACAAGUACUUAAAGCUCAGAAAGAAGUGCUUGAUGAAAUGAAUAGUAAGAAAAAUGAUUAUGCUGUUAGAGUGGCUACUAGAACUGGUAGAAUGACUCAGGAACCUGUGUAUCCUGAAGGCCACCCUAAGAGAAUCGAGCAAGAUUCUCAGAGAAACAAUAUUGAUGUACCUAGUUCUUCUAAGAGGAAGAAAAAGAAAAAUGAUAGGACUUUGCAAACUUCUAGUGAACCUAUUGUUGAACCACCUGAGAAUCCAAAUGGUAUCUCUAUUUUUGAUGCUGAAACUCAAUCAGGUGAUGAACCUGAACCUAGUGAUAAUGUUAAUGAUAAUGUUCAUGUUGAUGCUCAACCUAGUAAUGACAAUUGUCACGCCCAAUAUGCGACCCUAUCCAAAAGGAACUCGAAGGUCCCACCAAGGAUAGACCCGCAUAUUGAAACGCUUUUGCAAGGUGGAUAUCAUUACAUCAACAUUACAUAAUAGAUGGGGAUACAUACACGAGGCAUACAAUGCCACAUGAAUACAACAUCACAAUACAAAAGAGCAUCAUCCGACUACGGAUGAAACACAAACAGAAACUCACACAACAUCCACCCUGCUAGCCCAGGCUGCCGACCUGGAACCUAUCCCUGAUCGAAGAAGAAGCAGAAGAAGAACUCCAAAACAAGCAAACAUCACUCUCGCGUCAUGAUCAUCGCACAACCUGUACCUGCAACUGUUGUGGUAGUAAUCUGUGAGCCACGAGGACUCAGCAAUCCCAUUACCAUGGGUAUCAAGACUAGCAAAGCUUAAAGGGAAAGGAAGGGGUAAAGUGGUGAGGCUGCAGCAGUGACUAAGCAUAUAUGGUGGCUAACAUACGCAAAUAAGAGCGAGAAGAGAGCAAGCGGAACGGUCUUGAAGCUAGCAAUGAUCAAGAAGUGAUCCUGAACUCCUACUUACGUCAAACAUAACCCAUAAACCGUGUUCACUUCCCGGACUCCACCGAUAAGAGACCAUCACGGCUACACACGCGGUUGAUGCGUUUUAAUUCGGAUCUGGUGUCAAGUUAUCUACAACUGGACAUUAACAAAUUCCCAUAUGCCUAUAACCGCAGGCACGGCUUUCGAAAGAUUAUACCCUGCAGGGGUGUCCCAACUUAGCCCAUGACAAGCUCUCGCGAUCAAUGAAGGAUAUACCUUCUCCCAGGAAGACCCGAUCAGACUUGGAAUCCCGGUUUACAAGACAUUUCGACAAUGGUAAAACAAGACCAGCAAGACCGCCCGAUGCACCGAGAAUCCCGAUAGGAGCUGCACAUAUCUCGUUCUCAGGGCAACACCGGAUGAGACAUGCUACGAGUAAAACCAGACUUCGAGUUUCCCCAAGGUGGCCCCGCAGGCGGCUCGGUUCGGACCAACACUUAGACAAGCACUGGCCCGGGGGGGGCUAAAAUAAAGAUGACCCUCGGGUUGGCCAACCCAAGGGAAAGGUAUAGGUGAUGGUGAGGCAAAUGGUAAAAUCAAGGUUGGGCCUUGCUGGAGGAGUUUUAUUCAAAGCGAACUAUCAAGGGGGUCCCAUAAAUCACCCGACCGCGUAAGGAACGCAAAAUCCGGGAACAUAACACCGGUAUGACGGAAACUAGGGCGGCAAGAGUGGAACAAAACACCAGGCAAAAGGCCGAGUCUUCCACCCUUUACCAAGUAUAUUGAUGCAUUAAUAAUAUAAGAGAUAUUGUGAUAUCCCAACCAAAAUCCUGUCCACCAUGGAGCAAUCUUCAACUUCACCUGCAACUAGCAACGCUAUAAGAGGGCUGAGCAAAGCGGUAACAUAGCCAAACAACGGUUUGCAUAGGAAAGGUGUCAAAGGUUAGAGGUUCAUGGCAAUAUGGGAGGGCUUGAUAAACAUGUGAUAGGUAGCGCAGCAAAGCGAUAGAACGAAGCAACUAGCAUAGCAAUGAUAGUAGUGAGAUCCAGGGUAGCGGUCAUCUUGCCUGAAAUCCCGCAAGGAAGAAGAACGAGACCAUGAAGAAGACGAACGGAUGAAGCCGAACCAAGCGUAGACGAACGAAUCCUCACGACCGCAACGAAACAGGAACUAUCAAAAAGAAGCACACAACAUAGUAAACACACCACACAUAGACAAGACAUGAUGCACAACAAGCAUAAUGCAAGACAAGACUACAUUAAGCUACUCAUGGCAAGAGAUGAUGCAAACAAGAGCAACACAUCAAGGCAAGUUUAAAUGAGGCCGGGAACAACAUAUAACAAUUCCGGUAAGUCCUCAUAUGCAAAUUUCGAAGUUGGUCCAGAUCUGAAUAAACCUUAUGUUCAAGUUGUUAAACAGCAAGUUAAGAUGCACAAGGAUGAUCUACACGAGAUUCUAGUCAAGUUACAUAUCAAGUUCAUUUAGUUCGGAGCUACGGCCUAGAAGAUAUGAGCAAAACAAGUUAAACAUGGCAUUGAUGCAAAAUGUAUUCAAACAUCAAGCAAAGACACCAAAACAAGGAUGCAACAUGAUAAUAUGAAACUACAUGCAAUUCUAAGCAAGUUUCAUAUAGAGCACACUCAAAACGGAGCAACGGUUCAACUCAUACACGCUAUACAAGUUUAAAGGACAAGCUGUCCAAAACAGCAACUAGGCAUAUUGCAAGCAUCAAAACAACAUGCUACAGUACCACAAUAUGAAAACAAAAGGCAUGGACAUGAUGUACAGGUAAAGCAUUACAAAACAUGAACACUGAGCUAUCUCCAGAAACUACUAGAACAUGCUCAAACACACAUGGCAAGAUCGCAACUAAUAACAAUUCAGACUUCGUAGAAAAUAACAUCAGGUUGCAAUGUUCAGAGCAAGUUAUCAACAUGCUACAGGAACUUAUCAUGGCAAACAAAGGCAUGACAUGAAUCUACUAAAUGCAUAGAUCAAAAGUCCCUUACUGACCAUGAGCCAAAAAGGAUCAAAAAAUAUGAUGGCACCCAUGUAAACAUAGCAAGUUAUAUUACAGAUUCAAACAUGGCAGGAACAGAAUUAUGAAGGCAUGUUGGUGAGCUUGUGCAACUCACUACAGAGCAAUACAUGGCAUGGCAGGGCAACCAACAGUAAGAAGACAUAUUUGUGAAGGUAAGCAUGGCAAGAGCAAGUCCAUAGGGUGCAUGGAACACUAGGAAAACACAUGGCAACAACUGAACUUAAUGUUAACAGGCUAACAGCAACAUUAUCAAGCAACUUUGGAGCAAGUUACAGCAAGCUAUAAAUGCAACCAGGGACAUGGAUGGAUUGAGCAUGACAUGUAGAAAAAAACAUAUUUAGUGAACAUAUCUAGAUUAUGCACAGAAUGAUUAGUAGCAACAUGUUUACAUAGCAUCACGAAAUAACAGAUUCAGCCUAGCAAAACAGCAACAGCAAGUACACUACUUAACAAGCUCGAUUCACUCACCACAAGUCAUUGAAUGACAAGAUAAGCAUAGCAUCAUCAAGAAGACAUGUUUAUGAAACAAACCAAGGCAAGAACAAGUUCAUAGCACGCACGGAUCAACUACAACAACCUUGGCAAAAUUGAAUAACAUGUAAACAAUCUGCGAGGAAACAUUUUGAAGCAAAAAUAGAGCACGAAAAUGACAUGCUAGACUACUCAAUAAUUGCAACCAGGGGCAUGAAUGGAUAGAAAAUAACCAUAUGUUCAAAAUACCCUUACUGAAGUAUCUCAAAAUAUGCAUGGAUCUCUCUGUAGCAUCAAGUUUACAUGGCAUCAAAAUAACAGCAGAACAGGGACUAAAAUCAGCAACAUCACGAUGCCUAGUUUGCAUGCUUGUGCUAGUCACCACAUUGAUCACAAAAAUACAUGGUAAGCACCUCUGUAAAGAAGACAUGGCAUAAUUCAAAACACAUGUAGACAUCAACCUCAUAGGAUGCACACAUCAAUCAUGGAAAAAAUGACAAAAGAGCUCGUUUUGUUAACAGACAGCAGAAAACAUCAUGAAGCACUCUUGCAACAAUGAUUCAGGCAUCUAGAUGACCUCAAAUGAAAAUGACGCAAUGGAAUGAAAUGAAGUACUCGUUGAGGCGAACAAUUUGACAUAUUACACACACAAAACGGAGCUACGGAUGCAGAGUUACGAUGUGAUGAACAUGUCAUGAAAAUGUCUAAAUAUUUCGGUGACUAGCCGUUUUUAGGAAAAAACAGAGUGAGCGCUAGAUACUAAAUGUGGCCGAGGCGGGUUUUAGGCGGGGCUCACCAUGGGCUUUGGCCCAAGACAGAGAGGAGACAGGCCAGGGCGCGCUGGGCCAGAGCUGGGCCUCGGCGAGGUCGUGGGCCCAUGUGGCCGGCGGCCUGUCGUCGUUCUCCUCGUGCCUGAGGCGCACGAGCAAGAAGCAGGGGGUGGCGACACUGCAGGGAGGGCCGGCGAGGAGGUCGGGACGAUGCGGGGACGGGAAGAUCCGGCCGGCGAGUCGCCGGAUCCGGUGGUGGCGACGCGGUGACGAGCUCGGGCGGUGGAGGCACCCUGCGGGAGAGAGAGAGAGAGAGGCAACCAUGAGUGAGAGGGAGAAGAAAGGAGAAGGAAGGAGAGGGCAGCGGGGCACUCAUCUACGGCGGCGCGGGACGAGGAGAUGCCGGCGGGGCAGGUCGCCGGCGAGGCGGCGGCCUCCGGCAGCUUGAGCAAGGCUCGGGCGGAUGGGAGGAGCCACGGGGCUCGGGCGCGAGCGUGGGCUGCGGCAGGCCCAGAUCCGGCCCGGGGCGGGCCGGUUGCGGGCUUCCGUGGGCCGCGGCGGCUGGGAGGCGCGGGGUGAGGUGGCGAUGCCACAUGGCGGCGGGGCAGUGGCUGGCGGGCGCGAGGAGGCGACAUGGCACGUGCGGAUUGGUCCGGGCGCACCGGCGGCGACGCCAAGUGGCGAAGGGCGGCUGGGGAGGCGCGGAUUUCGAGGAGGAAGGAGGUGGCUGUGGCAGGAGGUAGGGGAAGAGGUCUAGGUUACCCAAAAUAGACUAGGGGUGUCCAUAUAUAGCAAAAUGGUUAGGUUAGGGGGGUUUGGGGGCGUUUUGGAGCCUCUGAUCGUAAUCCGACGGAUCUGAUCACGAGGGGGUUUGGCAGGCCUAGGUGGGCUAUGAAGAGAGGUUGGGCUGAGUGGAGAGAAGAGAGAGAGAGGCCCGGCGGCAGUUUCGAAGACCGAAACAUCUGACGAAGGUACCGGCAACGGUACCGCUAUAUUUAACGGUUGGGCUAACAAAUGCACUCCGAAUGCGAUGAAACUUGGCAGGCGCUCUGUCUACACUAUAAUAAGACCGCACGACAAGUUGCAACCCAUUCCGAGAACAUUUUUAUGCCACUUAUAAAAUAAUAUUUCGGAGGUGCCGCGGGCGCGUGCGAGUGUGGUCUGGACUCCAAACGGACAACGGAGAGAAUCGGGAGGACCCGAACAGAUGCAAGUUUUGAAAAACAUGCAGAUGCAAUGCAGAUGAUGACAUGGCAAAAUGCAACACGCAAGCAAAUGACAUGGCAACGACGGCGAAUAACUGGCGGACACCUGGCGCAUCGAAACCGGGGCGUUACAACACUCCUCCACUAACAAGAGAUCUCGUCCCGAGAUCUUAGGACCGAGACGGAAGAGAAAAAGGGAUGAGGUGAAGCAAUAACUCAAGAGAAGAAGCAAAUAAUCGACAGCACUCGAGAAGAAGAGAGGAACGACGAGAAUGACGAGAAUCAAAAGCUCACGGAAUCAGAUAGACUAUGAAACCACUCCGGUUAAAACGAGAUAAGAAACGAAUAAGACUGAAAGGAUUUAGGUAGCACUCCGGUUAAACAUGGAAAGAAAAGAACAAGAACUUUACCCAAUGAGAUGGCACUUGACGAGAUGACCAACGCAAUGCCUCCGGAAGACUUGAAAGAAUUGAAUGAAAAGAACUUAGAAGGAAGGAUUGAAUGGAGUUGUUGAGAAAAUCAACAACGAAAAGAAUAAGUUUGUUGUGGACUUAUGGAAAACCUCUCAAAAAUUAUGAGGUGAUAACCUACCACAAAUAGAAAAGAUUAAAUAGCUGGGGAGAACGAAGAAAUGCAAAACUCCACUUCAAAAGGAUAUGGAUGAUUAAUUGCACUUCAAGAUGCAAGAAGAAAAGAUAUCUGAAUUCCACCAACAAAAUCUUGAUGUACUCUUGAAGAAUGAAUUAAAUCGUGACGAACCACCAUGAAGAACUCCGGUGACAAAAGGAUGACGAGAUAAAAUGAAAGAUGAAAGGAUAAGAUUAAGCCUUGGGAUGAUUUAGAUGGAGGUUCCGACGAAAUGACUGAGGAAAUUGAACUCCGGAAAAGAAAAGAUGAAGACACUUGGAACUAGAAUUUAUUCAUUAAGAACAAACUCCGAAGGAAAGGAUUACUCACUUGGAUGAAAUAAGAAUAAGAUUUAUUGUAUGCUUAUCCUCCACCAAUUUAAAUUGAUGACUAACAAUGGAUUUCGCAUACUACUUAUUCUUCUUGAAAAAGGAUUGAGAAGUGACAUAUCGCAAACUUGAGAAGGUCUUCAUUAACCACCGGUAGGAUUGGGAAGAACGAAAGAAUUAAAAUGAUAAUCAAAGAAAAAGAAUCUUGAACGAACCACCGUAAAAAUUCGGAAAAGAUUGAAGAAAGAGAGUGAAUCACCGGGAAGAAACAAUAUGUUUGAGGGGGAUUUAGAUGCAAAAGAACAAAUAGAUCAUGAGCUGAUAAAGAAUACUUGAACGAAGCACCGGGAUAAAUAGAGAACGAUAGCUAGAAUGAUGGCCUCUGGAUGAAAAGAAAUGGAAAAAACAACUCCUGACAUACUCCGGAUGGUUAAGAAAAGAAUAUCUGACAAAUGGAAUAAUCCCCGAGGAUAACAUGAAGCUAGAACCACGAAACUUCGAGAGAACGGACACGGUUUAAGAGGAACUCUUCUUCGGUCUUCAAAAGACGACGGGAAACACCACCAAAAUUAUUGAGAUACUCCGGGAGAAUGAAAAAGAGGAAGGGUUGAACCAACAAUGAAAAGAGUUUGAAAACGAUCUUGGAGAAGGCAUCUGACUGAUGAAAUUCAUUCUUAUGUCACACUUUGAAAAGAAUUGAGAAUAACUCUGAGGGAAUUAGAAGAGUCAGGUAAGAUCCUGGGAAAAGACCCGUGGGUUAGGGCCCACUAAAAUAGAACACCGUUGGAAAGGGAUGUUGAACAGAUAGGUGAAGCACUGGAAUGAUCGAAAUAUUUGACUGAGGUGACAACCUUGAAUUAAUUGGAACACAGACGAAUCUCGUGAGAUGUCUUGAGCACUCCGGAAGGAUAAACUGGCGAGAGGCGAACGAGCAAGCAGAACACUAGAUCCAAAUAAAAGAAUAUGAUCAACCUCAAAAACUUGAAUUGGGUCCACCAGAAAAGAGAUGAAGAAUGUCGAACGAAACGAGAAUUCACCGGUUGAAAUAAUUGACGAAAGACUGAAGGGUUCUGCACGAAUGAAAUAGAUUGUCGAGAGAGACUCAGACUCCGGGAAGAAGAGAGUGGGAGGGCGGGAAAACAAAAUCAACUUGGAAGGGGAAAUCGACGAAUAUCUUGAAGAGAAAACACCGGUUGAAAACAUUGAGGAGAGAGAGAAAAAACUUCACACGAGUAGGAUGGAUACUCGAUUACAGACUCUGGUUCCGAGAAGAAGAAGGUGUGGGCGGGUGGGAAAAGAAAACAACUGAGGAUUGAACUCAAAGAUGAAGAGGCUUGAGUCAACUUGACAUGAAAUGCACCGGAUGAAAAGAGCUGAGAACCAACGAUCGGAAAACCAACUGCAUGAUCCUAAGGAAAAAUUUGAAGGGGAAGAGGAGUAGUUCAAAACACCUACGUCAAGAUUCCUCACCAGAGCGACGAAGGGGGCUGAGGAGUAAAAAGAAUUCCUACUCUCCGAUAUAACUAGACUUCGAAAAUAGUUUUCUUCUAGACUCAACAACGGCCAAACUACACGAUCAAUCAAGGGGGCUCCUAGGGUCGGUCGAGGCUCCGAUACCAACUUGUCACGCCCAAUAUGCGACCCUAUCCAAAAGGAACUCGAAGGUCCCACCAAGGAUAGACCCGCAUAUUGAAACGCUUUUGCAAGGUGGAUAUCAUUACAUCAACAUUACAUAAUAGAUGGGGAUACAUACACGAGGCAUACAAUGCCACACGAAUACAGCAUCACAAUACAAAAGAGCAUCAUCCGACUAUGGAUGAAACACAAACAGAAACUCACACGACAUCCACCCUGCUAGCCCAGGCUGCCGACCUGGAACCUAUCCCUGAUCGAAGAAGAAGCAGAAGAAGAACUCCAAAACAAGCAAACAUCGCUCUCGCAUCAUGAUCCUCGCACAACCUGUACCUGCAACUGUUGUGGUAGUAAUCUGUGAGCCACAAGGACUCAGCAAUCCCAUUACCAUGGGUAUCAAGACUAGCAAAGCUUAAAGGGAAAGGAAGGGGUAAAAUGGUGAGGCUGCAGCAGCGACUAAGCAUAUAUGGUGGCUAACAUACGCAAAUAAGAGCGAGAAGAGAGCAAGUGGAACGGUCGUGAAGCUAGCAAUGAUCAAGAAGUGAUCCUGAACUCCUACUUACGUCAAACAUAACCCAUAAACCGUGUUCACUUCCCGGACUCCGCCGAGAAGAGACCAUCACGGCUACACACGCGGUUGAUGCGUUUUAAUUCGGAUCUGGUGUCAAGUUAUCUACAACUGGACAUUAACAAAUUCCUAUCUGCCUAUAACCGCAGGCACGACUUUCGAAAGAUUAUACCCUACAGGGGUGUCCCAACUUAGCCCAUGACAAGCUCUCGCGAUCAAUGAAGGAUAUACCUUCUCCCAGGAAGACCCGAUCAGACUCGGAAUCCCGGUUUACAAGACAUUUCGACAAUGGUAAAACAAGACCAGCAAGACCGCCUGAUGCGCCGACAAUCCCGAUAGGAGCUGCACAUAUCUCGUUCUUAGGGCAACACUGGAUGAGACAGGCUACGAGUAAAACCAGACUUCGAGUUUCCCCGAGGUGGCCCUGCAGGCGGCUCGGUUCGGACCAACACUUAGACAAGCACUGGCCCGAGGAGGGCUAAAAUAAAGAUGACCCUCGGGUUGGCCGACCCAAGGGAAAGGUAUAGGUGACGGUGAGGCAAAUGGUAAAACCAAGGUUGGGCCUUGCUGGAGGAGUUUUAUUCAAAGCGAACUGUCAAGGGGGUCCCAUAAAUCACCCGACCGCGUAAGGAACGCAAAAUCCGGGAACAUAACACCGGUAUGACGAAAACUAGGGCAGCAAGAGUGGAACAAAACACCAGGCAAAAGGCCGAGUCUUCCACCCUUUACCAAGUAUAUAGAUGCAUUAAUAAUAUAAGAGAUAUUGUGAUAUCCCAACCAAAAUCCUAUCCACCAUGGAGCAAUCUUCAACUUCACCUGCAACUAGCAACGCUAUAAGAGGGCUGAGCAAAGCGGUAACAUAGCCAAACAACGGUUUGCAUAGGAAAGGUGUCAAAGGUUAGAGGUUCAUGGCAAUAUGGGAGCGCUUGAUAAACAUGUGAUAGGUAGCGCAGCAAAGCGAUAGAACGAAGCAACUAGCAUAGCAAUGAUAGUAGUGAGAUCUAGGGUAGCGGUCAUCUUGCCUGAAAUCCCGCAAGGAAGAAGAACGAGACCAUGAAGAAGACGAACGGAUGAAGCCGAACCAAGCGUAGACGAACGAAUCCUCACGAUCGCAACGAAACAGGAACUAUCAAAAAGAAGCACACAACAUAGUAAACACACCACACAUAGACAAGACAUGAUGCACAACAAGCAUGAUGCAAGACAAGACUACAUGAAGCUACUCAUGGCAAGAGAUGAUGCAAACAAGAGCAACACAUCAAGGCAAGUUUAAAUGAGGCCGGGAACAACAUAUAACAAUUCCGGUAAGUCCUCAUAUGCAAAUUUCGAAGUUGGUCCAGAUCUGAAUAAACCUUAUGUUCAAGUUGUUAAACAGCAAGUUAAGAUGCACAAGGAUGAUCUACACGCGAUUCUAGUCAAGUUACAUAUGAAGUUCAUUUAGUUCAGAGCUACGGCCUAGAAGAUAUGAGCAAAACAAGUUAAACAUGGCAUUGAUGCAAAAUGCAUUCAAACAUCAAGCAAACACACCAAAACAAGGAUGCAACAUGAUAAUAUGAAACUACAUGAAAUUCUAAGCAAGUUUUAUGUAGAUCACACUCAAAACGGAGCAACGGUUCAACACAUACACGCUAUACAAGUUUAAAGGACAAGCUAUCCAAAACAGCAACUAGGCAUAUUGCAAGCAUCAAAACAACAUGCUACAGUACCACAAUAUGAAAACAAAAGGCAUGAACAUGAUGUAUAGGUAAAGCAUUAUAAAACAUGAACACUGAGCUAUCUCCAGAAACUACUAGAACAUGCGCAAACACACAUGGCAAGAUCGCAACUAAUAACAAUUCAGACUUCGCAGAAAAUAACAUCAGGUUGCAAUGUUCAGAGCAAGUUAUCAACAUGCUACAGGAACUUAUCAUGGCAAACAAAGGCAUUACAUGAAUCUACUAAAUGCAUAGAUUCAAAGUCCCUUACUGACCAUGAGCCAAAAAGGAUCAGAAAAUAUGAUGGCACCCAUGCAAACAUAGCAAGUUAUAUUACAGAUUCAAACAUGGCAGGAACAAAAUUAUGAAGGCAUGUUGGUGAGCUUGUGCAUCUCACUACAGAGCAAUACAUGGCAUGGCAGGGCAACCAACUGUAAGAAGACAUAUUUGUGAAGCUAAGCAUGGCAAGAGCAAGUCCAUAGGGUGCAUGGAACACUAGGAAAACACAUGGCAACAACUGAACUUAAUGUUAACAGGCUGACAACAACAUUAUCAAGCAACUUUGGAGCCAGUUUACAACAAGUUACAACAAGCUAUAAAUGCAACCAGGGGCACGGAUGGAUAGAGCAUGACAUGUAGAACAAAACAUAUUUAGUGAACAUCUCCAAAUUAUGCAUAGAAUGAUUAGUAGCAACAUGUUUACAUAGCAUCACGAAAUAACAGAUUCAGCCUAGCAAAACAGCAACAACAAGUACACUACUUAACAAGCUCGAUUCACUCACCACAAGUCAUUGCAUGACAAGAUAAACAUAGCAUCAUCAAGAAGACAUGUUUAUGAAACAAACCAUGGCAAGAACAAGUUCAUAGCAUGCACGGAUCAACUACAACAACCUUGGCAAAAUUGAAUAUGUAAACAAUCUGCCAGGAAACAUUUUGAAGCAAAAGUAGAGCACGAAAAUGACAUGCUAGACUACUCCAUAAUUGCAACCAGGGGCAUGAAUGGAUAGACAAUAACCAUAUGUUCAAAACACCCUUACUGAAGUAUCUCAAAAUAUGCAUGGAUCUCUCUGUAGCAUCAAGUUUACAUGGCAUCAAAAUAACAACAGAACAGGGACUAAAAUCAGCAACAUCACGAUGCCUAGUUUGCAUGCUUGUGCUAGUCACCACAUUGAUCACAAAAAUACAUGGUAAGCACCUCUGUAAAGAAGAAAUGGCAUAGUUCAAAACACAUGUAGACAUCAACCUCAUAGGAUGCACACAUCAAUCAUGGCAAAAAUGACAAAUGAGCUUGUUCUGUUAACAGACAACAGAAAACAUCAUGAAGCACUCUUGCAAUGAUGAUUCAGGCAUCUAGAUGACCUCAAAUGAAAAUGAUGCAAUGGAAUGAAAUGAAGUACUCGUUGAGGUGAACAAUUUGACAUAUUACACGCACGAAACAGAGCUACGGAUGCAGAGUUACGAUGUGAUGAACAUGGCAGGAAAAUGUCUAAAUAUUUCGGGGACUUUGCCGUUUUUAGGGAAAAAACAGAGUGAGCGCUAGAUACUAAAUGUGGCCGAGGCGGGUUUUAGGUGGGGCUCACCAUGGGCUUCGGCCCAAGACAGAGAGGAGACAGGCCGGGGCGCGCUGGGCCAGAGUUGGGCCUCGGCGAGGUCGCAGGCCCAUGUGGCCGGUGGCCUGUUGUCGUUCUCCUCAUGCCUGAGGCGCACGAGCAAGAAGCAGGCGGCGGCGGCACCUGCAGGGAGGGCCGGCGAGGAGGUCGGGACGGCGCGGGGACGGGCAGAUCCGGCCAGCGAGUCGCCGGAUCCGGUGGUGGCGACACGAUGACGAGCUCGGGCGGCGGAGGCACCCUGCGGGAGAGAGAGAGGCAGCCAUGAGUGAAAGGGAGAAGAAAGGAGAAGGAAGGAGAGGGCGGCGGGGCGCUCAUCUACGGCGGCGCGGGACGGGGAGAUGCCGGCGAGGCAGGUCGCCGGCGAGGCGGCGGCCUCNNNNNNNNNNNNNNNNNNNNNNNNNNNNNNNNNNNNNNNNNNNNNNNNNNNNNNNNNNNNNNNNNNNNNNNNNNNNNNNNNNNNNNNNNNNNNNNNNNNNNNNNNNNNNNNNNNNNNNNNNNNNNNNNNNNNNNNNNNNNNNNNNNNNNNNNNNNNNNNNNNNNNNNNNNNNNNNNNNNNNNNNNNNNNNNNNNNNNNNNNNNNNNNNNNNNNNNNNNNNNNNNNNNNNNNNNNNNNNNNNNNNNNNNNNNNNNNNNNNNNNNNNNNNNNNNNNCGGUGGCUGGGAGGCGCGGGGUGAGGUGGCGAUGCGACAUGGCGGCGGGGCAGUGGCUGGCGGGCGCGAGGAGGCGACGUGGCGCGUGCGGAUUGGUCCGGGCGCUCCGGCGGUGAUGCCAAGUGGCAAAGGGCGGCUGGGGAGGCGCGGAUUUCGAGGAGGAAGGAGGUGGCUGCGGCAGGAGGUAGGGGAAGAGGUCUAGGUUACCCAAAAUAGACUAGGGGUGUCCAUAUAUAGCAAAAUGGUUAGGUUAGGGGGGUUUGGGGGCGUUUUGGAGCCUCCGAUCGUAAUCCGACGGAUCUGAUCGCGAGGGGGGUUGGCAGGCCUAGGUGGGCUGUGAAGAGAGGUGGGGCUGAGUGGAGAGAAGAGAGAGAGAGAGGCCCGCGGCAGUUUCGAAGACCGAAACAUCCGACGAAGGUACCGGCAACGGUACCGCUAUAUUUAACGGUUGGGCUAACAAAUGGACUCCGAAUGCGAUGAAACUUGGCAGGCGCUCUGUCUACACUAUAAUAAGACCGCACGACAAGUUGCAACCCAUUCCGAGAACAUUUUUAUGCCACUUAUAAAAUAAUAUUUCGGAGGUGCCGCGGGCGCGUGCGAGUGUGGUCUGGACUCCGAACGGACAACGGAGAGAAUCGGGAGGACCCGAACGGAUGCAAGUUUUGAAAAACAUGCAGAUGAAAUGCAGAUGAUGACAUGUCAAAAUGCAACACGCAAGCAAAUGACAUGGCAACGACGGCGAAUAACUGGCGGACUCCUGGCGCAUCGAAACCGGGGCAUUACAAUAAUGAUGUAGAAGUUGAACCUGCUGUUGAUCUUGAUAACCCACAAUCAAAGAAUCAAUGUUAUGAUAAAAGAGACUUCGUUGCUAGGAAACAUGGUAAAGAAAGGGAACCAUGGGUUCAGAAACCCAUGCCUUUUCCUCCGAAACCAUCCAAGAAAAAGGAUGAUGAGGAUUUUGAGCGCUUUGCUGAAAUGAUUAGACCCAUCUUUCUGCGUAUGCGAUUAACUGAUGUGCUCAAAACAAAUCCUUAUGCUAAGUAUAUGAAAGAUAUUAUUACUAAUAAAAGAAAGAUACCUGAAGCUGAAAUUUCCACCAUGCUUGCUAAUUAUACUUUUAAGGAUGGAAUACCAAAGAAACUUGGAGAUCUGGGAGUACCUACUAUACCAUGCUCCAUUAAAAGAAAUUAUGUUAAAACUGCUUUAUGUGAUCUUGGAGCCGGUGUCAGUGUUAUGCCUCUCUCUUUAUAUCGUAGACUUGACUUGAACAAGUUGACACCUACUGAACUAUCUUUGCAAAUGGCUAAUAAAUCAACUGCUAUACCCAUCGGUAUUUGUGAGGAUGUGCCUGUUGUGGUUGCAAACAUUACUAUUUUAACGGACUUUGUUAUUCUUGAUAUUCCCGAGGAUGAUAGUAUGUCUAUUAUUCUUGGAAGACCUUUCCUUAAUACUGCAGGGGCUGUUAUUGAUUGCACCAAAGGCAAUGUCACUUUUCAUGUUAAUGGCAAUGAGCACACGGUACAUUUUCUGAGGAAACAACCCCAAGUUUAUAGUAUCAACUCUAUUGGAAAAUUUCCAUUGAUUAUAUUUGGAGGUUUCGAAUUUCCUCUUCCUACUGUCAAGAAAAAGUAUGAUAUUCUUAUUGUUGGGAUUUUCAUAUCCCCGUUGAGGUAACUUUGUGUCAUUCGAAAUUUCUCCGGUUCCGUGAUUAUUCGGAAUGAAUUUGUUAACAAGACUUGAUCAACCUUGUUAGUGGGUUCAUUUUGAUGAUCACGAGAUGGAUGAAACUAGAAGCACAACCUUCUGUACCCUCUUUAUAUUUUCUGUUAUUUAGUAGAAAUAAAGUAAAAUAGUAUUUUUUCUGUCUGUCUCCUGACUUAUCCGUGCAAUAUAAAAAUAUCCCGAAAAUAAAAGUCCUCAGAGUGCCAUGCCAAUUUAAUAUGAUUUUUUUAGGAAUAUUUAAGAAUUUACUGUGCAAAAAUUACCACGGGGGGAGCUGCCACCUGGCCAUGAGGGUGGAGGGCGCGCCCUACCCCCCUGAGCGCGCCCCCUGCCUCGUGGGCCCAUGGUGGCCCUCCUCCACUUAUUCCUGCACCCAUCUUCUUCCUCUGCCUCACACAAACACGAAAAACCAACUCAAGCACGAGUUCCAACCCCCGUUACUGUGAUUUUCGAUCUCCUUGCUCAAAGCGCCUCUUGCAAAACUGCUUGGGGAGAUUGUUCCUUGGUAUGUGACUCCUCCAUUGGUCCAAUUAGUUUUUGUUCUAGUGCUUUAUUCAUUGCAAAUUUGUGCUGCAUAGGUGACCAUGUUCUUGAGCUUGCAUGUCAAAUUUAUAUGGUUCUAAGUAGUUCCAAUGCUUUAUAUAGGCUCUAGGCACUUGUGGGAGUUGUUACUAUCAAUUUUAUUGAAGUUGGUUCACUUUUAUUUGAAGUUACUAAAAAUUUCAGAAAUUUUUCAGAGGAAACAAUAUGCUUAGGAGGAUGUUCCAAGGUGGUCCUUCGAGGAAGCAAGGUCCCAGGCUUGCAAUACGUGAUGCUGACGAGGAACCACCAAGAGACGCUCCUGUGAGGCCUUGUGAAUGGCCAUCGGAAAAUUUUAUGAAUCAAGUGGGAAUCAAAGAAGAAUUUAGCACAUAUUUGAGUAACGCCGGUCUUGAGGAUUUUGAAGCUGACAAAUGCCCCCAGUAUCAUGAUCUCACAAGUUCAUUUGUGAGGAGGUUUGAGUUUUCAUCUUCGCGUAAUUCUCCUUCAGUCAUGUUUGACCUUUAUGACAAAUCGUAUACCAUGGACUUAGAGGAUUUCACUUCUGCUUGCAAACUUCCAUCUUGGGGUAAUAUCAGGGAUCCCCCUAAAUCUGAAUAUAGAGACUUUCUUGCUAGAAUAACUGUGGAGGAAUCUAGAGAUAUAACACAAGCUACUAUAGGGAGCAUUCACUUUCCUGCUAUACAUUAUUUUGCUCUCUUCAUAGGUAGAUGCAUAAAUGCUAAGGAUGAAGCAUGUCACAUGUGUGUCCCUGAUCUGAGCAUUCUCAGCAGUGUUGUGUUAGGUGACCAAUCUUAUCAUAUGGGAGCCAUUGUAGCUCGUAGGUUGCAUCAGAAUAGACAUAGCGGAGAUUUCUUUGGAGGAAUUUACGCAACCCGCUUAGCUAAUUUUCUUGAGAUAGACAUUCGUGAGGGUGAUAUGGAGUUACCCCCUUCUUAUUUAGAUUUUGAUUCUAUGGUUUCCCACUUGUUUAUUGAGAGGACUGCACCACCUCUCCAGUAUCGACUAAUCUUUGACAGACGUCGUGUAGUCCAUAUUGCUCUUCCUGUCCCUGCUUUCUUUGAUUCACAGGCAAAAAGAAGAUAUAUUAUUACCAGAGAGGAGGCAGAUGAGUACGAAAGGAGAGCGGAGGCCGCUCGACUCCACGCUACAGCUCAGGCGGCGAUAGCCGCUGCGUCACAGUACGACCCCAGCUACACCUACGGGUAUCCGCCAGGCCAUCCCUGGCAAUAGACCAACUUAGGCCAAAAGCCUAAGCUUGGGGGAGUACGUAUUUCCCACCGACAUUUCAUUUAUGUUCACACAUACACACACUCAUUGCUAGAUGCUGGUGCUCAUACUUUUUCACUGUAAUAUCCAUGCUAGUUUACUUUCUUUUUCCUGCUUUCUUCUUGUGUGUUUGAUAAACUUUAAGAAAAACCAAAAAAUUAGUGAGUUUACUUUCCAUGCUUGUAGUAGAAUUAAAAAGAAAACCCAAAAAUAUUUCCCGUUCUUCUUUUACUUGUUGGGAGCUUUCCCGUGUAAAUAGUUUUUAUUUCCUUUUCCUUUCUUUGGGGGUCGAGAAGACCAUAUUCAAAAUGCUUAGUGGCUCUUAUAUGCAUGAUUGUUUAUUUAACUUAGAGCCCAUAUUACUUGUCUUCUCUUGAGUUGAAUGCUUGCAGAUUCUAGCUUAGUCAAAUGCACGUGCACUCUUAUUAUUAUACACAUCGUUCGGUCGUGCAAGUGAAAGGCAAUAAUGAUGAUAUAUGAUGGACUUAUUGGGAAAAGAAAAGCUGGUAUGAACUCGACCUCUUUUGUUUUUGUAAAUAUGAUGAUUCAUCGUUCUUGAUUCAGCUAUUAUGAAGUAAACAUAUUUGCAAUGACAUUUAGAGAUUAUAGUUGCUUGUGCCAUGCUUGAUUAGCUAUGAGUUAUAGUGGUUUACCUUGCGUGCCAACAUGCUAUUAGAAUGAUUAUGAUGUGGUAUGAUGGGAUGGUAUCCUCCUUUAACUGAAUUGAGUGACUCGACUUGGCACAUGUUCAUGCAUGUAGUUGAAUCAAAUCAACAUAGCCUUCAUGAUAUUUAUGUUCAUGGUGGAUUAUAUCCUACUCAUGCUUGUACUCGGUGUGAAUUAAUUUUAAUGCAUGUUUACGACUGUUGUCGCUCUCUCAGUUGGUCGCUUCCCAGUCUUUUGCUAGCCUUCACCUGUAUUAAGCGGGAAUACUGCUUGUGCAUCCAAACUCCUUAAACCCCAAAGUUAUUCCAUAUGUGUCCACUAUACCUACCUAUAUGCGGUAUUUACCUGCCGUUCCAAGUAAAUUUGUACGUGCCAAACUCUAAACCUUCAAAUAAACAUUAUGUUUUGCAUGCUCGAACAGCUCAUAUGUCAACUAGAGCUGCCCUUAUCUUUCGUGUUAGGCGGGUUAUUCUCAAGAGGAGUGGACUCCGCUCCUCAUUCACGAGAAAAUGGCUGGUAUCCGGGAUGCCCAGUCCCAUGCUUUAUGCAAACUAAAUCAAAAUAACUACAAACAAAACUCCCCUUGGGACCCGUUGAAUGUUGGAGGCACUCGUUGUUUCAAGCAAGCCAUGGAUUGAUGCUUGUGGAGGAAGGGGAGUAUAAACUUUACCAUACUGUUUGGGAACCGCCUAUAAUCUGUUUAGCAUGGAAGAUAUCGUCGUCUUUUAGUUGUUAUGUUGACAAUGAAAGUAUGCCGCUCAAAAUAUAAUUUAUCUCUAUUUCAAAACCGAGCUCUGGCACCUCUACAAAUCCCUGCUUCCCUCUGCGAAGGGCCUAUCCAUUUACUUUUAUGUUGAGUCAUCACCCUUCUUAUUAAAAAGCACCCGCUGGAGAGCACACUGUCGUUUGCAUUCAUUAUUAUUGGUUUAUAUUGGGUAUGACUUGACUGGAUCUCUUUUACCAUGAAUUACAAUGUUUAGUCAGUCCUUGAUCUUUAAAGGUGCUCUGCAUUUAUGUUUUGCGGUCUCAGAAAGGGCUAGCGAGAUACCAUUUUGUUAUAUCAUGUUAUGAUUAUUUUGAGAAAGUGUUGUCAUCCGAGUUUUGCUAUUAUGGCCUGCUAGCUGAUUAUGCUAUUGAUAUGAGUAAUUGUGAGACCUACGUGUCAUUGUGAGUAUGGUUAGUUCAUAAUAAUUGCUGAAACUUGAAUGCUGGCUUUUCAUGUUUACAACAACAAGAGCAAACAGAGUUUGUAAAAGUUUUUCUUUUUCUCUUUCAGUUUGCCAACUGAAUUGCUUGAGGACAAGCAAGGGUUUAAGCUUGGGGGAGUUGAUACGUCUCCGCCGUAUCUACUUUUCCAAACACUUUUGCCCUUGUUUUGGACUCUAACUUUUAUGAUUUGAAUGGAACUAACCUGGACUGACGUUGUUUUCAGCAGAAUUGCCAUGGUGUUGUUUUUUGUGCAGAAAAUAAAAGUUCUCGGAAUGUCCUGAAACUCCACGGAACACCUUAGAAAAAAUAAAGAAAAAUCCUCACAAAAGAUGAAGACCAGGGGGCCCACACCCUGCUCAUGAGGGUGGGGGCGCCCCCCUGGGUGCGCCCCCUACCUCAUGGGCCCCCUGGUGGCCCUCCGACGCCAACUCCAACUCCAUAUAUUGGCUUUCGGGGAGAAAAAAAUCAGAGAGAAGAAAUCAUCGCAUUUUACGAUACGGAGCCGCCACCAAGCCCUAAUCUCUCUCGGGAGGGCUGAUCUGGAGUCCGUUCGGGGCUCCGGAGAGGGGGAUUCGUCGCCGUCGUCAUCAUCAACCAUCCUCCAUCACCAAUUUCAUGAUGCUCACCGCCGUGUGUGAGUAAUUGCAUCGUAGGCUUGCUGGACGGUGAUGGGUUGGAUGAUAUUUAUCAUGUAAUCGAGUUUGUUUUGUUAGGGUUUGAUCCCUAGUAUCCAUUAUGUUCUGAGAUUGAUGUUGCUAUGACUUUUUUAUGCUUAAUGCUUGUCACUAGGGCCCGAGUGCCAUGAUUUCAGAUCUGAACCUAUUAUGUUUUCAUGAAUAUAUGUGUGUUCUUGAUCAUAUAUUGCAAGUCUAUAGUCACCUACUAUGUGUUAUGAUCCGGCAACCCCGAAGUGACAAUAAUCGGGACCACUCCCGGUGAUGACCAUAGUUUGAGGAGUUCAUGUAUUCACUAUGUGCUAAUGCUUUGUUCUGGUUCUCUAUUAAAAGGAGGCCUUAAUAUCCCUUAGUUUCCAAUAGGACCCUGCUACCACGGGAGGGUAGGACAAAAGAUGUCAUGCAAGUUCUUUUCCAUAAGCACGUAUGACUAUAUACGGAAUACAUGCCUACAUUACAUUGAUGAACUGGAGCUAGUUUUGUGUCACCCUAUGUUAUGACUGUUACAUGACGAACCGCACCCGACAUAAUUAUCCACCACUAAUCCGGUGCCUAUGAGUUUUCCAUAUAUUGGUUCUCGCUUAUUUACUUUUCCAUUGCUACUGUUACAAUCACUACAAAAUACCAAAAACAUUACUUUUGCUGUCUUUACUUUUGUUACCAUUACCACCACUAUCAUAUUACUUUGCUACUAAACACUUUGCUGCAGAUAUUAAGUUUCCAGGUGCGGUUGAAUUGACAACUCAGCUGCUAAUACUUGAGAAUAUUCUUUGGCUCCCCUUGUGUCGAAACAAUAAAUUUGGGUUGAAUACUCUACCCUCGAAAACUGUUGCGAUCCCCUAUACUUGUGGGUUAUCAAUCGUGUCGCGUGCUCCUGCCUCCCGUGGCCGGCUGUGAUGCCGCGGAGGCCUCACCGCCCCGUACUACUCCCACCGCUGACCAGGCCAUCCCUCUACUCACCCACACCCCCUGUUAUUCUGCGGCGACGACAGCCUCACACUACAGCCGAACCAGUGAACCCUCGUACUCCUCUCUGCGCGGGCUACCACUUCUGCGUCUUCCCCGGUUCCACGUCGUCCCCUUCCUAGGCCUCGCCGUCGUCCAGACCACCGCCCUGGUGCUCUCAGCGCGGCGUGGUCAACGUGGUCAACGACCGACUUCCAUCGAAAGAGUAUUAUACGUGGACAAGCUGACGGCUGGGUCCAGGCGGCCGCAAGGAAGUGCCUCCCUAUUACGCGCAAAAUAAUUAUUCCUCCACCUGACAGCAGGGACCCACUGGACGGGCCACCUUAUUUCACGAAAAAAACGUUUCCCCCUGACUGCUGGGACCCACCGGACGGGCCAGCGUAUUUCAUGAAAAAAACGUUCCCUGCGCUGUCAGCUCGAACCCACCGGAAGUGCCUCCUUAUUACACACACAAAAAUGAAUACUCCCCCUGCUAGCUGGGACCCACCAUGGUGGGAGGCUGACUUGUGGGCCUACUAAGUUGACUGGGACGGGGGCCUUUGUCAACUUUAGUCAAUAUGAAUGAUUCUAGCUCCAGUGACCGUACGAUGGCCAUCCAACGGCCGUAGUGCUUCUUCAACCUCUGGUGUUCUUGCUCCGGCCGCCCAAAGCAGCGCCAGUCAUGCCGCAUGCUCCUGCCUCCCGUGGCCGGUUGUGCUGCCGCGGAGGCCUCACCGCCCCCUACUAUUCCCACCGCUGGCCAGGCCCUACAACGACGGCAGCCUCACACUGCAGCUGAUCCAGUGAACCCUCGUACUCCUCUCCGCGAGGGCUUCCACUGCCGCAUCUUCCUCGGCUCCCCGUCGUCCCCUUCCUAGGCCUCACCGUCGUCCACCGCCGUGGUGCUCUCGGCGCGGCGUGGUCAAUGUGGUCAAUGACCGAUUUCCAUCGGAAGAGUACUGUACGUGGAGAGGCUGACAGCUGGGUCCACGGCAGCCGCAAGGAAGUGCCUCCUUAUUACGCGGAAAAUAAUUAUUCCUCCACCUGACAGCAGGGACCCACCGGAUGGGUCACCAGUAUUUCGCGAAAAAAACGUUUCCCCUNNNNNNNNNNNNNNNNNNNNNNNNNNNNNNNNNNNNNNNNNNNNNNNNNNNNNNNNNNNNNNNNNNNNNNNNNNNNNNNNNNNNNNNNNNNNNNNNNNNNNNNNNNNNNNNNNNNNNNNNNNNNNNNNNNNNNNNNNNNNNNNNNNNNNNNNNNNNNNNNNNNNNNNNNNNNNNNNNNNNNNNNNNNNNNNNNNNNNNNNNNNNNNNNNNNNNNNNNNNNNNNNNNNNNNNNNNNNNNNNNNNNNNNNNNNNNNNNNNNNNNNNNNNNNNNNNNNNNNNNNNNNNNNNNNNNNNNNNNNNGAAGUGCCUCCUUAUUACGCACAAAAAAAUGAAUACCCCCUGCUAGCUGGGACCAACCUUGGUGGGAGGCUGACUUGUGGGCCUACUAGGUUGAUUGGGACGGAGGCCUUUGUCAACUUUAGUCAAUAUUUGAACGAAUCUAGCUCCAGUGACCGUACGAUGUCCAUCCAACGGCCGUAGUGCUUCUUCAACCUCUGGUCUUCUUGCUCCAGCCGCCCAAAGCAGCGCCGGUCGUGCCGCCUGCUCCUGCCGCCCGUGGCCGGCUGUGAUGCCACGGAGGCCUCACCGCCCCCUACUACUCCCACCGCUGGCCAGGCCAUCCCUCUACGCACCCACACCCCCUGUUAUUCUGCGGCGAUGGCAGCCUCACACUGCGGCAGAACGAGUGAACCCUCAUACUCCUCUACGCUUGGGCAUCCACUGCCGCGUCUUCCCCGGCUCCGCGUCGUCCCCUUCCUAGGCCUCGCCGUCGUCCACCGCCCUGGUGCUCUCGGCGCGGCGUGGUCAACAUGGUCAAGGAAUGGCCUCCAUCGGACGUGGGCUGUACGUGGAGAGGCUGACAGAUGGGUCCACGACCGCAGCAAGGAAGUGCCUCCUUAUUACGCGCAAAAUAAUUAUUCCUCCACCUCACAGCGGGGACCCACCGAACGGGCCACCGUAUUUAGCAAAAAAACGUUUCCCCUGUCUGCUGGGACCCACCAAUUACAUCUUCGCACGCAAGGAAGUGCGUCCGAAAAAAGAACGAUUCGCCCCCCUGACUGCUGGGACCCACCAGCUACAUCUUCGCACGCAAGGAAGUGCCUGACAGUCGGGACCCACCUGGUCCAAGCGUACAUAGCGUUGUCAUUCUGGUCGCGAACGUGUACGUACAUAUAUAUUGGUGGAUGUAGAGGCACGCACGUGUCGUAGUAGAGGCGCGCACGUAGCAUGUACACGUACGUACAGCGGCGAGGGUGCAAGAAAGAAAAUACGGCCACGUAUGUACAUACGGGCAGGGUCUCUAACGCCUAUCGCGCAUACGUACAUGGCUGGGUCAGAACAGAGAAACAACAUCGUCGUCGUGUUCAUGUUCAUCGGGAGGGCUUGGACAGAACAGGCGAUGGAAACGAGGCCUGGCAUACCGCACAACGGAGGAAACGACCUUGUGUUCGACCGACCACGUUCAAAACGGGGUCCUGUUGAUCGGGAGGGGCCUGGCGUACCGCAAAACAGAGGAAACGGACCUCCUACGGUUGAAACAGGGGUCCUGUUGAUCGGGAGGGGUGUGGCGUACCGCAAAACGGACGAAACGGACCUCCUACGGUCGAAACAGGGGUCCUGUUGAUCGGGAGGGGUGUGGCGUACCGCAAAACAGGACUCCACGGGAUACUGUUCAUCUCCACCGUCGACCUCCUCCAGCCUCCACGGGCUACCAUCGACCUCCUCCAGCCUCCACGGGCUCCUGUUCAUUCAGCCUCUACCGCGCGCUACUCCACCGGCUACUGUUCAACCACCCCUCCACGGGCACCCCUCCACCGUCUACUGUUCAUCCAGCCCUCCACACCAUGGGGUCCUAUUCAACCACCCCUCCACGGCCACCCCUCCACUGUCUACUGUUCAUCCAGUCCUCCACACCACGGGUUCCUGUUCAUCNNNNNNNNNNNNNNNNNNNNNNNNNNNNNNNNNNNNNNNNNNNNNNNNNNNNNNNNNNNNNNNNNNNNNNNNNNNNNNNNNNNNNNNNNNNNNNNNNNNNNNNNNNNNNNNNNNNNNNNNNNNNNNNNNNNNNNNNNNNNNNNNNNNNNNNNNNNNNNNNNNNNNNNNNNNNNNNNNNNNNNNNNNNNNNNNNNNNNNNNNNNNNNNNNNNNNNNNNNNNNNNNNNNNNNNNNNNNNNNNNNNNNNNNNNNNNNNNNNNNNNNNNNNNNNNNNNNNNNNNNNNNNUCAGUUAGCAGCAGUAGAGAAGGAAUCGCUCCAUCGAGUUCAGUUAACAGCCAUUGAUCGAUCGCUCGGGUUCAGUAACGUGUAGCCUGCAGUGCAAUCGCUCGGGUUCAGUUAGAGCCCAACGCCUCGCUCGGCUUCAGUUAGAGCCAACGCCUCGCACACACGCGCGUACGUACGAGAGAAACGUGCAUCGCUCGGCCCCCGACCUCCCACCGUAACUGGCAACUCCCAUAAAUUUUCCUCCCCCUCGCUUCUACCAUGGUUUUUCCGUCAUGGAUGGCCCAAAGAAUGUCAUGCAGCUGCGUCUCCGGCCCGCCCAGGACGAAAAGCCCAUUUUCUGUCAUGAUUUUUUGUCAUAGAAGUAGGAGCCCACCACAUCUAUGAUGAUACCGGGUUUUGUCACAAUUAUCGUCAUAGAAGUGUCAUAUGUAUGACAGGAAAAAAAUCCGUUCAGCCCAAAAUGUCACGGAUGUGUCUUUUUUUUGUAGUGCACCUAGUAAGGAUGAAAUUAUUGGUCUUGCUUCCAUUGCUGUUCCACCAACUGAUCCAUUAGAACAAUAUUUGCUAGACCAUGAAAACGAUAUGUUUAUGCAUGAAAGAGAAGAAAUAGAUGAAGUGUUCCUUAAACAAGAACCUAUGCUGAAACAUAACCUUCCCGUUGAAAUUCUUGGGGAUCCCCCUCCACCCAAGGGUGAUCCCGUGUUUGAACUCAAACCCUUACCUGAUAAUCUUAAGUAUGCUUAUCUUGAUGAAAAAGAAAUAUAUCCUGUUAGUAUUAGUGCUAACCUUUCAGAGAAAGAAGAAGAAAGAUUAUUGAAAACUCUGAAGAAGCACAGAGCUGCUAUUGGAUAUACUCUGGAUGAUCUUAAGGGCAUUAGUCCCACAUUAUGUCAACACAAAAUUUCAGUGGAGAAAGAUGCCAAACCAGUUAGAGAUCCUCAAAGACGAUUAAAUCCCAAGAUGAAGGAAGUGGUAAGAAAGGAGAUACUAAAGCUCCUUGAGGCAGGUAUUAUUUAUCCCGUUGCUGAUAGUGAAUGGGUAAGCCCUGUCCAUUGUGUCCCUAAAAAGGGAGGUAUUACCGUUGUUCCUAAUGAUAAAGAUGAAUUGAUCCCGCAAAGAAUUAUUACAGGUUAUAGGAUGGUAACUGAUUUCCGUAAGUUAAAUUAAGCUACUAAGGAAGAUCAUUAUCCUUUACCUUUUAUCGAUCAAAUGCUAGAAAGGCUAUCCAAACACACACAUUUUUUCAUUCUAGAUGGUUAUUCUGGCUUCUCUCAAAUACCUGUGUCAGCGAAGGAUCAAUCUAAAACUACUUUUACUUGCCCUUUUGGUACUUUUUCUUAUAGAUGUAUGCCUUUUGGUUUAUGUAAUGCACCUGCUACCUUUCAAAGAUGCAUGAUGGCUAUAUUUUCUGAUUUUUGUGAAAAGAUUUGUGAGGUAUUCAUGGAUGACUUCUCCGUCUAUGGAUCCUCUUUCGAUGAUUGUUUGAGCAACCUUGAUCGAGUUUUGCAGAGAUGCGAAGACACUAGUCUCGUCCUGAAUUGGGAAAAGUGUCACUUUAUGGUUAAUGAAGGCAUUGUCUUGGGGCACAAGAUCUCCGAGAGAGGUAUUGAAGUUGAUAAAGCCAAAGUUGAUGCUAUUGAAAAGAUGCCAUGUCCCAAGGACAUAAAAGGUAUAAGAAGUUUUCUUGGUCACGCCGGCUUUUAUAGGAGGUUCAUUAAGGAUUUUUCUAAAAUCUCUAGGCCUCUGACUAAUUUAUUGCAAAAACAUAUUCCUUUUGUCUUUGAUGAUGAUUGUGUAGAAGCAUUUGAAACACUUAAGAAAGCUUUGAUCACUGCACCUAUUGUUCAGCCACCUGAUUGGAAUUUACCUUUUGAAAUUAUGUGCGAUGCUAGCGAUUAUGCUGUAGGUGCUGUUUUAGGGCAAAGAGUCGAUAAGAAAUUGAAUGUUAUUCAGUAUGCUAGUAAGACUCUUGAUACUGCCCAGAGAAAUUAUGCUACUACUGAAAAAGAGUUCUUAGCAGUUGUGUUUGCAUGUGAUAAGUUUAGAUCUUAUAUUGUUGAUUCCAAAGUUACUAUUCACACUGAUCAUGCUGCUAUUAAAUAUCUUAUGGAAAAGAAAGAUGCUAAGCCUAGACUCAUUAGAUGGGUUCUCUUGCUCCAAGAAUUUGACUUGCAUAUUACUGAUAGAAAGGGAGCUGAGAACCCCGUUGCAGACAACUUGUCUAGGUUAGAGAAUGUUCUUGAUGACCCACUACCUAUUAAUGAUAGCUUUCCUGAUGAACAAUUAGCGGUUGUCAAUGCUUCUCGUACUGCUCCUUGGUAUGGUGAUUAUGCUAAUUGCAUUAUUGCUAAAUAUAUACCGCCUAGUUUCACAUACCAGCAAAAGAAAAGGUUCUUUUAUGACUUAAGACAUUACUUCUGGGAUAAUCCACAUCUUUAUAAAGGAGUAGAUGGUAUUAUUAGAUGUUGUGUGCCUGAGCAUGAACAGGAACAAAUUCUACGCAAGUGUCACUCUGAAUCCUAUGGAGGACACCACGCUGGAGAUAGAACUGCACACAAGGUACUACAAUCUGGUUUUUAUUGGCCUGCUCUCUUCAAAGAUGCUCGUAAGUUUGUUAUAUCUUGUGAUGAAUGUCAAAGAAUAGGUAACAUUAGUAGAUGUCAAGAAAUGCCUAUGAAUUAUUCUCUUGUUAUUGAACCGUUUGAUGUUUGGGGCUUUGAUUAUAUGGGACCUUUUCCUGCCUCCAAUGGUUAUACACAUAUUUUAGUUGUUGUCGAUGUUACUAAGUGGGUAGAAGCUAUUCCAACUAGUAGUGCUGAUCAUAACACUUCUAUUAAAAUGCUUAAAGAAGUUAUUUUUCCGAGGUUUGGAGUCCCUAGAUAUCUUAUGACUGAUGGUGGUUCACACUUUAUUCAUGGUGCUUUCCGUAAGAUGCUCGCUAAGUAUGAUGCCAAUCAUAGAAUCGCAUCUCCUUAUCAUCCGCAGUCUAUUGGUCAGGUAGAGUUGAGCAAUAGAGAGCUCAAAUUAAUUUUGCAAAAGACUGUGAAUAGAUCUAGAAAGAAUUGGUCCAAAAAACUUGAUGAUGCAUUAUGGGCCUAGAGAACUGCAUACAAAAAUCCUAUGGGUAUGUCUCCAUAUAAGAUGGUUUAUGGAAAAGCAUGUCAUUUACCUCUUGAACUUGAACAUAAGGCAUAUUGGGCUAUUAAAGAGCUCAACUAUGAUUUCAAACUUGCCGGUGAGAAAAUGUUAUUUGAUAUUAGCUCACUUGAUGAAUGGAGAACCCAAGCCUAUGAGAAUGCUAAGCUUUUCAAAGAAAAAGUCAAACGCUCGCAUGAUAAUAGGAUACAAAAGCGUGAAUUUAACGUAGGAGAUUAUGUGUUAUUGUUCAACUCUCGUUUAAGAUUUUCUGCAGGAAAACUUCUCUCAAAAUGGGAAGGUCCCUACGUUAUCGAGGAGGUCUAUCGUUCUGGUGCUAUAAAAAUCAACAACUUCGAAGGCACAAAUCCGAGGGUGGUAAAUGGUCAAAGAAUUAAACAUUAUAUUUCAGGUAAUCCUAUCAAUGUUGAAACUAAUAUUAUUGAAACCAUAACCCCUGAGGAAUACAUAAGAGACACUUUCCAGAACGUUCCAGACUCCGAAAAGGCAUAGGUACGUGGUACAGUAAGUAAACCGACUCCAAAACAACUCUAAUGGCAAUUUUUAUCAGUUUAGGAUUAUUUAAGAAUUUUAGGAAGAAAGAAGUAGUCCGAAAGGGACACGAGGCUCCCACGAGAGAGGAGGCCGCGCCCCCCCUGUAGGGCGCGCCCCCUGUCUCGUGGGCACCUUGUGUGACUCCCGGACUCCGUUUUCUUGUAUAUUACGUAUUCUGGUCGGUAAAAAUUCAUUAUAUAUACUCCCGAAGGUUUUGACCACCGUAUCACGCAAAUAUCCUCUGUUUUCGUUUUGAGUUGUUCCUGUUGCAGAAUAAAGCAAGAUGUCGUCCCAAGAUUCGGAGGGGGAGAGCUACAUGGCUGAUUAUAUCACAAACCCAAAGGUAUAUGGGGAUGUGGAACAUUAUGGCUGGACCGCGGAGGAAGAAGAAGACUAUGAUCCAAAGAGGAAGGAGGAGACAAGCUCCGAUGAAGAGGACUAUCCACUACCUCAACCUGGUGAUAUGCAUGUGGAGUUCAAUAAGUCAAGCCUCCCUAAGGUUCAAUCUAUCCCACCACGUUUUUUUGCAGGACAGCAAGGCGGCACUAUGUAAAAAGAUAAUGAAACUUGAGCUCGAGAAUGAGGAUCUGAGGGAGGAAAAUUUUAGCCUCAGGCGCAAGCUAGAGAAGAAAAAUGCAACAACUCCAUCAUCAACAAUUCCUACUUCACCACCUCCGAAGAAAUAAUCACAUGGGUAUGGGCACUCCCCUUGGCAACUGCCAAGCUUGGGGGAGGUGCCCCGGUAUCAUAUCACCAUCACUCUCCUAUUUUUAUUGCUCUAUUUAGUUCGAUCCUUUUAGUAGUAUCUUGAUCUAGUAGAUUGAAGUUUUGAUAUCAAGUAGUUUUGAGUUUUGCAUUGUGAUCUCUUUAUGCAAUCGAGUCCGUGUGCUAUUUAUAAUAAAGAUUAGUGUUGAGUCAAGGGCUUUGCUAUGUUGCCAUGAUCUUGAGAAAGUAGAAAGAAUAAAAGAGUUCAUAUUGAUCUUAUGGAUUGUGAUAACUUCACACAUAGAAAGUAUGAGGCAUAAAAAUUGUUGAGAGUUGAUGAACGUAGCCUUGGUCAUCGUUGAAAUUAAUAGGAAGUGAUAAGGAAAGAGGGGUUCACAUAUAAAUAUAUUAUCUUGGACAUCUUUUAUGAUUGUGAAGCACUCAUUAAGUAUGAUAUGCUAAAGGAGUUGAUGUUGGACAAGGAAGACAACGUAAUGGUUUAUGUUUUCCGACAUCUCAGUUAAAGUAUAUUGUCAUUGACCUUCCAAAACAUGUUGAGCUUGGCUUUCCCCCUCAUGCUAGCCAAAUUCCUUGCACCAAGUAGAGAUACUACUUGUGCUUCCAAAUAUCCUUAAACCCAGUUUUGCCAUGAGAGUCCACUAUACCUAUCUAUGGAUUGAGUAAGAUCCUUCGAGUAAGUUGUCAUCGGUGCAAGCAAUAAAAAUUGCUCUCUAAAUAUGCAUGACUUAUUAGUGCAGAGAAAAUAAGCUUCGUACGAACUUGUUGUGGAAGUAAUAAAAGUGACGGACUGCAUAAUAAAGGUCCACAUACAAGGGGCAAUAUAAAGUGACGUUCUUUUACAUUAAGAUUUUGUGCAUCAACCCUAAAUGCGCAUGACAACCUCUGCUUCCCUCUGCAAAGGGCCUAUCUUUUGAUUUAUGUUUUUACUUUAUGCUUGAGUCAAGGUGAUGCUCACCUUUCCCUUUUUCAUUUUAUCCUUUGGCAAGAUCCUCAUGUUUAAAAGAUCAUGAUAUAUAUAUAUCCAAUUGGAUGUAAGUUGGCAUAGGCUAUUAUUGUUGACAUCACCUAAAGGUGAAUACAUUGGGAGGCAACACAAUAAGCCCCUAUCUUUCUCAGUGUCCGGCUGAAACUCUAUAACCACAAGUAUUGCGUGAGUGUUAACAGUUGUAGGAGACUACGAGAUAGUUGAAUAUGUGAGCUUGCUGAAAAGCUCUAUUAUUGACACUUUCUGAUGUUACGAUAAAUUGCAAUUGCUUCAAUGACUGAGAUUAUAGUUUGUUAGUUCCCAAUGAAGUUUUUGAACCAUACUUGACAUUGUGAAUUGCUUAUUGCUUGAGCAUAGGAAAUCAUAUGACAAAAUCUAUAUAUGUUGCUGUUAUUAGAAUGAUCAUGAUGCCCUCAUGUCCGUAUUUUAUUUUUAUCGACACCUCUAUCUCUAAACAUGUGGACACAUUUUUCAAUUUCGGCAUCCGCUUGAGGACAAGCGAGAUCUAAGCUUGGGGGAGUUGAUACGUCCAUUUUGCAUCAUGCUUUUAUAUAAAUAUUUAUUGCAUUAUGGGCUGUUAUUACACAUUAUAUCUCAACACUUAUGGCUAUUCUCUCUUAUUUUACAAGGUUUACCAUGAAGAGGGGGAAUGCCGGUAGCUGGAAUUCUGGCUGGAAAAGGAGCAAAUGCUGGAAACCUAUUCUACACAACUCCAAAAGACCUGAAACUCCACAAAACAACCUUUUGAAUUUAAUAAGAAUUUAUGAGCAAAAGAAAUAGGCCAGGGGGCCCACACCCUGUCUAGGAGACAGGAGGGCGCGCCCCACUGUAGGGCGCGGCCCCCUAUCUCCUGGGCCCUCUGGUGGCCCUCCGGCGUCCAUCUUCUGCUAUAUCAUCACUUUUCCCCUGGAAAAAACCGUGGGCAAGCUUACAGGACGAAACUCCGCCGCCACGAGGCGGAACCUUGGCGGAAUCAAUCUAGGGCUCUGGCAGAGUUGUUCUGCCGGGGACACUUCCGUCCGGGAGGGGGAAAUCAUCACCAACGUCAUCACCAACGACCCUCUCAUCGAGAGGGGGUCAAUCUCCAUCAACAUCUUUACUAGCACCAUCCCCUCUCAAAACCCUAGUUCAUCUCUUGUUAUCCAAUCUUGUAUCAAAACCACAAAUUGGUACCUGUGGGUUGCUAGUAGUGUUGAUUACUCCUUGUAGUUGAUGCUAUUUGGUUUACUUGGUGGAAGAUCAUAUGUUCAGAUCCUUUAUGCAUAUUAUUACUCCUCUGAUUAUGAACAUGAAUAUGCUUUGUGAGUAGUUACAUUUGUUCCUGAGGACAUGGGUGAAGUCUUGCUAUUAGUAGUCAUGUGAAUUUGGUAUUCGUUCGAUAUUUUGAUAGAUGUAUGUUGUCUUUCCUCUAGUGGUGUUAUGUGAACGUUGACUACAUGACACUUCACCAUUAUUUGGGCCUAGAGGAAGGCAUGGGGAAGUAAUAAGUAGAUGAUGGGUUGCUAGAGUGACAGAAGCUUAAACCCUAGUUUAUGCGUUGCUUUGUUAGGGGUUGAUAUGGACCCAUAUGUUUAAUGUUGUGGUUAGGUUUACCUUAAUACUCCUUUUUGUAGUUGCGGAUGCUUGCAAUAGGGGUUAAUCAUAAGUGGGAUGCUUGUCCAUGUUAGGGCAGUACCCAAGUGCCGGUCCACCCACAUAUCAAAUUAUCAAAGUACCGAACGUGAAUCAUAUGAACGUGAUGAAAACUAGCUCGACAAUAAUUCCCAAUGUGUCCUCGGGAGCUCCUUCUUCAUUAUUAGAAUUUGUCCAGGCUUAUCCUUUGCUACCUAAAGGAUUGGGCCACCUUUCUGCACUUUAUUUACUUUAUUUACUAUUUGCUCGUUACUAUUUAUCUUAUCGCAAAACUAUCUAUCAUCUACUAUUUCAGUGCUUGCAGAGAAAACCUUAUCGAAAACCGCUUAUCGUUUCCUCCUGCUCCUCGUAGGGUUCGACACUCUUACUUAUUGAAAGGACUAUGAUAGAUCCCCUAUACUUGUGGGUCAUCAAGACUCUUUUUUGGCGCCGUUUCCGGGGAGCGUAGCGCUCGUGGUGAGUGGAACUUGGUAAGGAAACAUUUAUAUAGUGUGCUGAAAUUUUCUGUUACUUGUCACUAUGGAAACUAAUCCUUUGAGGGGAUUGUUUGGGGUAUCUUCACCCCAACCAGAAGAGCAAAGAGAUGCUCCUCAACCUACUGAACUUUAUGAAAAUAUUCACUUUGAGAUUCCUUCGGGUAUGAUAGAAAAACUGCUAGCUAAUCCUUUUGCAGGAGACGGAACAUUGCAUCCCGAUUUACACCUUAUCUUUGUGGAUGAAGUUUGUGGAUUAUUUAAGCUUGCAGGUAUUCCCGAUGAUGUUGUCAAAAGGAAGGUCUUCCCUUUAUCUUUGAAGGGAGAUGCAAUGACAUGGUAUAGACUAUGUGAUGAUACAAGAUCUUGGAAUUAUAAGCGAUUGAAGUUGGAAUUUCACCAGAAGUUCUAUCCUAUGCAUCUUAUUCAUCGUGAUCGUAAUAACAUAUAUAAUUUUUGGCCUCGCGAAGGAGAAAGCAUCGCUCAAGCUUGGGGGAGGCUUAAGUCAAUGUUAUAUAGAAGAAAAGGAAAAGAAAAGGAAAAGGAACAUAAAAGAAAACCAGAAAAACCAGUAAAAGAAAAAAACCGGUUCAGUGAACCUUCUAGAAGGUUCCCAAAACCGGUUGGUAGUGGCAGUUGUUCGCGCAAAAACUGGGCCGACUCUUUGUGUGGCUGCUCGGUCGGUCGCAUGUGCGAAGCGCCGACAGUUUGACGCAAAGAGCGUCAAAUAUGAUAUUCCUUUUAAACUAUGGUAUUAAGUCAAUAUUUUAGAAACAAACUUUAAAAAAUUACAAAGUUAAGUAAAAAGAAAUGGAGAGAGUUAAAAAAAUGGAGAGGCAAAAAAAAGAACGAGUGGACCCGGUUCGACGCAGUUUUCAGCAAGCUCGCGAAACAUAUCUUUAUCUCCGGUCAUAUGAUCGGUACAUCCACUAUCAAGGACCCAUUCCUUUCCUCCUGCCAUGUAUCCCCGAAGAUUUGCCAUAGGACCAAAGUGUCUCAUUGCAUCAUCAAGAUCAUAGUCACUAUCAUCAUCCUCAUCAUAGUAUCCAUGUUCAACAUCGUCAUGUGGUGGAUCAAUUCCUAGAGAGGGUGAUUCAUUAGAUAAAUGAUUUUGACAAUGAUCAUCUUUAUGAAUUCUAAUAGCUUCGGAAAUAAUAUUGCUAAUAAUUCCAACAUCUCCUUUGGCAUGCAUAAGAUUUGUAAGCUUAAAUAGACAAUCACCAAACUUAGGAUCAUUGGAAUUCAUCUUACUCAAGGCAAUAGACUUAUGAAGAAUCUCAUCUAGAUUUUGUAAGGAAUAAUUUGGAAAUCGUUCCUCAAGAAAUUUCCAUAUAGUGUAGGCACACUUAAGAGUAGGCAAGAAACCUAUCAAGUUUCUAGGCAAACCUCUAGUGAUAAAACAGUUCUAAGAUUGCGAAUCAUGUCAAUUGACUCAUCAAGGGUAGGAUGCAUAGGAUCAACAUGAGGUGCACAAGGGCUAGUAAUGUACUUGUUCAAAUGAUAUUCAUUGAAAAUCACAAGCAUCUCAUUUUUCCACUCAUAAAAGUACUCUCCAUCAAGUAUAGGCACUCUAUGUCUAAUCCCCAAAGUAGACUCAUCUAUCUUCCUCCAAUGGUGUUUAAACCAAAGCAAUUGAGACCAAUGCUCUGAUACCAAUUGAAAGGAUCGAGAAGAGGUGUCUAGAGGGGGGUGAUUAGACCCUCAACACCCAAACUUGGCAGUUUUUAAGUUUUUCAAGUUUAGGUGGAGUUUAAGCACAAGUUUAACUAUUCACAAUACAAAUCAAGCAAGCAUGCAAAGAGUAUAUGGGCAGCGGAAAGUAAAGCAUGCAACUUGCAAGAAAGUAAAGGGAUGGGAUUGGAGUGUGCAAACGCAAUUGGAGACGCGAAUAUUUUUGGCAUGGUUCCGAUAGGUGGUGCUAUCGUACAUCCACGUUGAUGGAGACUUCAACCCACGAAGGGUGACGGCUGCGCGAGUCCACGGAGGGCUCCACCCACGAAGGGUCCACGAAUAAGUAACCUUGUCUAUCCCACCAUGGCCAUCGCCCACGAAGGACUUGCCUCACUAGGGUAGAUCUUCAUGAAGUAGGCGAUCUCCUUGCCCUUACAAACUCCUUGGUUCAACUCCACAAUCUUGUAGGAGGCUCCCAAGUGACACCUAACCAAUCUAGGAGACACCACUCUCCAAAAGGUAAUAGAUGGUGUGUUGAUGAUGAACUCCUUGCUCUUGUUCUUCAAAUGAUAGUCACCCAACACUCAACUCACUCUCAUAGAAUUGGAUUUGGUGGAAAGAUGAUUUGAGUGGAAUGCAACUUGGGGAAGGCUAGAGAUCAAGAUUCAUAUGGUUGGAUUGGAAUAUCUUGGUCUCAACACAUGAGUAGGUGGCUCUCUCUCAGAAAAUGAGUAGUGAAAGUGUAGGCACGUUCCGAUGGCUUCCCUCACGAAUGAGGAUAGGGUGGAGGGGUAUAUAUAGCCUCCACACAAAAUCUAACCGUUACACACAAUGAGGAUGGAGGGGAUGAAGAUUCGAUGAGAGACGAUAACUACGAUUUUUGUGGGACUUGACCCUCACGAUCCGGCUACCAACCGUACAGGAAGGACCGUACACGAUUGAUAUCCACGGCAAUCACUGAACCAACUCCACGGUGUUAUCGACCGAGCCAACGACGCGAUCAACCUAUCCACGAAGGAUUUUUCCUGCAAGCAAAUCGAAGAACAUGCAAGAAAAUAAUAGCCAAGCAAUCUCAAAAUUGCGAAUAUGCUAGAUGGGAUUAAUCUCACAAGAUUGGGUUCCGAUAGGAUGUCUUGACGGUCGCACUAGCCGCUACGAGCGAAGACAAAUAAAAGUAGCAAUAUAGCUAAAUUUCUCUAAACAAAACCCGAGUCUAAACCCUAAUAGAUGACGUCUAUUUAUUAAGAGUCGACGUCGAACGAGUACGUCGAUGUGUUCCAUCCGGACUGCUGGUCGAAAGAAAUUGUCCAUGGGUCGGUUAGCAGGCCAAGCUGCAGGCCUUCUUGAGAAUUGGCGCGUGAGGAGACUUGGGCCAACCCAAAGUGCCAUGGCCACGUGGCUGAUACUGAUCAGUGGAUUCGGUCCUCUUGCACUCCACGUGACAUCGUUGAUGGAUGGUAUGGAGUGGAUGCUUCGGUGGCCAUGCAUGCAUGCAAGGAGGAUGGAGCGCAUGCAUGCAUCAAGAAUUGCUUCAUCUUGUUUUAAAACACAAUAGUCCCUGGCUUCUUUCAUUCUUUUCUUUCUGAGUACAAGUAAAUCAUAACAUGAGUGUAAUAUAAUAUUUAUGUGAGUUAAAUAAUAUGUCCAAAGGAAUGAAAGUACCUAGUUAAUAAUUUGUGGUGUAAUAUUUGUAGACGUUUCUAUGAUAGCUAUGUCCACAUCACACAAUAUACCAAACUCAGUGGGACCGAAUCAGAAAACUCGGCCGGACCGAUUUAGGACAUAAUGUGACCAUUAGGCAAUUUUGGUGGGACCGAUAUGAUAAACUCGGUGGGACCGAUGUGCAAGGGUUAGGGUAAAACCUUAUCUCGGUUUGACCGAUUACACAUCUCGGUGGGACCGAUAUGGUAAUAAGCAAAACGGAGAGUUGGUCAGGCAAACUCGGUGUGACCGAUUACAUAUUUCUGGUGGGACCGAAAAUAUUGCAAUAGACAACAGAGAGUUUGCAAGCCCAUCUCGGUGAGACCGAGAUCCCAUCGGUGAGGCUAAACUGAUUAGGGUUUCUGGCAGUGGCUAUGUCAAAUGAACUCGGUGGCGCCGGAUGGAUCAAAUCGGUGGGGCCGAGUUUGACUUUUGGUUUGGGACAUAUGUGGAUAUGAGAAAGUGGUUGAGAUAUUUGGAGCAUAUCACUAAGCACUUUGAGCAAGCAAGCCAUUAAGCAACACCUCAUCCCCUUUUAAUAGUAUUGACUUUCCUAUAGACUCAAUAUGAUCUUGGAUCACUGAAAAUAGAAAAUGCAGAGUCAUGAGGUUUGAGCUUGAGCCAAUCCUUUGUCCUUGGCAUCUUGAAGGGGUUCCACAUCCUCUUGUCGAUGCCACUCCACUGUUGGACUUAUCUGAAAUAUACUAGAUGGAAGUAUCAGUCCAACAAGAGAUAUGUUGACAUUAAUUACCGAAAUCACCCAGGGAGCACUUGUGCUUUCAAAAAGUCACGACAAAGUUUGACAACCUACCUAACAGAAUACAAGCAAAAGAACACCAACAUUCACAUAGCGUUCUAUCAAUGACUCGACUCUGGGUCAAAUAGAAACACAGUAUGUACAUAAUUAUUUGAAAACAGUUCUGAAAAUAUCUUUCAAAUAAUUUUCUUAACUUCCAUGUUGCAGUUAGUUUCUGCGUCAAUUGGUGCAAUGGGUCAUCUACUAGUUAAAAAAGAUCAAACUCUACAGAUGGUCCGAACAAAAAAGCCGAGAACCGAGGCCUCGUUUUUUUAGGUACUAGAUGAUUACCCCACACGUUGUUGCGGGAACUCUUAGUUGUACGCACGUGAUAAUAUAAAUUAAAUAACUUUGCUUGCAAAGUCGAUAUAUGAUCUUAAGAUGAAAAAAUUGUAAUGAAUACCGCAAUUGGAAUAUAAUUGAACUUUCAAAAAUGUGAAUUAUGAUAUCACAUUUUCUACUAAUUGCACUGAAAAAAAUAGCGCACUAUAACAUCGCUAAUAGCACGCUAUAGCGUAUUGAGAAUUGCCUCGCUAAAUAUAUCGGUGUACAAUGUCUCGCUAAUAGCGUGAUAUAGCACGCUAAUAAUAUAUUUUGAGGCUAAUAAUAUAUUUUGAGGUCACCCUAUUUUGCUGUAGCGUGCUAUUUUUUUCAUUGACUAAUUGUAGUGAUAUGCCAUAAGCAAUCUACGUAUGAGUAAAACAAUCCUUAUAUCUACAUAGUUAUUAAGACCUCAUCAAAGAACAAAAACUUAAAACGAAUAUGACCAUUGUAGUAUUUUGCUAUAAUUGACGUCGAAUGAUGAAGCUCUAAUAUCACAAUGAGAACAAAUCAAAUCAAGAUCAUUUGAAGAAAAGAGUACCAAUUUAUUUUCUCUUUUUCCUAUCAACACAAAAACCAAUUCCUAUUGUCUAAAAGUAUGAGGUUGUCAAGAGCAUGAGAACUUACAUAUAGAUAAGCACCGAGGUCCAAGUUAUCCAUGUAGUUAAAAACGACAAUUACAUGCAAGCAAUUAACCAAUAAUCAUAUCGACUUGACAUACUUUCAGUUCACUGGCAUUUUUCCAUGCAAGAUACCAACGGAAAAGAGCACUACAGAAUAGAGUUCCCUACAGAAUAUACUAAAACAAACACAUUAAUUUAGGCAAACUGAUAAAAAUAUGGUAUAAUCCAUUUAUUUACCAGAAAUUUGGUAGGUGAUCACACAUAAGCUAACUGUACACAUACUUCCAAGAACCUUACCCUAUAUGAUCUACAUAUAACCAUAAAUGAGAAGGAAAAAAAUCACUGUUAUGCAAAACGAUCACAGAUCGUUUUCUAUCAGGGCCUAGACUACAUGACCCAUCACCAGUAAUAUUAGGUAAUUACAAAUAAUCAAGUAUCUCAUGAGACAACAAAUAUCACACGUGAGCAUCAGGUACAUGUAUGUUCCAAACCCAAGGUGAUUUGUUUCAUUUAGCGUAAAGCCAAAUUUCAUUUUAGGUGUGUCCAUGCGUACUACUUAUGGGUUGGAUAGAAACACGUAGUACAAUAGGGGUUCAUCUGCUAGAAUUAUGACGAAAGUCAAAACAGUUACUUCUCAAAUCUUUUUUCUAGGACUCUUGUAUCAGUUUAAACUUUCUCCACUUCUGCAUUCAUGCUCUCCAGCUAUGUCAACAAAGACUACGUCAAUACCAGUAAACAGAGCUGACACCCCAAGUUGUAUGUGAAGGGCUCUCACUGUGAAGGGGGUAAAUCUUGGAUGCCAUUCCUCAACUUAAUUAAGCUUCUGCUUCACCCAUCCUGCAGUCUACAAUUGCUAAACAAAUACGUACAAUAUUGGCAGGCUGAUAGAUAAUAGCCACAAAGAGAUCCCCCAAUGGACUGCUGAUGGAAGUAGAUCAAAACUUCUCUGAAACAAAAGCCAAUACACAUAUCUGAAUGAAUUAUAGCAGAACAGAUACUUCAAUCCUAAUAUGUGAUGGAUAGUUAAUUACUGAUUCAAGGUCAAGUGACAUUUAGAUUUGAUAUUGUAAAAGAAAAUAGGGAAAGAAUCAUGCCUUAUUGGAUCCCAUGUACCUUGCUGACGGGAACAUUGCCGCCACUGAUACAGAGGUUCAUCUUGCACACUGCAAGGAAAUCCCACAGCUUCCACCAGCGGUAGUAUCUGAUCACAGCAGCGAAAAUACUUACAUGAAAACAAAACUGAGCAUUGCCCGCCUGGCUGGAUAGGUGUGUAUCAAUGGUGCUCGCAACUGGUAUAAACCGGAAAAAAAAUCAUUCAUGAAUAACUCAACCUGAAUCAUGGAUUGCUCUCCAUAGUCUGAGCGAUAGCUGUACCGUACCCAUGCAUAUGUGCAUGCUAUAUCAAGAAAAUCAGCAAUUCUAAUAAGAUAAUAAACCUAUCCAAUGGUUCGUAUCUAGAUGUUUCCCCUACUAAAAAUUCACAUCGACUUGUCAUCAGGAGCUUCCUUGCUGCAAAAUACACACAAUAAAAUAAAAAUUAAACUGGUUCGGUUCUAUCUGAAUCAAUUGAUGCCCGCACGUGGUGGAUAGCCUGGGACUCGACACUGAAAUCAGUAGAUGGGUACCUUCACAAUCGGCAGUGGAAUCAGACUGGACAUCGCCGGAUGGUUUCCUGCAAACUAGGUCCUGCCGGAGGGCCGUAAAAUGAGGUCUCGGCCGCCGUGCCGAAUGCAGAUGAGAGCCGGGCCAUCGGUCCUGCCGAAGAGGCGUAUGACGGGAG